rnacentral:lncRNA from 1 species
UGGGUUUGUGGAUGUGGCUCUGGUGCCCUUCUCUUGCUGGUUUUACGCAUAUGAGAGCUUUGGCAACUUCAGCAUAGAGGCGGAGUGCCCCAAGUUGAUAGCUUGGACCAAGAGGUGCAUGGAAAAGGAGAGCGUGUCGUCUUCUCUUGAAGACCCGCACAAGGUCCAUGGAUAUGUUGUGGGGAUAAGAAAGAAGUAUGGUAUAGAGUAAAAGGGAAACAUCAUGGGCUAUUAAGCAGUGUAGUUUAGUUAAUAUUAUAUAAUAUAUAUGAGUGUUUGGCUGUUUGCUUAAGUUUUUUCUUUGAAAUUGUAUCGUUGAUGAGGGUUGGUGGGUUUGCUGACCAUUCCAUCGUUUCAUGUCACAUAAACAAGUAUUAAAACAAGUUGGAUAAGACAUGCCUCUUGCCUGGAACCUGACAACCUGUUGUACAUCCAUUGGAAAAAAAAAAAGGUACAUAGCGUUAAAACCAAAUAAUAAUGAAAUUGAUCUUAAAACUAAACCUACUUUUUUUUAAUGCCUGAUAGGACAAAGAACAUACAUAUUGUCUUAAUUACUAUCAAAUGACUUGUGUACACUGUACACAACGUUCAUAAAAUGUACCUUUUUUCCUAUAGAAUGAAUGAUGAGUCAUAUACCUAUUCAUAAAUGAUAUACCAUAAUGUGUCAUGCUUAACUAGUACUACAUGAGUAAAGUUAAAGCAACUUGCUCAUGCUUUAUGCUUGUUCCAUAAUUAGAGUCACUUGAACAUGUAACUUAUAAAUAAACAACGGAUAUGUAUAAUAAGUGAAGUGAAACAUUUAUACAAUGUAAAUUUGAUGCGCUUAUGUUUUAAGAUGAUGUACUUAUUUUUCAAUAAGAUGAACCUAUUUUUUCAAAGGAUGUACCUAAGGUUCUAGAAUGAGAAAUGAGAUGUGUGAAGGCCUCAAAAGCAUUCCGAGGCCUAUAAAAGUGAAAGUGCAUGAUAAGAAUAAGCCAAACAAGUCACCUAUACAAUGAAAAUAAUAUGUACCAAUUAUUUUUUAAGGAAGUGUACUUAUUUGCAAUAUGAUGUAUUUAUUUUUUUUAAGGAUAUACCCAAAGUUCUAUGAUGCCAAAGGCCUCAAAUGCAUCUCAAGGCUUAUAAAAGUGAAAACUCAAGCUCAAAAUUCGCCAAAUAAGUUAGUUAUACAAUUUAAAUGCAAUGUAUUUAUUUUUCAGAAGAUGUACAUAUUUUUCAAGACGAUGUACCUAUUUUUCCAAGGGAUAUACCUAAAGUUCUAGGAUAUAGAAUGGGGUGCGGGAAGACCUUAAAUGUACAUCGAGGCCUAUAAAAAUGAAAGCUCAUGUCCAAAAUAGGGCAAAUGAGUCGAGUAUAAUGUACUUAUUUUUUUUAAGAAGAUGUGCUUAUUUUUCAAUACGAUGUAUCCAUUUUUUAAAUUGAUGUACGUAGGGUUCUAGGACGUAGAAUGGGAUAUGUGAAAGCGUCAAAUGUAUCCCAGGCCCAUAAAAGUGAAAGCCCUUGUCCAAUAUAGCUUAUGUCAGUAAAUGCAACCUAGGCCUACAAAAAUGGAAGAUCAUGUCCAAAUUAGUGUAAAUGAGUCACAUACAUAAUAUAUAUAUGGUGUACUUAUUUUUAAAACAAUUCUAAAAAAUAAUUUUUAAAAAUAGUUUUUGAAAUUUGUUUUUUGAUAUUUUGUAAACCAAAAAUUUGUUUUGAAACCUACAAUAUUUUUAAGUUGUUUUCUAUAUUUUAAAAUAUAUUUUAAUAAUAAAUUUUAUAUGUAAUGUUUUAUUUUUAAUCACUCUUCAUGUUUGUAUGCUUACUUUUUAAGUAGUCAUAAAAAACCAAUUGAAGACCACUAAAAUAUAUUUUCAGAAAAUACCAUAUUUUUGUUUUUAAAAUCAAAAACUAUUUUUUGUUUUUUAAUUGUUACAUUUGUUUUCUUGUUUGUUUUUUUUUAAAAUAGAAAAUUAUUUUCGAAAAUAAUUACCAAAUAGAAUCUUAAUCUUUGUCUUUAUCUUUUAAAAGUAAGGAUUGAAAUAUCAGUAAAUAUGGAUAUAUCGAUACUUGGAUUUUAUGGAUAUAUCAGAAAUAUCGGAGAAAUAUCGAUGGAUAUUUUUCAUCAAAUAUCGGUGAGACAAAAAUUAUCCAAAAUUGAUGGGAAUGCUUAGAAAAAUCCAAAGAAUGAUAAAAUAAGCAAGAAUAUACAUGUUAAAGUUAUUUUAUAAGUGUAAUUAACAUAAAUAUGGUCAAAGAAAAAAAUAUCGGUAAACAGUUUACAAUACUUGGAUUUUAAGAAUAGAAAAUAUGAAAUUUGGAAUUGUACACUUAGAAAGUUAGAAUUGAGUUAAGAAAUAUUUGAUUUUAUUAAAUGAAAACAAUUUACACAUAAACAUAAUACAUAUGACAUUGCAAUGGUCCUUAAUACCAAAAUGAAGAUCGAUGUGGUUCCAUCAUAUUGUUAUUGUUAGAUGAAGGGAGUCCAUCUUGUUGAAGACAAUAUUUAUACCAGGACAUGGAGUUUCGAUAGUAUUGAUUGUAUGUAUGAACAUGUCAUGCAUAAAUUUCUUGUGUCCUAUCGACAACCUGUCCAUGGAUGGGAAAUCCAAGGUUUUCCCAUAUGCUCGUUUGAAAUCCUUGUUGUUGUAGCUGAUGUGGAAGAUAGUAUGGCAUUUGUGUGGAAGAAGGAUAGUUAUACCUUUCAUACUCUUCAUCAGCGGAACUUGAAACAUUUUGAGGAAGCUGACCAUAACUCAUUGCAUAAGGGGCAUAAAUGUUGGCUUCGUUUGAUGAAUCACUGAAUUGAGUCUCUACACUCAUCGACUCAAAACUGGCCGACAAUGAGUCCUCGUUGUAUGGCAUCAUCCUUCGUUGUCUUCUUCUAUAUGGCUUUCCAAUGGCUCCAACACCUGAACCGGCUCUUCUAGAGUUGUGGUCUUCAUCUUGAGUACAAUGUGUGAAAUAAUCUUCACAAGUAAAUGUCGAUGGUUAUCCACUUCGUUGUUGUUGUCUAACAUCCCCUUCAUCAUUUCCAAGGUCGCUACCAUCAUUGGUCCUCUCUCCUCUUGAACCAUCAUAACCGGAAGCGGAAGUACCAGUAGACUAUGUCUACUAUUAUGUUCAACACUCAUGGAGUCAAAAGAAGGUCAAGAAGUGACUGUCGGCUAAGAAAUUCCUUGUCGAAAUGAAUCUCUCGUGUCUUGGCUAAAACUAUCAGUAUGAACUUCUUCGGAUAACACCCGAUCAACAUCAACACUUGCUUCUCAAACAUGUGCGACAAUUCGUGGGUCGGGAUUUCCAUCUUCAUCAUCUAAAUGAAGAAGUCUAACCCAUUGAAACAAUUGGUUAUCUUCUUCUUCACCAACCUCAGUUGCAAUGUCAAGUAAAUCGAGGUAAUCUUUCUCUGCAACUUUGUCAUGUUCUGCUUCCAUGUCACAUAUCUUUAGUUUCAUGUUAUAAUAAAAAAAAAACUAAUUAUUAGAGCAUCGGGUAAGCAAGCCGAUUUCUUUGUUUUGUAUGAAUUAAGGCAAACAUGCUCCAAUUUCUUUCACAAGUUGAAGAUGAUGCAGUUUGCGAUAAAACCUUAAUGGUCAACCUUCUUAAUGUAGGAGUGUGAUUUCCAUACAUGAACCACCAUUCAGCUACAACCAAAUAAAUGAUAUCAAUACUUAUAUUGGAAAGCUACAAUAAUAUGCUAAUGAAAUGAAUUAUUAAUUCACAAAUAAUACUCACCGGGAACCAUUUCUGACCUCAAAGCAAUCGCUGCUCGAUCACCAAAUCCUCUUUUUGCAUCUCAGAAUAGUAUAAUCUACAUAUUAAAUAAUUGAAAAUGAAAAAGUUGAGUAAAUGAAAUUCAAUUAUUUAAUUUAUAUUAUAACUCUAAUAAUUUACCUCAUUUCCAAAUUGACUAAGACCUUCUGAUGUAGGAUCUAAUUUCGUAAAGACUUCAUGAACAGCUUGAGGUAGAUCAGGAUCAGUACCAACUCCACGUUUAUAUUGAAAUCUUGGAUUAAGAAAGAAUGCUAGAAUAGCAAAGUAGAAAUGUAAAAUUAGAAUGUUAUGAAAGACACAUAUUAAAUACCAAUAACUUUCGAAGAUGAAUAAUACUUACCUACUGCAUGAAGAGGAUGUUUAAGAGUUCUAUCCCAACGAUCUGCAAUUAUUUCUAAUAUUCAUUCUUUAGCAUUAAGUCGAAUGAGGUUCUCUUUCAUAACUCGAAUCAAUUUGUACACAAAUGACAUUGUAGGAACAACUUCUGAAUCGACAAUGCGAAGAACCCUCAUAUAUUGACACUAGCUCUCCCACUCUUUCCCAGUACGCAUGGUCAAACAUAAGUGAUUCAACUUCUUUACCGAUUAAUGUGCUACUUAAGUUGUGUUGUGCCCAUUCAUCACUGAUAAACACUUUCUUCAAGUUUGCUUUCUUUUUCAAAAGACUGUUGAGGGCCAUAUAAUUGGUUGCAAAUCUUGUUGCUCUAGGACGAACUAUGUCUCCACCACACACCUUCCGCAUCUGCACAAGCAACCAACUAUGGUUAUAAAUGAAGUCGGUUAUCUUUCAAGCCUUUGUAAUCACAUCUGCAACACUCGUCCUUUUAUCGAUGUCUUCGAACAUUAAGUCGAUGCAAUGUGUUGCACACGGAGUCCAAUAAAGAUUGUAUUUCUUCAUUAACAACUUCCCCGCCUUCACGAAUGCCGACCCAUUAUCUGUAACUAUUUGUACCACAUUUUGUUUCCCAACUUCCUUGAUCACAUCCUUCAACAAACCAUAUAUGUAUUUGUUGUCCUUUAUAUUAUUUGAUGCAUCAAUAGAUUUGAGGAAGAUUGUGCUACCUUUUGAAUAUACCAUGAAAUUAAUUAUGCUUAAUUUCGUAGGCCCAGUCCAUCCGUCGCACAUAAUCGUGCAUCCAUAAGUCUUCUACUUUUCUCUUUGAAUAUUGACAUAAGCUUCCUUGUCUUUGUACUCCAUAUCCAAAUACUUGUGUUUGAUUUCAUAAGGAGAUGGUGGUUCUAUACCCAUACCUACCAUCCAUAUAUAAUUAAAGCAUAUAAGAACAUUUGUGGCAAUCAUACUAUAUAAAUAGUAAUGAUAUUGUUAAAAUGAAUACAACUUUUAAAAUUAUAGUAAUUACCUGCUUGUUGUGCACCAACAAUCAUGUUCUUGAAGUUGUGAGAGUUUGCUUUAUUGGGCGGAACACUCUCAUAUAUGAAGAACUUACCGAUCAAACGUCCCAUGGUUUCCUUAAUGGCACCACCUUUGAAAAGAUUUUUCAUAUUUUUCUGUCUUACUGCUGAAGAUUUGUACAAUGAGGGUGCAUCAGGCAGUGAUGGAUCUGAAUAUCGAACACUUUGCGAUUUUCGCAUUUGCCUUGUUGUUGGAUUGGUUAGAUGUGAAGACUCACCUAUUAUAAUUAUUAAAAUUAAACAUAUAUGUUAAUUUAAUAUUAUUGAUAAAGUUGAUAAGAAACAGUAAUAAUUCAAAUUAAUAUUAUACAUGUUUUCCUUUUGCCUUUUACAAAAUGUUCUUCUUGCAUGUUGUCAAUUCCAUUCAGCAGCUUUUGAUGCUCAAACUGCCUCUCUAUAAGCAUGCCGCUCAUCAGGGUGCAUGUCAGCCGGAUACAUAUACACAUCAUCAUCUCCAUCAUCAUCAUCACCACCAAGGUUCUCCUCAUCGUCCUCAUCAGUUACAUGUCUAUGUCUUCUUCCCAUUGUGUCUCGCAGUUCAGAUCGAAUCUCUUCUAUAUCUGCAGCUUUCUUCGCUUUUGCCUUUUUUUUUUUUUGUUCUAGAAGUCAUCUUAUUUCUUGUUUCACUUCUAGAGGCACGUUAGGACACUUUUUUGUAUUUGAAAUAGGGUCUGUAUGUGAUAGGUGAAAUUUAAAACGAGUAAUCCCACCACUCUUUAUUGCCAACCCACAGUAAUUGCAUACUGUUCCAUUUUUGUUUCCUUCCAUAGGUGUACAAUAUUUCCAACAAGGAUCUCGUUGUUACCACUUUCACUAGCCAUUUUCUGAAAUUGAAUUAUGAAACUAAUAUCAAAUUUAAAAUUAUUAAAGAUAAAACAUGUAAGAAAUUUAAUAUUCAUGAAAUUGAUAAGAACUAAUAAAAAUUGAAUUAUGCAUAUAUGAAAUAGAUAAACAUUACAAUAAAAUUUCAAUAUGAAUUAAAUUUAAAUUAAAUUAAAUUAAAUUUGCAUAUUCAUGAAAUUGAUAAGAAUCAUUACUAAUAAAAAUUAAAAUUAAAAUUGAAUUAUGCAUAUAUGAAAUAGAUAAACAUUACAAUUACAUUUCCAUAUGAAUUAAAUUUAAAUUGAAUUAAAUUAAAAUUGCAUAUUCAUGAAUUUGAUAAGAAUCAUUAUUAAAAUUGAAUUAUGCAUGAAUUAAAUUUCCAUAUGAAACUAAAUAUGCAUAUAUGUCAAAUCAAUUUCCAUUCCAUAUGAAAUUUAAUGUUAAAAUGACAAAAUUUCAAAUUAGAUAAUAUCAAUUAAACUAUAUAUAACAAAUAAAAUUGAAUUAUGCAUAAUAAAAAUAAAUUUUAUGAAAGGUAAGACAUACCUUAAUUAGCCUUGACUUGGAGUUAAUCCCCUUCACCACCAAAUUUUCAAAAUUUUAAAAUUUUGCUAGAUCAUAUAAGAAUUUUGAUGUAUGAAAUGCAAUGGAAUGUGGGUAUUUAUAGGAAUUUUUUUGGUCAAAAUAGUCGUUGGAUGGUCAAAUAGCCGUUAUAAAUUAAUUUUAACCGUUUGAUCAAAAUUUGGUUAAAAUUUCACCAUUAGAUACUCAUAUAACCAUUGGAAACACUUCAUAGCCCUUGGAUAAAGUGAAGAUUGAUUUUCCACCAUUGGAUCACAAAUCUGACCGUUGGAAGCCUUUACAAAUACACGGGUGAAAUCUGGGCCAUCAAAUCCUCAAAAAUUCAAAUAUGCCCGUCGGAUCAAAUUCCUUAAAGUUGCAAAAAAUCGCCGAUUUUUUCAAAUAAUCGGUGAUUAAUCCUGAUUUUCUCAAAUAAUCAGCGAUUAAUCCCGAUUUUCUCGGCAAAAUAUCGUCGAUUUUUUCAAAUAAUCGGAGCUAUAUCGAUAAAAUCGCCGAUUUUUUGGGGUUGUCCUCUGGCUUCUCCGCGCGUGCCUCCACUUGCGAUUUAUCUCCGAUUUAUCGGUGAAGCACCGAUAUUUCGCCAAUAUAUCGGUGAUUUUAUCGAUUUUUUGGCGAUAUUCUCGGGGAUCGUUUCGAGGACGACUAAUAUCCAAUAUUUCUCCGAAAUAUCGACGAUAUUUCCCGAUUUUUCAAUCCCUGUUUAAAAGAAAAGAACUAUAAAAAUAUUUUUAAAUUAAAAGAAAAUUAAUAUAAAAUAUUUAAUAUAAUUUUUUAUGAAAAAAUAUAUAUCUAUUUUAUUUUAAUAUAAACAAAAAAUUAUAAAUUUUAAUCAAACCAUAAAGCUAGAACCAUAGUGAAACUAGAACCAUAUUUAAUGAUUCUGGUUUUACGAUGGAGGAGAUAUGUAAGAGGUGAGAUCACCCCGUAUUUUUUAUUAUUUUUUUUAUGAUAGUGAAAAUUUUUGCAAAAACAAAGUUGACAUAUCUUUCACAUUUGAAAGUGUGUGUUUUUUUCUCAUAUGUUAUUGCUCUCAGAGCGAGAGUUCUCCUAACAAAAAUGUAAAAUAAAAAAUAGGAAAAGUCUACAAUACCUCCUUCGGUACCAUGCCUCCAUUUUUUAUCAUCCAUUGGAUGAAAAUGAUUAAAUCUCAGCCAUCCAAAAUGAAAAAGAAAAAAAAAAUUCAAAAAAAAUUCUCCCGGGUACCUUCCCCUCCCGUUCUCUCCCCCAUUCGGCAUCCUUUUCCCCUUUUUCCCCCCUAAUUUGCUCUCUUGCUCUCUUCCCCUCCAUCUCACGCAUCCUCCAUAAGCCAACUUCCUCAGCUCACCCGUUUCCCGCCCCUCCAUAGCUGGGUGUCUCGCGCAUCCUCCAUAGCCGACUUCCUCAGCUCACCCAUUUCCCGGUCUCAUCUUUGUUUGCCGACUUCCUCAUCUUUGUUUGCCGACUUCCUCCAUAGCUUACCCAUUUCCCGCUGUCAUCUUUGUUUUCUCUCCCUUUUCCCGUUUUUCUCUCCACUGAUUGUCCACAGCUGGGUGAAGACCACGGUCGGCUUCAACCGGGCCAACCUCUUCGAGGCCGACAUCGCAGACCUUAUCAAAGACGUCUCCACAGCUAGGUGGAGACCACCUUCGCCGUCAGCCGGGAUCAAAGACGUCUUCACAGGUGGGUGGAGACCACCAUCGCCGUGAACCGGGCCAACCUCCUCCAAGUCGACGUCUUGACCUCAUCAAAGAAGUCUCCCUCAAGGACCGCGAGCUCAGGAUUGUGGGCGAGGUCGGUGCCAAGAUCCGAGUCUUAGACUUCAUUUCUCCCGAUGUCCAGGUCAGCUAUUUUUUCUGCUAGAUUUUUCUUCUCGAAGAUUUUAUGUAAAUUUUCUGAAUUUUUGCUUUCUCUCCCCCCUACCCCUGCAUUUUGUCACACGGAGAAUUUCUGUUCUUUUACACGGAGAAUUUUAGUGGAAUCUUCAUAACCCUUGUGUUUUCUUCAUAUUUUAUAUUUUGUUUAAGAGGUGUAAGGGGGUGUUUUCAGGUUCUAAAUUUAAUGGUUUAAAAACCCGAAUUGAAGACGUAGCUGGAAGAAGAAGAAGAGGACGUGUAGUACUAAGGAAAAGAAAGCUGAGAAGGACACAAUUGUUUGUCACUCAAAAGGCGCUUGUAUCCUAAUUAUUUGGUGAGUUCUAUAUAAAGGGAAAAAAAUGUGAGUAGUAAUUAUGUGUUUUACAAUAUUGUGUCCAUUAUAUUUCAUGUUUUUUGUUAGAUUUAUGGAUUGAUUACAUUAUAGAAAAAGAGUGUGGUUAGAUUAUUGAACAUUGAAAAAAAUUUGUAUGUUAAUUUUGUCAUCAUUUUAAAUGUAAAGAUAUUUAGGGAGGAUGUUGUAGUUGUAAUGGUAUUUGUAUUUUAAUUGGCAUUUGGUUGGUUGUAGUAAGAUAUAAAAAUAAAAUUUAUUGAAAUGUGAAAAAAAACUUAUGUUGAGAUAAUGUGGUGGUGAAAGUAUGUUUGAUUUAUUAUAUUUGAAAUCAUAUUAUAAAAAUUGACUUAAAUGCUUUGAUUUAAUUUUUAGAGCGAAUGCGAUGGUCUUGAAGUUGUUAGAAAUCCAAAGAGGCCUAUCGGCGCUUGGAUACAUUACUAGUAAGGGAAAAUAGAAAUAUGUAAAAUAAUAUGUUUUUUAAUUUAUUUUUUGUGGUUGUUAUUGUUAAAUUUGUUUGAAAUUGUUUUGUAGUAACGAUCANNNNNNNNNNNNNNNNNNNNNNNNNNNNNNNNNNNNNNNNNNNNNNNNNNNNNNNNNNNNNNNNNNNNNNNNNNNNNNNNNNNNNNNNNNNNNNNNNNNNNNNNNNNNNNNNNNNNNNNNNNNNNNNNNNNNNNNNNNNNNNNNNNNNNNNNNNNNNNNNNNNNNNNNNNNNNNNNNNNNNNNNNNNNNNNNNNNNNNNNNNNNNNNNNNNNNNNNNNNNNNNNNNNNNNNNNNNNNNNNNNNNNNNNNNNNNNNNNNNNNNNNNNNNNNNNNNNNNNNNNNNNNNNNNNNNNNNNNNNNNNNNNNNNNNNNNNNNNNNNNNNNNNNNNNNNNNNNNNNNNNNNNNNNNNNNNNNNNNNNNNNNNNNNNNNNNNNNNNNNNNNNNNNNNNNNNNNNNNNNNNNNNNNNNNNNNNNNNNNNNNNNNNNNNNNNNNNNNNNNNNNNNNNNNNNNNNNNNNNNNNNNNNNNNNNNNNNNNNNNNNNNNNNNNNNNNNNNNNNNNNNNNNNNNNNNNNNNNNNNNNCACGGGAUUGAAGAGUUUAAGAAGAAACAACAAAGUGGGGUUUGCGGUUGCUUAUUGUUUUUAAUGGUAAUUAAUUUACAUCAUAGUGAAAUACGAUUUUGUUUUAAUAUAAUUUAUGAACUAACUAUAUAUCUAUGUCAAAUAUACUCGUAGUUAUUCUACCACGAGCAUAUAUCGUUUGAAGAGAAAUUCCUACCGCUAUAUACUCGACCUUCUCCUCGGAUUACUGCUUGGGGAGAUGAUGAAGUAUUGGACAGGAAACGAAGAUUGAAAAAACUUGGUGGAUAUGCAAAUGAGAAUGUAAGUUAUAGUUUUGAAAGUCGUUUACUAUUGAUUUAAGUUUUUAGUGAUUUAAAAUAUGAUAUGUAUUAUAUUUUGAUGAAUACAUUGUAGCUCAAAAUAUGGGUGAUAGAAAAUGAGAUAAGGGAUUGCGUUGAUGGAAAUGCAACGACAAUGGCGAGUGAGAAUGAGGACGAUGAGAAAUUUGUAUCCAAUCUAAACAAAGAUGUUAUUAAACGAGUAAGUGUUUUACAAUAUAUCGUGACUAUCUAUAUUAGCAUUGAACCUUUGUAUUAUGAUGUUAUUAAUCACGUUCGUAUAUAUCACUAGGUUGAUGGUGGGAACUUAAUGGAGAUGGAUAAAACCUUUCAACAAUUAAAGACACAUCUACUUGAUAUGGCUUAUGGUGCAAGUAGUAGUAGUUGUGAUCAAAUUUUGGCUAAAUUUGAGGAGAAUUAUACUACAGUGAAAGGUCUCUUCCUUAGGUCAAGCGGAAAACCUUUGAGAAUGCACGAGGAAGGAACGAAGAAUGACAUGCUCUCAUGCGAGAGAAGUUUGGAAGAUACGAACAAUAUGAAUGUGAAUGAACAUUAUCUUCACACUUCGUCAAAUGAGAAGUUAUGCACCGAGGACUUGAAUGAAAAGAAUGAAGAUGCAUGUGCUACAUCAAUUGAAGUGCAUAUCAUUCCAGACGAAAAUGAAAAUUUUUUACCACUUCCAAUCAAAAGGAGUAGAAGAGAUUAUGGAAAGGUAUGUAUCAUAUAAAAGAAAAAAUUAUUUUCUUUACAACUACUUAACCAUUACAUAGUAAAUAGAUGUAUAUUACUGACAUUUUCCAUAUUAGGAACCAUUACGAGCACUAUGUGGUUAUCCUAAUCAUGUCAUGAAAACACGUUCAUCAAGGGAGAGGAAACCAAGUAAAUUCAAGGUCUCCCCGUUUGUACAGAAAUCAAGGAAGAUGGUAAAACGUGACGCAUCAGAGGUAUAAUACAAAUAGUUUAAUAUCAUUGUUCUUAUUUUUUGAUACUUAACAUAUAUAGUUAAUAAUUAUGUCUUGUAUUCGAAUUAGUCAAUCCCCAUGUCCAUUCGUGAAGACGUGGUGGAUAUUCAAUCAUUCAAUGUACUUCAAUCUCUUGUCGCUGAUUAUGUUUUCAAUAAAGCGUUGUCAAAAAGGUUUGUCGCGUCUAGAACAUUCAUAGAUGUGUUGUUACAAUUUUAGCCUUCAUAUGCUUCCAAUUUACUGAAGUUUGUUUGAACAUAUUAUUAUUUUAGUGAGCUUCUUGUUGACUUUGGUCAUGAACAUGGAGUUCGUGGAGAUUUUGCAUGCUUACGUCCUAGACAAAAUUUGAUGGAUGUUGUAAGUACCUACUUCAUUUAUAUCAAAUGCAUCCUAUAUUAGUUAAAUAAAUUUAUUGAAGUUAUUGUUCAACAAUAGGUAAUAAAUUUAGAAGCCUCAAAGCUAAAUUAUUUUGAAAGACAAUUCAUAGGCAUACGAAGUAUAAGAUGCUAUCUUCCCACGACAUUUUCAGUAAGCUCAUAUUUCUCUUGUUGUUUACUUACAUAUUAAGUACAAUAUAGUAAUGUUCGUAUUAUGUUUUCUUAUUAGCAAAUGAUUUUGUGCGGGAGUCCUCAUCCUGUUUUCGAUAGAAAAACAUCCAUCGUGAGUAAGCACAUUAGUGAAUUGGAUGAUUGCGAGAAGGUUAGUAAUUAUUUCUAAUGUUUAAUUGCAUAUAUGAAAUUUAGAAUAGAUAUUGUUUUCACCUAUAAUAUAGUAGAUUUUUUUUGCCCCAACUCAUAUAUAUUGUUUUUCUAACUUUACAGCUAUUUAUUCCAAUGCAUGACGAAUGCCCUGGUCAUUGGUAUCUGUGCGUCAUUGACUUCAAAAACUCUUAUACCCAAAUUUUGGACUCAUUACGAUCGAAGAAUUGAGACAAGUUCCGGUUUUAGAGUGUCAAAACAGUGGUAUGCUUUCAUGUUUAUAUUUUUCUUCUAUUCUAUUUUUUCCUCUUCCAUAUUUAUUAACACUUUCAUAAUAAAUUAGGUUGAAUUUUGUCAAACGUUCUUCAAAUUGUAUGACAUAGGGAAAGAUGUCUUCCAAUUCUCCAUUGAUUGGGCUCCUUCGAUUCCGACCCAAGAGAAUGGGUUAGUAUGAAUACAUAACUCACAUUACUAUUCUUUUCCUGAGGUAUAAUUAGACAAGCAUUGAAUAAGUUGUUUUGCUUUUCUUUUCUCUUUCUUAGGUGGGACUGUGGAGUGCAUGUCAUUAGACAUAUGCAGAGAUUCAAAAAUGGUGAUCCGAUGACGAGCUCCGACUUUUGUAAUUCUAUGAAAAUACGUCGAGAAAUAGCAUGUGAUUUAGUUUUACACGAGGGAAAUAGAGAAAAACAAACCAUUGUGGCUAUUGUUUGUACAAAGACGUCGACACGAGCAAUGAAAAAAUUAUUAUUAUGAUAUUUGUUAUUUUUCAAAUAUUUAUCAUUUCCAUAUCCACAUAUCGUCAUGUUUAUUGGGAAGUUGUGAGCUUCGAUGACCAUACAUUAUUAAUGAUUAAGUCCAUUUUAUUUCAAUAUCCAAAUACUCUUCUUUCAAUAUGGUCGUCAAAAUGAAAUUGUAAUAUAUUGGUAUCAUUCAUGUUCGACAUGUGUGAUUUUGUACGAUCUUUAACCUAAUCAGAUCUGUAAAUAUUCAUUUAUCUAUGCUAACAAUAUAUAGUUAGUACAUUACUACACUGGUUGACGAAUGUCGUUCAGCCGGUAAGAACCAGUCCAACGAUUUAUCUAUGUCCACUUUUCAUAGGCAUACGCAUUAUUCGUACCGGUUGAGAACAUUCCUCAUAUUUUCAGUUGUGGAAAGUGGUUGAUCGAUGAAGAAAUUGUCUCAACCGGUUGACGAAUGAUUUGACCAGUGGGAACCGGUUGAGAAAUAUAGCAAAUUGGUUGAGGAAUUUGCUCAAUCGGUUCAUGGUUUUUUAACCAGUGGCAACCGGGUGAAGAUGGGCAUCAACCGGUUGAGGAAUUUGCUCAACCGGUUGCGUAUAUUUUUAACCAACAUCAACCGGUCGAUCACUUCUAGAACCGGUCGACCGACUUGGCACAACCGGUUGAGCAACUGGUUGAGCCAUUUUUGACCAGUGGCUACCGGAUGAGGAAUUUCCUUGGCCGGUUGAGAAGUUUUCUCAACCGGUAGCCACUGGUCAAAAAAAUCCUCAACCGAUUGAUGGCCAUUUGCUCAACCGGUUUAGGAAAUUCCUCAAUCGGUUGAGGAUUUGUUUAACCAGUAGCUACCGGUUGAGGAAUUUUCUCAACCGGUUGAGGAAUUUUCUCAACCGGUUGAGGAAAAUCCUCAUCCGGUAGCCACUGGUCUAUAAUGCCUCAACCGGUUGAGGAAAUUCCUCAACCGGUUGCCUCCUGCAAUGCUAUUGUGCACAAAAAGGGUAUGAUAUGAGUUGUACCAAUAACUUUUCACUAUGGAAACAUUCGACAAUGUACCAUUAAGUUCAAUUAUAAGGUUUGAAAUUGAUGGAAACUGGCAUUACAAUUUACCUAACUACGAUUUACCCAUUUUGAGUAAAAUCACUAAAUUUACCUAUUUCAUGUGAAUUACAUCAUAUUGAUUACUUUCCUAUAGUUAACUCAUAACCACCUAAUUGUCAAACUUUAACCACAAUUGAAUUUAAUUAAAUCCGCAUAAUUAACCGUUUUUUUCGACAUGAUAUAAAUGAAUCGGUUUCUCCAUUUACCAAUCAUUUUAUCCCUUGUUAUCAAUUAAAUUAUAAAUGUAGAGGAUAUUGCAUUCUAUCAAUCAACUUGACUCUUGAUCAAAAUUCAAACUUUUCAUUAAAUAGUUAAGUUAAAAGUACACAUUAGUGGAAGUGAUAAUGUCAACUAAUAUAAAUACUGAUUUAAUACCUACCAUCCCUUACUCCGCUAAGGAAUAAAAAAAAGGUUGCAUAUCCUUUUCAUUUGGAUAUUUGUUUGGAUCCCCACCUUCACAUGGUGUUGACAUACUUUGUUCAUGUUGCUGAAAUCCUGCUAUUUGCACAUGCACAUUUCAUUGUUUUUUUCAGCUAUCCAAUUCCAUUCCAAUUAAUUAAACCUAAUCAUUAAAUAAUGCAUAGCUGAAAUUCAUGUCAAAAGUGUUUCUUCAUUCCCGAUCUUACAUUAUUAAGUUCAACCCAAUCUAUGUACAUGUCAGAUGGGUCAUUCGGCAACUGCUCCCUUAACAUUCCCUGCAUGUUUCAAUAAUUAAGUGUUGUCAAUUAUUAUUGAAUUAUAUGUUAUCAAUGUUUGGAAAUUAUAUAACAAGCCUAUUGUACAUACAUGUAAGGUUGCAAAAAUGUCAAUUGAUGAAUUUGUUGAAGGCAUCAUUUCCCUUUGAAUGUCACAUUGGGAAGACAAAUUAGUUUCCUCCUACGUACUCAUAAUGCCAUCAAAACAAUUAUGUUAGUCAUUUAUGUUAGUACACCUACAAAAAUUAAUCUUAGGGGCAAUUUUUAUUGAAUAUGACAUACCAUAUAACCCGGCUGAGCAUUUUGAGGGAUUGUAGCUUCUGGACACUUUCGAAUUGUGUGACCCACUCUUUUACAACAACCGCAUCGUCUUCCCUUUUGAACAUUCAUUGCCACUUUGCCUGGAUUCCCUUUAGUCUUCACAAUAUUUGGAUCACGAACUUGGUUAGUACCUAUCGCUCCAUCUGAUGCUAUUUUCUUCCCUUUCAAAUUAUAGUUAUAGAGUUCCUCCAUUCUCGCCGUCAAAUUUUGUAUUUCAUUUUUGGCCUCUAUAAAUGAAGAUGACGUAUCUGACACAAAGUAGGAGAGCUUGUUGCACAUCGAACUCAAUGAACCAUAUCGUACAAACCGAUCCAUGUUGUUAUUCGUCUCAUUCACUGGUAUUGAUCUUGUAUACACCUUUGCUAACUUUGUCCACCUCUUCAUAAUACAUGACUGAGGAAUCUCUUCCAAAUGCUCCACCUUCAUAACCACCACCAUGUGGCAACAUGGGAUGCCAAUUGACUCAAACAUCAUGUAUGAGCAUUUUAAUGUUACAAUAUCCGGGCAAAAUUGUACUUCCCAAUUUAAGUUCGGGCGUCUAAACUUAGAUAAUGUGUAUGCCCGCAUUGAAUGAUCACUUACAACACCAACCACAAAGAAUAACUCAGCAUUUUUCAUCUCCUCACGAAAUUUAAGGAAAGAUUCUUUUGUGUAUACCGUCGCAGCAUGAUUUUCAAGUAUGGCUAGUUUGGUUGAAAGCACGGGUGAAGAAUUGUUCGACUCGAACUCUGCCUUUGCCUCGUUUUGCCGUAUUCUCAGUAUGGCUCUAUCAAAUUGUUGUACAAACUCAUAGAGUCGCAAACGAAUUUUUAAGAAUCUAUUUAGAUAUGCAUUCAUACUCUCAUACCUUUGUGUGGUUCUCAUCCCUCCAAAGAAAUUUCCACGUAAAUACGCCUCUGCCCAUCUUUUACGUUUCCCAUAUAUCUCGGUCACCCAACGAUUCUCAUUAAGUCCCAAAUUUGCAACCAUUUCAUGCCAAACCUUUUCAAAUUCUUCUUCAUUCCCACGCAUGAACAUGCACCUUGCAAAUAUGCUUGAGAAGUCCUUAAUAUGCACAUUCGUGAAUGCAUUUCGUUGCAAAUGCCAUGAACACAAUCGAUGACACGUAUCGGGUAAUACUUUUUUAAUUGCCUUACGCAUAGCUUUAUCCCCAUCAGUUACUACAGAUAUGGGUUUCUUAUUCAUCAUUGCAUCAAGAAAUGUCUCCAACACCCAUUCAUAUGUCCUAAUACUUUCAUCUAUCAAUAACGCACAACCAAAUACAACAGUUUGAUGGUGAUGAUUAACACCGACCAACACUAUUAGAGGCUUUUUAUAGGCAUUUGUCCUAUAGGUUGUGUCAAAUGCUAGGACAUCUCCAAAACACGCAUAAUCCAUUCGAGCAGUUGAAUCAGCCCAAAACAAAUUUGCUAGUCGACUUUCUUCAUCAAUGUUGAAUUUAUAAAAAAAUGAAGAAUCCAUUUCUGCCUUUCCACACAAAUAAGCCAAUGCCGCUUCUGCAUCACCGUCUUUAAUUUCACUUCUACGCAUUGCAUCAACGUGAUUGUAUAUAUCUUUUUGUGUGAAACCGACGUGCUCAUGUCCCCCUGAUUGUUUUACCAUAUAGUCCAUAAUUUGUGUGGUUUUAACACCUACUUUACACAAAACAUCAACUUGUGCCUUAUCUGGAUUACUUAUUGUUCGAUGAGACCGAAGGAAUUGUGUGUUGAUAGCAUCGACCAAAUUAUGAUUAUGAUCUCCUAUAAAUUCCUUUACAAUCCACUUUCCAUCUUUCCUAUUCAAGCCUACACGAAAUGCAGCUUCACAUCCAACCCUAGUCAAUGAUCAUGGCUCACGAUGUCGCUUGUCAUUUUCAAUAAACUUUGUCACUCGCUGUCCUUCUCUAGAACACACCCACUUUCGAGAUAUUAUAUCUCCAUUCUUGUCUCACUUCAAAUCAUCUUUUCGAAUACUAAAUCCGGCUACUCUAGCUAACAUGUUGUAAAAUGUUUCAGCCUCAUCUAUGCGAUCGAAUUGCAAUUUGUAGACUUCUUCAUCUGAAAUACCCUUCAACACCUUCUGUUUCAAACCGUUUCCACCCAGGUUGUAAGUGGCACCGAUAAAUACAUUGUCAUUGAUGACGUCCUCCUCUUUCACUUCAAACUCCCGCUUGAUUGUUUUCUCCUUCACCGAUUGCAUAAUCUACAUUACAUAAAUAAGGUAAAAAAAUUCCCCAAUAAUACUUUAACAAAUUAUCAUAUCACUUUUGAAUCAAUUGAUUGUAUACUUGAAGAUAAACCGAAUUCGACAACGUCAUCUAUUCUCAUUUUUGGAAAAAAAUUUAGAAUUUGAUAAAUUAUAGAACCGGUGUACACUGCACACGUGAUAAUUUUCCCAUGAUUUUCCAUUUAAAAGGUCAUAUGUUGCAAAAUUGAUACUACUCUGCUAUACACAAUCAUAAGCAAAACUUUUUAAAAUCAUUAAAUAUCACUUAAAAAUCAUUAUGUUGAGGAAAUAACUUAUGACAAAUGCAAGUGCGACACCAAUACCCUCAAAAGAUGGCAUUAGACAAUGAUCCACGUCUGACAUCUAUACAGAAACGCACCAUAAUUUAAAUUGUCCUUAGACAACCAAGUGAAGUAAUAGUUAAGUUCAACUUCGUAGACAUGGUUCUGCUGUUGAGGCUAAGGUUGUAGUGCUUUUGGAGGUCCUUGUGCAAUAACAAUAUUUCAGAUUGUCCAACUUUUUUUUGGUAGCGGAUGGUGUUGUUGGUCUUGAUGAGCAUAAAAAAACAAUCGGUACAUUUGUUUGUUUCCUCGUAACCCGAAUCUACUCUCUUCCCUUGCUCUAAGCUAUUAUAAUGUGGUUGAGCUACAAAUUGACCGGAUGCAUUUUGGUGGUGUUCACAAAAUUUGGCAGUGUCUACCGGUUGAGAAGAUCUAGCGACCGGGCGUAUUACGCCGGUCGACCGGUUGUGGAUUUUUUAACCAGUAUAUACCGGAUGAGGAAUAUCCUCAACCGGUUGAGAAAAUUUCUCAUCCGGUUGCCACUGGUCAAAAAAACAUCAACCGGUUGAUACCCAUUUGCUCAACCGGUUGAGGUUUUUUUAAACCAAUUGCUACCGGUUGAUGAAUUUUCUCAACCGGUUGAGGAAAUUCCUCAUCCGGUCUUCACUGUUUUAAUAUGUAAACCGAUUAGCUAAUUGUUUCUUUUCGUUGUUGAUUUCAUUAAGGCCUUCAUUCCUUAUCAGAACGUUAUAAUGUUGCCCUAUUUAGGCAUACUAUGUUAACAAAAUUUCCAACAUUAAUCUUAGUUGCCAUCUUCAAGGAGUUUGCCAGUCACAAUAAUUAAUACCUCUCAUCCACUUUCUUUAAAAACAUGGAAAAUGACUUUUAUAUAAUUCUAUCUAAAAGCACGGAAGCUUUUGGGUACACCGCCAAACUUAUUCCAAACUUACCCCAUAUUGGGAGUCAAUAAUACACAUUUCUUAAGGUUGAUUCUCUCUUUUUAAGUCAUUUGAAUAUGUAUUACCCUAUAAUUUUGAUGAUGUUGUGAUUUUUACAGCCAACUUAACUCACUUAUAUUAACUAAAUUAAUCUCAACUGUUCAACAGAUCACUGAUGCAUAUUACUAACAAUGUGCUUUAGACAAUCAAAAUCCAAACUCUUUAACAUCAAUACAUACCAUUUAAAAAUCACUAUUAGGUUUUGGAAAUAUUCGCCCAUCCAUUUCAAAGAUGAAGGCAUUAAGCUUAAAAAAUGUAUUAUGGAUUUGUUUACCUAUUCUUUAUUGAGUUAAAGAUCAUACCGUUAAAAUGGAAGGUCCAAGUGUGAUGCAGCUUGACCUGAAGAUUUGUCUUCUGGAUGUUUUUUGUGACUUGUUCUCCAACAAAUAGCAGACCUCGUUCAGAUGCUAAGGUUCUUACAAUACUAAAACUCCCCCAAAUAUAUACUAAGAUAUGUAUGUGGUUGGUUGCUGGAGUUAUUACAUUUUUUAAUAGGCUGCCACAUGUUGAAAACCUACCACCACAAUGGUACACUUAGUGGUUGAUAGUUUGGAUAUUUGCAUCAGUUUUUUAGGUACCAUUAAAUAUAACAUUUAUAUCAGUUGGGAAAGUCAGCCUAAUGUGGAUAUUUUUUACACCCAUUGCAAAUGGAUAUGUGUAUAACUUAACAAAAUAUAAAGGGGAGAUAUGGACUUAAUUGAUAAUAUUGACAUUUGUUACUAUUGUUUAGCCUAUUUAUUGUAACUAUGUUUUGAUACCGUUUCCUACUUACUAUAUUUUUUCAUCAAUUAACGGUAUUUUUUUUUUAAAUCAUGCUUCCUAAUAUAUCCUAUAUAUGAGAAAGGUUAGUUAAGCAGACUUAAUUACGUAAAAUGAGAUAUGUUAUGAUAUUCUACUUAUGGAAAUUUUAAAUAAAUUCAGAUUCAUUAAUUUAUGUCACUCACCAUGGUAUAUCGUACUUAUUCGAACAAUUUUUCAUACAACCAUAAUUAAUUUUAAUGCCCCUAUGGUAGUAUAUGUUAGUUAAUUACAAUUUUAAUCUAAUAGGUCUGACUAUAUCUUAGUGAGUUCAUUACACUAUAUUUUUCCAUGAAUUAACGUAAUUUAUUUUUAAUUAAUGCUUCAUAAUAUAUCGUAGACAUGAGAAAGGUAGGUUAAUUACACUUAAUUACGUAAAAUGAGAUAAGUUAUGAUAUUCUACUUAUGGAAAUUUUAAAUAAAUUCAGAUUCAUUAAUUUAUUUCACUCACCAUGGUAUAUCGUACUUAUUCGAACAUUUUGUCAUACAACCAUAAUUAAUUUUGAUGCCCCUAUGGUAGUAUAUGUUAGUUAAUUACAAUUUUAAUCUAAUAGGUGUGACUAUAUCUUAGUGAGUUCAUUAUACUAUAUCGUACCUAUCAAAAAGAUUAGUUAAUUUAUAUGAUUUAAUUAACUUAAGUUCUCAUAUUUUAUUUUCCUUAAUAUAAAUUUUGUGAAAUUAACUUCAAUUAAUUUCUUUAAGGUACAUCAAAAUAUUUAUUCAUUUAAUCCAUUAUAGGUUUAAUCAGUUCAUAUGGAAACUAUUACAUUAAAAGUGUAGCAAAUAUAAUGUAAGACAUUAAGUUAAUUAAAAUUUAAUUACUUCAUAAACUGGAUGUCUUUCCACGAAGGUCGACCGAUGUUCAAACCAGUUCUACCCCUCAACCCCUUUGUCUUCUACUCCAUUCUUCUUCAUCCUCGCGCGAGACCUGAACCCGUCCGUCUUCCACUUCAGUCUUGUUCAUCCUCACGCAAUACCUGAAGCCCAUCUGAAUACUCAUGCCCCCAAAACGAGCACCGGUCGAAGCAUCCUCACCCGGUCGAAAAGGGAAGAGCCCGGUGGUAUCAAGGAUGCGCGGGACCAACAAAAAGACCUCCGACCGACAACAAGCAAGCGAAAGCACCCACAACACCUUGGAUGGAGCAAAACGCACCACCAACGGUAAACGUCCGGCCGUGGAAGCAAGUCUGGAGGUUCGUAAGAAGGCCACCUUUGAUCGAUCUACGUUCGCAACCCCUGACCUAGCCCAACGAUUUCAUCUUCACUUUGCGAAUCGGACCGUAAUCCCGGGUAGGAACAUUGCUUUUGCAAAGCUCAGUUAUUUCCAUUUCGAUGUGCUUUUCGCGAGAAUGGGUUGGCUUCCGAUUGUCUCCGUCAAUGAGUUCGUUUAUCCCAAGGUUGUCAAAUGUUUCUACUCCAAUAUGACAUUUGAAGACGAAGGACCCAUUACUACCACGAUUAACGGUGUACAGAUCGUUUUUGAUGUUGCUGCACUUUGUCGGAUUUUAGAGAUUCCAAACGAAGGGGUUUGUUUGUAUGAAGCUAAGAAAUGGCCAAAGGUGGAAGGUUUCAAACCUGUAGAAGCUUUACAGAGGCUAUGUGGUUACUCGAGAUCUGAUAGACCAACUUCCCAUUUGUUGACUGUGUUGAGUCGUAUCCUACAUCACAUGAUAUCGUACAUUUUCAUCCCUAAAGGAGGGCACCGAGAUGAUGUAUCUUUCUUGGAGGCUUUUUUGGUUGACAGCAUUCUCACAGAAAGAAAGGUUAAUAUUGGUUACAUAAUUUUCCAACAUAUGAAAGCAUGUUCAAUCAGCGAAGAUUCAGUUCUCCCCUAUGGCAUGUUUAUCACAAAGAUUGUCAAAUACUUCAAUGUCAAUUUGCGCAAUGAGACAGACGGGAAAAAACUCAAAUCAUUUGAUACAUAUGAUCGGGCUUCACUUCGCCGCAUGCAUUUUGUAUGGAAGAAAGAUGGUUCAUGGGCAAGGAAGUCUUCCGUUCCCCCCUCAGAGGUUGAUGUCUCUUCAGACAAUGGGCCCUCCGAGGAUGAAGAAUAUGAAGAUGAGGAUGUACAGGGAAGAACUCAUGCAAAAGCAAAUGUCACACAAAUACCGUCAACAGGUGGUGUAAGAGCUAGGGCGUUAAGAAAUCAUCCUUCACUAAUUGGACCGGACGACUCUGAGGCAUCAGAUAACCUCAAUGCCCAGAUUAAGUCCCUUGGUUCCCGCUUGGAGGAGAUUGUAUUAGCCAAUGACCGACGUUUGACAUCUCUGGAGAAUCGCAUUGAUGGUUUACACGAGGAAGUGAAAGAGGGUAUGCAAGUUAUACGACGCCAACAUGAUGAGAUGAUGGUCUUCUUCCGAUCCCACUUCCCGCUUCAUGGACCAGACCAUUAAUGACCCCUUCUACAUUUUGUACUAGUUUUAUAGUUAUUAAACUUUCAUUCUGUUUUUGGACAUUUGGCUAAUAUAAAUGCCCUUUUGUUAUUAUGACUUCUCGUAUUACUUAUGGAUGUUGUCAUCGGCCAUUCACAUAAAUGGCGUAAAUGUAUUCGCUCAAUGAAAAUGAUGGUAUAUGGAUUAUGUAUUUUCCUCUACAUGUAUAUAUUAUACCUAUCUUAUUUUGUUUAUAGCUCUUGAUAUAUAGGUUAUUUUCAUCUCUUUAAAACUUUUUCUGUAUAUUUUAAAUUGUUGGUAGACAUCACAUAAUUUAGGUUCCCAUUUGGGUGCCAUGAAUAUUUUUGUCUUUUAAAUAUUGAGUCUGAAAUCCCUAGUUUCGGAUGGCAAAAGGAAGGUUAUGACUAUUUCCAUCAAAAGCAUAGAAGAAUCAUGCGUUAGGAAGGUUAUACUCAGUAUUGGUUCAUCGUAAAACGUAUGUAUUCUCCUCCCUUUGUCUAAUCUACUAUAAUGUGUACGAAUAUGGUCAGCCUACUAUAUUUUUUUUUAAUAAAACUUGGGUAUUUUCAACCGGUUGAGGCAAUGCAUCAACCGGUAGCAAGUCCCGCUAUUGGUUUUGGGGGAAAAACAAUGGCAGUGUCAACCGGUCGAGAAAGAGCAUCAACCAGUCGCAUGUUGGUUUGCAAUCGGUAGCCACUGACCACUCACAGGUCAACCGGUUGAAUACAACCGGUCGACCGGUUACUACUUAAUACAAUAGGGUGAGCUAUGCUUGCAUGCUUGCAUGAAUUAUCGUACUGAGUUUUGGCCCUCUGCUUUCCAUAUUUAACCCAUUCUUUAUUUACUAUUUUAAAUACAUUUUUAUUUGAGGUGCAUUUGGAUGUCUUAUGAAAACAAAUAUCUCCAUUGUGUUUUGCAUAGAUUUGAAGUUCAAAUUUCAAUUCUAGAAUGGUGCUAUAAAUGAAAAUGAGAUUGCUGGUAACAGGCCGAUGGCAUUGGAUCAAUUUUGACUUCCCCAUUAAGGGCAUUGUUUUAACUUUUAAUUUUUAAUCCUCACUUGUGAGCCAUUGAUUUCCAUUGUUGUGAGCCUUUAAAUUUCCAUUACACAUCCAACUGCAUCUGUAGUGUUUACUUCUGUCCAACAAUUUGUUUGUUGUUGAUCCUAUUUUUUUCUGUAAGUCUUCUUUGAACCAAAUGACUUAUUUGAGUCGAUUUUAUGUGGUUUGAGGCUAUAUCUAGGUUGUAAACUAAUCUAGAUUAGAGCAAAUUAAUUCCAAUGGAAAUGAUGGAGCACUUAGAAGAGUGGGCUUUAGAGAUUGGUUAUAAGGCGGGUGGUCUUCUGUCUACUUACUUAGGUCUUCCUCUUAGUACCCCUUUUAAAUCUAUGGUGGCUUCAAAUGGAGUGAAAGACAGGUUCCACAAAAGACUAGAUAAAAGAAAAAUACAAUAUAUCUUUAAAGGAGAAAGGCUCACUCUAAUUCAAAACCCUUUAUUUAGUUGUUCUAUCUAUUUUGUGUCUUUAUUUUGCAUGCCAAGGACAAUCAAAUUGAGGUUGGAGUGGAUUCAAAGGGAUUUCCCUUCGGAAGGCAAGGGCUCUUGAAAGAAAAUCACAUUUACCAAGGUGAGCAAUUGUUUCUUCAGAAACAAUUGAAGGAGGCCUUGGGUAUUAGGUGUCUCUCAACACUUAUCAAAACACUACUUUGCAAAUGAAGUUGAACACAUGCAACUGUUAGGAUCCACAUUACCUCCUUAUUUAUAACCUAUGGAUACUAAAUAAAUUGCAAAAUUUUGUCCAGCAGUUUCAGAUGAUGAUGCAAGCUCCGAGUCUGGAAUACACUGAGCACAAAGAUUUGGACAAACAAUGGCACUCUCCUUGGGGCUCCACUGUGGUUGAUGAUGUAGCUCCUGCAUUUAAAACGAUAGUGGAGGAGAAUUAUUUAUCAUCUUCAACAUUUCAUCUAGACGAUACAAACGAGAAUAGAUUGCAAUGGUGGACACAGAGAAAGAACCUUGAUCACCACCGUCUUGGCAAAUUGGUGAGGUAGGUUUUCACUCCCUUCUUACCCUAAGUUUGUAUAUCCAUGUAUGGAGUUACAAAGGUUCUUUAGUUUGCAUUUGGGAAUAGGGGCCAAGUACCCAAUUCCCAUCCAUCAAAAUUCAUUUAUAGAAUUUACAUCACUCAUCUCUCAUCUCUAAUUGUUUUGGAUUUUGACAUGGUAGUUAAAGAUCAAGAAUUUCAACUGUUGCUAUGUUAAUGGUUGCUGAAAGUGCAUAAACAUUAUAGCAUUAUGCACCACUAAAUUAUUUAUUUUAUCUUCUGGAAAUUCAUUUUUUUAAUAGAUUGUCAACAUACCAUGCCUUUUAUAUGCUAAGGACUUGGAAGAUUUAUGGUUGGGUCCCUGGAGAUACUUGCUUUUGGGGGAAUGUUUGGACUGUGAACGCCUGGAUUUGAUACACAAGAAGCUGGUGCAUGAUCUAAAAUGUAAAAGUCAAAUCGAUGUAAAUAAGAGCCUUCUUAAAAUUAUUGUUUGGAGUGCCAGAUAUUCCCAUGGAAGAGAAGAAUGUUUUUUGCAGCUAUGUUUACACAAAGGCCGUUUUAUUGGUAAAGUGGGAUUUUAUGAUGAAAAAACAAUGUGUAAGGUAUUCUCUAACCACUAUCUAUUCCUUGGAUUGAGUUAUGACCCUACUUUUGUGUUACAGACAUAUGGGGCCAUUGAAGUCCAUGAAAUAUGGCUCUUUAUUAAAAGCUAUCUACAAGUCCAUGAAAUAUGGCUUCUUUGUUUCUUGUCCCCUAUGGAACUGCUAUGAAUUCAUCCACCUCUUAGCCUGAAUCUCAUCAAUUUAUGCAUACGUCAGUAUGAUGUAGUGGAAUUUUUAGAACCUAGACCUUAUCACUUUUUUUUUCCUUGUGGAUGAUUCUAAUUAAGUAGCCUAGUUUCAUCUCUUUCUUUACAUUUCCAAGCUACUUCAUCAUUAUUUGUUUUGCUAUGCAUCAACCGGUAGUAGUUUGUUUUGCUACCGGUAACAUGUGCCCAUUUGGGUUUUGGGGAAAAAAUUUGGCAGUGUCAACCGGUCGAGGAACACCCUCAACCGGUCUCAAAUUGGUUUGCAACCGGUUGCCAUUGGCCAUUUUGGGACGUGCAUCAAGAAAUGGCCAGUGUCUACCGGUUGCAUUUAACCGGUCCACCGGUUAAGACUUACUACAAGCUUUUCCCAACUCUUUUCAUUCCUGCUAGCAAUAGAUGGCAGAGGCAAGCUUGGUCAUUUAAACGGUGAUGUGAGCAAACCAGGAGCACCACAAAAUGAGAGUCACUUCCACCAAAUCUUUGUGUAUGCCAAUAAGCACCACAAAAUGCCCGAUCACAUCCUAAACCUGCGAGAGAAGGAAAGAUAAGGAAUGAUUGCAUAUCUAGAAGCACUUCAACAUAUCUCAAAGUAUCUAUGAUCAUCAUUUUAUUCCUCAAGCAAUUAAUUCUACUUCAAAAGAAUAUGAAAAUAUUUUGAGUUUAGAACAAAGGAUACCCUUAAAUAUAAACUUGUUUAUUCCACUUUUACAAAGAUUACAAUUUAAACCAAAGUUUAAAGUCCAAAACCUCGAUUCAAACAACCCAAACUGUUGGUCAAUAUUUACAUAAUAAUAGAUAGUACCCUAGAUACAAGCAGAAUCCUUGCCUGAUUUCAAGAUAGAAAUUGUAAUAUGGAAAGCAAACUCACAAAUAGCCAUCAAGACAACAAAACCAACAAAAUAACAAUAGUGUUGGUAAGUAUUUACAGUGUUGUGGUACACCAAUAUCAUUUCUGGAAGGCAUCAUUCCUCCACAUGCAUGGCAUUGUAGGUGGACAGUGUUAGGGUUGCACAGGAAUCCAGCAUAUUCAGCACCUGAUGUUUGUAAAUGAAUUAGUUAAAAUAUAUUACAAACAAAAAAAUCAAGCAGCAAAACAUCUCAGGACCAAAUAUUCACAAUUCAUAAGAAGCCAUUGAAUGAACCUUACACUUUGUCUAUAUCAUUACUUAAAAAAGAAUUUUCAUGAGAUUAUCUAAAUCAUGCAAGUAACAGUCAUCAAUACAUGAUAGCAACUUCUUGCAGUAAUACAACUAAUAAAUAAUGCAACAGAACAACCAGUUCAGAUUGAUGGUAAGUAAAUGUGUGCAUGCCAUAUUGCAGUCGAUCAAAUCAAUUAAGCAUACAAUUUCCGAACAUAUUAUUCUGUAGAUAGUUAAUAUUACCACAUUGAGGGCAUGGAAACUCCAAUUCUUCACUUUCCUCAUUUAGUCAUGAAUGUGCCCGUUUCCAACCAAUCAUGGAAAUCUUGUGAAUACAACUCGGUACCAGAAGUUGGUGGGAAAACUGAUUUAUUUAUCUCACACCCGACCAGAUAUUGCAUUUGCAGUCAACAUAGUAAGUCAAUUUUUGCACUCACACUAUGAAGUACAUCUUGAGGCAGUUAACACUUUUUAAAUUCAAUAAUAAUAAUAAUAAUAUUAAUUUUAGUUCUUUUCAUAUAUUAAUUUGUCUUUUGUGAUUUUUUUAAUAAAUAAUUUUUUUUUUUUUUUUUUUUGCUUUCCAAGAAUUUUUGUUGAUUUUUUCAUAAGGUCUAUAACUUUAAAUUAAACAAGCUUGAAUAUAUAUGUUUGUAAUAAUCUUAUAUUAUAUUAGUACUUAAACACAAUUGUAUGUCAUUUUUUUAUGUUUAAUAAUAAAUUUUCAAUAUUAAAGUUAGAAUCUAUAAGAAAAUCAACAAAAACAAUAUAUCAAUUUAGAAAUUAUGAAAUCUAAAAUUUAUAUAAAAAGGUAAAAAGAAAAAAUUAUUUAUGAAUAUUAAAUAAAUGAGAUUUAAAAUAACAUACUGGUUCUAUGAAAAUUUUAAAAAUAACUAAGAUAUGAAAAAAAAAAAAAAAAAACAUGUUAAGUGUAAAUUGGUGAUAAUUUAAAAUCGAGACAAGGAAAAGGACAAAAAUCGAUGCGUUGACCGCGUUGACCGUGCCGCUGCCGGUCGAUCGGGUGACUUACCGGUCGACCGGUUCAUUGGGGUGAGAAUUUAAAGCGCCUCCCGCGCCUCAGUUUCUCACUCAUUUCUUCUGGUGCUUCAAGCCUUGUGUCGUUCCAGCUCCCCUCAAGGGAUUUUAUACGCCAUUACAGCCUUCUGAGACGUACGGAUUGGAUUGUGGAGUCUAGGGUUUUGGAUUUUGGGACUCAGGGCUACGCAUUUGGGCGAUUUCCUCCUCAGUUGGCGCGUCAGAGCCUGCGUCAGUGUAUUCCCGCUCUUGAGGCCUUUCAGGUGUGUGUGCAUCCCUCUCUUCAGCCUCAUCUCCUUCAUCUCAGCCUUUCGGAUGGCACCUAGGAGAGAGUCAGCUGCUUCCAGGGCUCAGGGCAAGCGCCCUGCUGAGCCAUCUCAGCCAGAUCAGUCCGAGGCUCGCCGAAAGGCGAGGUACGACACCGCUCUUUUCGCUUUUGUCGAAGACUACCAGAGAUAUAAACAAAAAUUUGCCCAGAAGAAAGUUGUUCCAGGGAGAAGCAUCAAUUUCUCCCAGCUUAAGUACUUUGGAUUUGAGGAGAUUUUUGGACGGAUGAGAUGGCUGCCAGUGGUGACUAUUUCGGAGUCUAUCUUCCCGACUCUGAUUCGCACUUUCUACUCACGGGUGACCUACGGGGUUGGAGGACCGAUCACGUCGACUGUCAGAGGAGUUGAGAUCACCUUGAGUCCGGAGAGCAUUUGCCGGAUUUUCGAUAUACCAUCAGUUGGACUCAGGGUGUAUGAGUCCAAGGUGUGGCCCACGGUGCCGGGAUUUGAGCCCAGAGAGGCUAUUCAGAGGCUGUGUGGACUUGCCGAUGCCCAGGGGAUGGGCAAACCCUCUGCACAUAGCCUGACAGUGAUUAGCCGUAUCCUUCAUCACAUGGUGUGCACCAUUCUGUUGCCACGGGGCGGACAUCUAGACGAGGUAGCCUACCUCGAGGCUUUCAUAGUGGAUUCCAUUUUGACAGGGAGACGGAUUCAUGUCGGGUACCUGAUGAUGAUGCAUAUGAUAUCUUGCUGUGAGAGCAAGACCCGCGUCCUCCCCUAUGGUCGCUUCCUCACGAGAGUAUUCAAGGAUGCCGGGGUUGAUUUGAGCCGCGAGACAGAUUUCGAGGCCCCAACCACGUAUGACACAUAUGACGAGCAGUCUCUUGCCCGUAUGAAGUUUGAGAAGGCCCCUGAUGGCUCUUGGAUCAGGAGAGCUGAGCGACCACCGCCACAGGACCAGGGGUAGGGACAGCUGCAUCCUGUAGAUGAGGAGGAGGCCGAGAUUGGAGAGAUGGAGGGUGGGCUAGACCCUCAGAGGGACUUUGAGCAGAGCAUGCCUGAGUGCGACAUUCCUCCUCCUGAGCCGAUGAUAUCUAAGCCGGCAUACACAGCUGGACCAUCUGAGCCUUCUCACGCAGAGAUACCAUUUCAGGCACCUCACGCACCCGAUCAUGCACCUUGGAUGGAUUUAUCCGCUCAGAUCAGUUCUCUCGGGACUCGUAUGGAGGAGCUUGCAGUCGUCAAUGAUACUCGUUUCCACUCUAUGGAGGAUCGCAUAGAUGAGUAUCAGACCGGCUUCACCUCUCAGUUUGAGCAUCUCGAUCAGAGACUUGGGCAUCUUCAGGAGCGUAUGGAUCACCAACAUGAGGAGAUGAUGGCCUACCUUCGCUCAGUGUUUCCUCCACCUCCGCCUUGAUAUCUUCGAGACCCCCCCCCCCCCCCCCUCCCCUUCGUUUGUUUUUUAUGUUACCAAAGGGUCUAGGGGACAUGAGGACACAUGCAUGACAUUUCCAUAUCAUUAGUCUUGUGUUGUGUAUAUGCGAUAUUAUUAUAUAUGAUAUGAUAUUUUCGGAAUUCACAUUGUCUCCUACUGAAAUUUUGCAUGUCAUUUAAAAUUUUUGCUUUAAUUGAUCCAUGUUUGGAUUGAGGGGGAGAUUUCUUCUCUCCUAGAUAAGGAAGGUUUGUCAUCAUCAAAUAGGGGGAGAUUGUUAGCCGAAGGGUGCCCCUAAUCGGGUUUUGAUGAUAACAAACCAUGGUUAAGUGAUUAAUUGUUUUAAAUUCUCAGGUAUAAACUCGAAAAUUCAUCAAAGGACUAAAUGGAUACAUGAUCGAGACGCUUCAAAGACUUGAGAUCAUAGGAAAUAAAUGUAGGAUGAUAGCACGAGUGCACUUAGGAUGUUCAUACCUUUUCAUGCAUCUUAGAAAACUCGGUUUAUUCUUUAAAACUUGAUUUUCUUUAAAACCAGAUUUUUAUCAAACAUACCUUAGGAAAAUUGAUUAUAAAUUGGUAUAUUAAUUCACCUAAAGACCUUGCCUAAGUAGUACAAAAGAAAGGAAUUUUCAAAAGGAAGGUUUUUGGGGUAAAAAUGCUCAACCGGUCGACUCUAUGUAUCAGCCGGUCGACCGGUUUAUCAUGUCCGGUCCAUACCGGUCGAGGAGUGUCAUAAACACACUCUCUCAUCUAAUGGUUUAGCCUGUCAGCAGCUAGUGUCAGCUGCACCAUCAAGUCAUCCAUCCUGUCUUUCUUUCCCCUAAACUUGGAAGUAUUACAGAGUUGAGAGUUUACAUAUUUUGAGAGCCUCGCUGUAAGUCACUAUAAACUAAUUCUUUUCUCCAUAGCUAUUGAUCUAAUACUCUGAAACCUAGACAUAUGACUCAGCCUCAAAUCUAGAUGUUUUAGGUCACCCCUCCAUGGAGGGCAGGAAAAUAUUCUAGGUACAUUAUCCCAGGGCAUAGUUGUGACCACACUGAUCAUUAUGCGAGAAGUCGUAUUAGAGUUGUCAUUUGACAUAAAGUGAGGAUACUUUAGUAUCAAAAUUAUUCAUUUUUUUCGGCAAUACCUGGCAUUAGCACUUUCAUUUUGUGAAAUGGCAUGAUUUAAGACACUUUCUGGAGUCACUAAUUGCAGAAGAGUUAAAAGUCCUUUGUCUCAUGGUUUGGCAUGGGAGGGUUAGGUUUCAACUUAGACACUUAAAAGAACCGUGUUGGUUUCCUGAAUUUCAACAAGAAAACACAUUAUACGAACUCAAAUAAUGUGGCAUAACACAACAAAGUAGUGUAAGUCCAGCAGAAAAAACAAGAAAAAAGGACAUGAAAGCCAUUUAUGUAUCUCUCCCAUAUCACUCACUGCACUGCACCUCUACUAACACUAUCUCUUGUGGCCCUUGCUUUGCCUUUCCCUAGCAACAACUUAAUGCCCACAUUUUGGUAAAGUUUGUGAGUAGAGCUACUAAUAUUCUCAAAAACUUUUCAUGGAUUAGUAGUGAAGUUCUUCAGUACUUAAUUUGUUGUAUAAAAUUUAUAUUUUAGUAAAAUACCCGAACUUGUUUAAUUGUGAAAAUCCAAAAUCAAUCAAAUUAAUAUAUUAAUACUAACGGGUCUUUCGUAAAACUUAAGACAUUUCAGUAAUUAAUUUACUUUAUCAAAUUUAAGGUUUAAUAAAGUUCAGAUAUCGAAGAAUAAAAAAACAUGGUACUAAGUUUUCUUUUUUUUAAAAAUAAAAUAAACAAAUACAUGUUAAAUUAAAGUUCUCUAUUCACAACAACCUAGGACACAUAUUCUAGAUAUUUCUGUUUUUAGUAAAAAAUCUCAUCUCUUGCAAAACCACAAACCUGAUGCAACAGCAACAUUAUUGAAAAUAACAAAAAAGCAAUGGUUAUUAAAUCAGAAAUGAAAAGGAAAAUAUUAAGGUUCACAUGAUCUGUAAUUAACAGAGAGGGGUUUAUGCUCAUUCCUAUAUAUACCUAAAUCCACAUGGAUCAAAGUUAGGCCAGACGUUGUCAUACUGAAAAUAAAUGUAAAGAUAAAGAACUACGACCAUAGAGUUUGUUUGGAAAUGAAAGAAUGGCAACUUCCCUUUUCUUGAUGAUUGGAGGAACAAUGGUCAUUUCUGCAUUUUUUGAUUCUCUGAUAGUUACCAACCGGUCGACAAAAUGCAUCAACCGGUACCAAGUUGUUUUGCUACCGGUAGCAACUGAUCAGUUUGGGUGGUGCAUGCAGAAAUGACCAGUGUCUACCGGUCGAGUGCACAGAUCAACCGGUUGACAUUUACCGGUCGACCGGUUAAAUAUUGAUACACUCGGGUGCGAUAUGCUUGCCUGCUUGCAUAAAUUAUCGUACUAAGUUUUAGCCCUCUUGUUCCUUAUUAACGCCAUUCCUGAUUUACUAUUUUAAAUACAUUUUUUGCACAAUUAGAUCAUCUCAAAUUAAUUUGUGUAACUUGUGAAUUUAUGGUAUGGAAGUUCCUUAAAGGAGACUUCAGAUUCACCUCCCCUUGUUGCUGCUGCGUCUAUUGGGCUCAUGGGCCUCGUUGGUGUAAAUGUGGACAAAUUUGUGGAAUUUUUGGGAAUGUUGUAGAAAUUUGGUAUGUGGGGUGUUGACGAAUCUUUGGGCUUUUAUUCCAAUAAAUGCAUGAGAUUGAUUUUGAUCCAUGAUUAUAUAAAGAGGGAUCCAAGCAUAGCAUUGGUUAUGGUUUUCAACUAAUCAAGAUAUUUAUAGAAAGAGAUGUAUAAAUUUUCUUGUCGUAUUUUAUAAAUUUGGUAACUUCAUUUUUUGGAACUGGUGCCACUCGGCUUGUGUAUAUAGUACAAAGACCUUUGCAUGCCUGAAGUUAAAAUUGAAUAGAUUCAUAUUAGUCCACUUAGAACACUAUCAGCAACAUGGGUACUAAUAAUAUCAAAUCAGCAAUUUCUCCAGUAACAGAGAAUGGCAAUGUGUGUGUGUGUGUGUUUGUGUGUGUGUGAGAGAGAGAGAGAGAGAUAGAGAGAGAGGACACCUCAUUAAUGUCACACUGCUUAUCAGCUUCAAUAUAAAUACAACCCUUUACAUGAUCAACUAAAAAAACAGAUAUUAUCUGCAGCUUAGUUCCUAGUGACUGCAAGUCAACGUAAUUAUUCAUAAGACAGAAAGCUGAAAGCCUCUCCCGUCCAACCUACAGCCAAGAUAUUCUUCAGGUCAACUCAACAAAUGAAAGGAGCGUAAAAGGGGAGGGAUUGCUCAAGGCAUUCCAAAUUCAGAUCUCAAAUUAUUAAACAUUGUACCAUGCACUUGACUUUCCAGAUCGUUGGAUCCUUAAUAGAAGGGAUAAGCGAGUUUCUGUUUCACUGAUCUUUUCGUCUCAUAAUCAUCUUCAGCAUAGGUAACAAAUUUAGAACCAUCCUUGUAACAUUCUUCUACCAUCUUUUCAAGAUCUUCCUCACUCAGCUCCUUUUCAUUGGGAAAAAAUGGAAGGUUAUGGGCUUUUCCAGCUUCGUUCUUAACUUUUUGGCCUGUAUUGAAUUAAUCCGCUUCAAAAUCUGUUCCCAAAGACGGAAAAACAGAAUUAUCAAUCUAUAUAACACAUUGAUAGGAUGAAGUAAUGCAAGAUAAAUUAUCAAUCUUAACUUUUAGCCCUGUAUUGAAUUCAUCCUCCAAAAAAUAUGUUCCCAAAGACGAAAAAACAGAAUUAUCAAUCUAUAUAACACAUUGGUAGGAUGAAGUAAUGCAAGAUAAACCAAAAUUAUCCCCUACCGUAACAACGAAACAUGAUGCCUAAACAUCACCACAUCCACUAAUUUUUAUUUUUUAUAUAAGUAAUAAAUUUUCUUACCAAAUGCGUAAAAAGAGAGCAAGAGUAUCAGCACAUCCAUUAAUAUAAUCAAUGGACUCUUACCAAAUGCGUAAAAUAUGCUUGUGUAUAAAAAUUCAGACUAGCCAGCUACAAUUUACAUCUUCCAUGGGUUUUCAUUUUUCCUCGACCAGUACUCGACCGGACGCCAUAAGCCAGUCGACCGAUCCAUCAACAGGUUGACCGGUUGAUCUAAUCCUCGACCGGUUGAGUUUUUUUGGCCUCGAAAAACCUAUUUUCUAAUUCCUUUCUUUUCUAAAACUUAUGGAAGGUCUUUAGGUGAGUUAAUAUGCGAAUUUUGAAUCAAUUUGCCUAAGGUCUAUUUGAUAAAACUCGGGUUUUAAAGAAAAUCAAGUUUUAAAUAAAAAACCGAGUUUUCUAAGGUGCAUGAAAAGGUAUGAACAUCCUAAGUGCACUCAUGCUAUCAUCUUACAUUCAUUUCCUAUGAUGUCAAGUAUUCCAAUCGUCUCGAUAUUGUAUCCAUUUGGUCCUUUGAUGAAUUUCGUAGUUAAUACUUGAGAUUCUUAAACAUUAAACCAAUUAGUUACUUAACCAUAGUUUGUUAUCAUCGAAACCCGAUUAGGAGAACCCUUGGGCUAACAAGCUCCCUCUAUUUGAUGAUGACAAACCUUGGUUAUCUAGGAUAGAAAGAAAUCUCCCCCUCAAACCAAUCAUGGAUCAAUCAAAUGAUAAGCAAUGUAAAACACGAAGAAUCAAUUGAUAAAAAUAUCAUAUCAUAUCAUAUAUAUAUGGAAAUCUCACAUGUACAAUAAGAUAGAUAUGACAUUGAUAACAAUGACAUGCAUGAGAGACUAAUAGAUCCUAUAGAUCGUACAUCCUAUAAAUAUCUCCCCCUUUGGCAACAUAAAAAAGAAACGAAGGGGGAUCCCAAACACACUCAUGGCUGAGGAGGUGGUGGUGGAAACACAGAACGUAUGUAAGCCAUCAUCUCCUCGUCAACGUUAUUAUCUUUGUAAAAAAGGGGAAAAAAAUAAUAAUUUGAUAUUAUUAUUGUAACAUGUACAAAAUUAAAUAAAAUGAAGUUAUUAAAUAAAUUAAUUUAAACUAUAAAUAUUAUAAAAAUAAUAAAUUGGAUUUAGAUUAGGUUUGGGUUGUUCGAAUUUUUAUUUGUAUUUCACCUUAAUUAAGUUUGGGGAAAAAAAAUUGUACCCUAAGAUUAUAAAUAAUUGUCGAACCUUAUCCAAAAAAAGGUUGGCUUAAGUCAUGACAACUUGCCUAAAUUGCACCUCCUAAUUCCGAUUAUCCAAAAAAGACUUGAUGGCCUAUUGAAGAAAAAGGAUCAAAUCUCAAUAACCCCUUAAAUGAGGAUUCAACAUAAGAUCAACAUUUUUUAAACAAGUAAAUUUUGGAACGACUUUGUGGGAUUGAAAGAAACUAACAAAAACCAACAAAGGUACAAAAACUGAUACAUAUGGUGGUAGCAUAAGGUUAUAUAAUUCAUUAGUUACUUCAAAUGCAAUUAUUAUGAUCUGUGCGAACGGUCAUUUAUUAUUUUAUUCAUGUUCGUUAUGUCCAUGUUGAAUUGUGUUAUUUAACUAAAAAUUGCAUCAAAUGCAUUGGAAGCCUAUGUCUAUACAUGAUAAGAUUUGGUUUUUUAAGGAUCACAAGGUUCGUUUGGUGUUUGAUGUCAGCUUGUCUGUGGGUAAGCCUAUGUCUUGAUCUAUGUUGUUGGGAAUAGUAACAAAGAGAAGUCAUAUGUCAUGAUCUAAUCGCCAUAUCACAUACCUAAAUGAAAACAAAAUGAAUUUUAUUAACCGGUCGACCGGUUAACUUCUGCCGGAUGCGUACUUUUCUCAACCGGUAGCCACUGGCCCUUUUGGUUGCUGGAUUCUCAAAUGGACAGUGGCUACCGGUUGAGAAAAGUAAGAAACCGGUAGAAGAUAACCGGUCGACCGAUUAACAUUUCCUUGUAUAAGUUGUAAUUUGUUUGGAUUCCCCUAUAGAUUUGUGUAUUGAUAGGCCAUUUGGUAUUUUGCUACCUGUAAUUGCUCUUUCUUUGAAGGGACAUCAUUGUGGUAAACGAACAUCCAUAUAAACCGACCUUUAGUUGCGUGCAAGCGGGUAUAUAUUUUAUGUGAAGGUGCGUUAAUAAUAGAGGUCGAAGUGAUUAUUAAUAAUUUAAACUAUAAAUANNNNNNNNNNNNNNNNNNNNNNNNNNNNNNNNNNNNNNNNNNNNNNNNNNNNNNNNNNNNNNNNNNNNNNNNNNNNNNNNNNNNNNNNNNNNNNNNNNNNUAAACUAUAAAUAUUAUAAAAAUAUUAAAUUGGAUUUUGAAUCCUCACAUUCUUCGUACCCUCCCAAUUCUCCAAAAAUACUAAAAAAUUCAAAAAUAUUAAAAAAUUAACAAGGGUGCGAGGAAUGUGAGGAAUCUUCACAUUCUUCGUACCCUCCCAAUUCUGCACUUAUUUGGACUUUUUAAAAAUAUCUGGGGCAUCAUAUGGCUUGUAUGUUGUUUAAGUUGGUCCGUUACACUUAGAAGGUGGUCAAAUGACAUCCGGAAAAAUCGAAAUCCAAAAAUACUAAAAAAUUCACAAGGGUACGAAGAAUGUGAGGAAUCCUCACAUUCUUCGUACCCUCCCAAUUCUCCACUUCUUUGGACUUUUUAAAAAUAUUUGGGGCAUCAUAUGGCUUGGAUGUUGUUUAAGUUGGUCCGUUACACUUAGAAGGUGGUCAAAUGACAUCCGGAAAAAUCGAAAUCAAAAAAUACUAAAAAAUUCACAAGGGUACGAAGAAUGUGAGGAAUCCUCACAUUCUUCGUACCCUCCCAAUUCUCCACUUCUUUGGACUUUUUAAAAAUAUUUGGGGCAUCAUAUGGCUUGGAUGUUGUUUAAGUUGGUCCGUUACACUUAGAAGGUGGUCAAAUGACAUCCGGAAAAAUCGAAAUCAAAAAAUACUAAAAAAUUCACUACAUUUUGAGGGUGUGAAAUGGAUCGUAAAAUUCAAAGUGAAAGUUUACCGAACAAAUAUGUGAGGGGUUUAAACUUUUUUGGAUUUAAUAUGGCUUGGAUAUUGUUUAAAUCAGUUCAUUAUACUUAGGAGGUGGUCAAAUGAUUUCCAGAAAAAUCCAAAUCUAAACAUACUCAAAAAAUUCUGUACAUUUUGAGGGUGUGAAAUGGAUCGUAAAAUUCAAAGUGGAAGUUUACCGAAAAAAUAUGUGAGGGGUUUGGAUUUCCAUAUUGUUAGUAAUUAUACCUUUUUUGUAUUUUCAAUAUUUCAACCAAUUUUUUUUGAAAAGCUAAGAAAUCUCAAUUAAUAAUUAGUACACAACUAAUUUAAUUUUAAUUUGAUAUAUAUUUUAUAAAAUUUAGUUCUAGUUUUCCUAUUUUUUUAAGUUCAUAAACCAAUUAUAUUGCUUUUCACACUUCAAAUAUUAGUCAAAUUUUUUUCAACAAAUUAUUUGAUGUUAAAAUAAAAUAAAUUUACUUUUCCUUAAUUUCUAAAUUAUAUCACCAAAUUCUUUAUAAUUUUUUUUAUUUUAAAUUUAAUUUUUAUGUGGGGUUUAAUCACUUUAUAGUACAAAAAUAAAUAAACUGUAAUUUAUUUUUUCAAAAUUUUCUUUAUUUAUUAUUUGAUGUUAAAAUAAAUUAAAUUUACUUUUCCUUAAUUUCUAAAUUAUAUCACCAAAUUCUUUAUAAUUUUUUUUAUUUUAAAUUUAAUUUUUAUGUGGGGUUUAAUCACUUUAUAGUACAAAAAUAAAUAAACUGUAAUUUAUUUUUUCAAAAUUUUCUUUAUUUAUUAUUUGAUGUUANNNNNNNNNNNNNNNNNNNNNNNNNNNNNNNNNNNNNNNNNNNNNNNNNNNNNNNNNNNNNNNNNNNNNNNNNNNNNNNNNNNNNNNNNNNNNNNNNNNNUUCAUAAACCAAUUAUAUUGCUUAUCACACUUCAAAUAUUAGUCAAAUUUUUCUCAACAAAUUAUUUGAUGUUAAAAUAAAUUAAAUUUACUUUUCCUUAAUUUCUAAAUUAUAUCACCAAAUUCUUUAUAAUUUUUUUUUAUUUUAAAUUUAAUUUUUAUGUGGGGUUUAAUCACUUUAUAGUACAAAAAUAAAUAAACUGUAAUUUAUUUUUUCAAAAUUUUCUUUAUUUAUUAUUUGAUGUUAAAAUAAAAUAAAUUUACUUUUCCUUAAUUUCUAAAUUAUAUCACCAAAUUCUUUAUAAUUUUUUUUAUUUUAAAUUUAAUUUUUAUGUGGGGUUUAAUCACUUUAUAGUACAAAAAUAAAUAAACUGUAAUUUAUUUUUUCAAAAUUUUCUUUAUUUAUUAUUUGAUGUUAAAAUAAAAUAAAUUUACUUUUCCUUAAUUUCUAAAUUAUAUCACCAAAUUCUUUAUAAUUUUUUUUAUUUUAAAUUUAAUUUUUAUGUGGGGUUUAAUCACUUUAUAGUACAAAAAUAAAUAAACUGUAAUUUAUUUUUUCAAAAUUUUCUUUAUUUAUUAUUUGAUGUUAAAAUAAAUUAAAUUUACUUUUCCUUAAUUUCUAAAUUAUAUCACCAAAUUCUUUAUAAUUUUUUUUAUUUUAAAUUUAAUUUUUAUGUGGGGUUUAAUCACUUUAUAGUACAAAAAUAAAUAAACUGUAAUUUAUUUUUUCAAAAUUUUCUUUAUUUAUUAUUUGAUGUUAAAAUAAAUUAAAUUUACUUUUCCUUAAUUUCUAAAUUAUAUCACCAAAUUCUUUAUAAUUUUUUUUAUUUUAAAUUUAAUUUUUAUGUGGGGUUUAAUCACUUUAUAGUACAAAAAUAAAUAAACUGUAAUUUAUUUUUUCAAAAUUUUCUUUAUUUAUUAUUUGAUGUUAAAAUAAAAUAAAUUUACUUUUCCUUAAUUUCUAAAUUAUAUCACCAAAUUCUUUAUAAUUUUUUUUAUUUUAAAUUUAAUUUUUAUGUGGGGUUUAAUCACUUUAUAGUACAAAAAUAAAUAAACUGUAAUUUAUUUUUUCAAAAUUUUCUUUAUUUAUUAUUUGAUGUUAAAAUAAAUUAAAUUUACUUUUCCUUAAUUUCUAAAUUAUAUCACCAAAUUCUUUAUAAUUUUUUUAUUUAUUUUAAAUUUAAUUUUUAUGUGGGGUUUAAUCACUAUGUAGUACAAAAAUAAAUAAACUGUAAUUUAUUUUUUCAAAAUUUUCUUUAUUUUUCUGUUUCAUAAAAAAAAAUUCCUAAACAAAAUAAUUACAUUAAACAAAUUUAUAAUUGGUUAAUGUAAUAAAUGUAACAAUGUGUGUUGCAUGAAAUUAUUUCCCAUGGCAACCGGUUGGGUGACUUGAAGAACAGGUUUUGUUUUUUUUUUCUUUUUUAAAUGCCAUGUGUCUCUACCCUAUUAGCCCAAAAAAAGUUGGUAUGGUACCGAAAAGUGCUUUUCGGUACCGUAGCAAGACCCUAAAAAAUAACAUAAAUAUAUUUCAUGGAGUGGACCAGUGUGUACUUAGUUGACCAGGACUGACGACAGCAAUGACGUGGAAUGAUCAAAGCAAUGACCUCUCGUGGAAGCAACCAGAGCAUUGGAUGCUCCAUAACCAAACUUUACUUCACUCGCAAACUUGUGGCACAAGCUCAUUAGUUUUAGUUCUAUUAUUUACUAGUAAAAUUAAAAUUUAAUAAGUUUUUAAAAAUAAAUAAAUGUGCUGAUUUUUUUUUAAUGCAGAUAUUAUAUAUAUAAAAGCUAAAUUGCUUUCUAUUUGAUAAUAUUUUUGGAUUUAAAUAUGAUAUUAAUUUUAAAAUUAAAUUAUUUUUGUACAAAUGAUAAAAAUACAGGAAUAUGUCAACCGACAGUUUUAAUUUUUUUUUUUAAAAAAGUGAUUACAUUAAAAUGAGAUUUGAUAAAUAAAUUCUAGACUGAUAAAAACCAUAUAGAAAAACUUAAAAUAUUGGAAUUCUGGAAUUCUGGAGAAAGAAAGAAAACUGAGAUAAUGAUAUAAUAUGGAAGGAAAGUGCAUGCUGAGAUAAGGAAUGAGCAUCACCACCUCCUAGAAAUUUCCAAGGUUUUAACCCACUCUCUGAGAUUUGCUAUAAAUACUUGACAAUUUCCCUUGGGUUGUUCAUCAAUACUUGAGUCUGAAUCUUAUUGAUCACAGUAGGAGCAAUGGCAGACGAGAUUAUCUUGUUGGAUUUCUGGCCUAGCAUGUUUGGUAUGAGGGUCAGACUUGCCCUGUCAGAGAAGGGCCUCAAGUAUGAAUAUAAAGAGGAGGACCUUAGGAACAAGAGCCCUCUGCUUCUUGAGAUGAAUCCAGUUCAUAAGAAAAUCCCGGUUCUGAUCCACAAUGGAAAGCCCAUUUGUGAGUCUCUGUUAAUAGUUCAGUAUAUUGAUGAGGUUUGGCACGAUAAAUCUCCGCUUUUGCCUAGUGACCCAUACCAGAGAGCCCAGGCCAGGUUCUGGGCGGACUACGUAGACAAGAAGGUAUGUCUUUGCUGUUGAUUUAAAGCCUUUUUUUUCCAUUGAUUCAUGGCGAUUGGCUCAGAUUUUGAUAAUGAUGAGGGAUUUGUCCAAAAUGCUGGGUUCUUCUUCACACAUUCUCUUCUGACAUUAAGUUUUGUGGGCCUUGGGGUCUCAAACUAGAACUUUACUGAUUCUCUUUGCUGCGUGUGCAACAAGACUCCACUUUGCAUUUCUGAUGUGGGUUUUCAGUUCUUUGUUAUAUAUGGGUUUUCAUUUCUUUGUUCUGCUGAAUCUGAAGUCCGUUCUUUCCACCCAAAAAAGCAGAUCUCAAGAAUGCCUUUUCCCUCAAGAAAGGGGAUCCAAAAACCAGUUUUUACAGCACAGUGUUUGGUUUUUUUUUGUUAUCCUGAUGUUCAACAUUUUGCAGAGCAGUUCUUUUAAUACAUGUUUUGUUGCUUUGAUCUCUUUCUUCUCAUUUUCUAAAACCCACAUUGAGGGGAAAAGCUUUAGCAAAUGAUACAUUCUUUCAACUGAUUCUGAUAUUUUUCUGCCACCGGCCCUUCAUUUAAUAUGUUCCUAGUAUAUGAGAUUUCUAUGCUGAAGGGUCCUUAAUAAACUUGUCCAACUAUACAGAAAGUUGAAACUUGAUGAAAUGCUCCAAAAAAAUAACCCUUUUCUCUCUUUGACUUUAUUGUUUUCCACAGCUCUAUGAACUUGGAAGGAAGAUAUGGUCAACCAAAGGAGAAGAGCAGGAAACAGCCAAGAAGGAAUUCAUAGAGUGCCUCAAGCUUCUGGAAGGAGAGCUUGGAGAGAAGCCUUACUUCGGCGGUGAAAAAAUUGGGUUUGUGGAUGUGGCUCUGGUGACCUUCUCUUGCUGGUUUCAUGCAUAUGAGAGCUUUGGAAACUUCAGCAUAGAGGCGGAGUGUCCCAAGUUGAUAGCUUGGACCAAGAGGUGCAUGGAAAAGGAGAGCGUGUCGUCUUCUCUGGAAGACCCACACAAGGUCCAUGGCUUUGUUAUGGGGAUGAGAAAGAAGCUUGGCAUAGAAUAACUAUUUUGUAGUGUUGCUGUGGUAAUAUUAGAUAUAUGUGAGUGUUUGGCUGUUUGCUUAAGUUUUUGCUUUGAAAUUGUAUGGUUACUAUUUGCAGUUGAAACCCCUUUUGGAGGGUUGGUGGGUUUGCUGGAAAGAAAUGUUUUGAAUUUGUUUUCAUUUGUUUUGGACUGGACUAGAGAGGUGUUCUUUGUAUUCCAUCAUUUCGUGUCAUAAACAAGUAUUAACACAAGUUGGAUAAGGCAUGCCUCUGGCCCUUUAUGGUAACGUACAAAGAUAUCAUGGGCCUACAAAGAUAUCAUGGGCUACAGAAUAGGUUAGGGCCCGCUUUUUAAAUCACUUUUUUUAACUAAUAUGUUUGGCAAAAGAUGUUCUUCAAUAAUUUAAUUCAUCUUCCUUGUCGGUCAUUUUAAGUAACAAGAAAAUGAAAAAGAAAUAAGAGAAAAGUUCAAUCACGUUCCAUAAUGUUUGUUUUUGAAAAUUGCUUUUAUGUUAAACAAACAAAAAUAAUUUUUUAAAAUUUUAUAAAAUUUUAUAAAAUAAGGAUGUUUGACAAGUUAUUUUGAAAUUGGUUUUUCUUUUAAAAAAAAAUAAUUUUUCUAUGUUGAUUUUGUAAAAAUAUUCUAAAUUUAAUUAAUAGAAAUUUAAUUGAGGUCUUAUAAAAAAUGAAAUUAGUUUUAAAUUAUAAAUAAAUUAAAAAUAGUAUAAUAUAUCAGCGUGGACCUAUUUUUUUUACGUGCGUCCUCACUCGACGAUGAGACUCGUUUUUUAUUUAUUUGGUGAAAAAUAUGAUUUUUAGAAAAAGAUUUGAAGUCCUCAUUGAUUUUUGUUUUAUUUUUCAAGGGAAAGACAAAAUAAAAAAUAAAAACCCUAAAUAUGAUUUCUGAAGGAAAAAUAGGUUUGUGAAAAAUCGAGUUUGGGUUUGGGGAUCAAGUUACUUAUUAGGAAGGUAUGGUAAUGAGUUAUAACACCCCUCUAAGCUCGUUUAUGUACGACCUCUACUAAAUGAAUUAAGGAAAUUGUGACAAUUAAUUAAUUAAUUAUAGAUACCAAGAAAAAUAAUCAUGUAAAUGAGUAUGUACAAGUCAAGGUGAAAAUUAAUAUACACAAAAAUAAUGAUGAAAUCUAAUUACAAGAAUACACAAAAUAAAUAACAAAAGAAUUAUGCAAAAAUAAUUUAUUGAACUAAAUAAAAAAUAUUAAAAAAAUAGUUUUCAAGAAAUUUCGAAGGAUUUUAUUAAAAAUGAUUUUUAAUUAAUGAUUUUAAUUUUUUUUAUUUACAAAAAAGAAGUUUCAAUUUAUUUUCAAUUAAUGAUUUGAUUCAAUUUCAUUUGUAUUUAAUUUUUUUUAAAAAAAAAGUUAUUUGCACUUAUUAUAUCAAAAGAAUUUAUUACAAAAUUUCAAUUUGGUAAUAAAAAUGAUUUUUACUUGCUUUUACAAAAAAAAUUACAAUUUUAUUUACGAAAGUAUUUCACUUUGUUUUAAUUUGAGAAAAGUGACUUAUACAAAUUAUUAAAAAGAAUAUAACUUUAUUUGCAAAAGAAUUUUUAAUUAAAAAUUAAUUUUUGGGACAACUUUAUUUACAAAAUAAUGUUUGGACAAUUUUUAUUAAACAAAUAAAUUUUUGGACAAUUAUUAUUAAAAAUAAUUUUUCAAAUUCUAUUAAAAACAAUUUUUUUGGAUUUUUCUAAAAGCAUUUUUUUGAAUUUUUAUUAAUAAAAAAAACUUUCUUUUAUUAAAAAGAAUAUUUUAAAAUUAUUAUUUUAUUAGAAUAUAUUUACUAAAUUAUUCCUCUUAUUUAAAUGACAAUUUUGAUUUGUUAAAUAUUUAAUUCUGUAUAUACUCAAUAAAUAUAUACAAACUAAUAUUUACAAGAACUAAUAGAAAUAAAAUCAAACAGAAGUGAGCAAUAAAACGUGUACCCAAAUAAGGUUACAACAAGCUUAAUGUCUCUCUACAACUUUUUUAUUCUUACUUUCUUCCAUGAAAUUUUGUGCUUCACGUGUUAUAAAUUUGUACUCAGCCAAUAGAAUUGCAGAAUAGGCCCAUGCAAAAACAAAAAUAGUUCAAAUGUAAAUAUCCAAAGGUGUACAAAAUCCUUAACAAAUAUUCAAACUCAAAUUCAAAUUUCAAAUUAGUUCGAUAAAUCUUGUCAAUCAAAAUGGACACAAAUUAACAAAUAUAACCUAACAAAAACAUCUCACAUGCUAUAAACCUUAAUCCAAAAAUUUCAAAUUAAUAACCAAAAUACAACACAAUUAGCCAAGCCCAAAAUAUCACAAAAUAAAAUAAAUUCAAUUAGGCCUAAAUUUAAUAUUUCAUAAUCCAAGCCUAAUUUAAUAUACACCAUAAUUGUCCCACAUCCAAAUUAAAUAGUUCAAAUUGGUGAAGCUCAUAUCAAAUAUUCAAGUCAUCAAUCAAAUUUCACCCACAUUGUGGACCCAAAAUCCAUACCUAUAUUAUGGGUCCAAAAUUCAUAUCAAUUAACAAGCCCACAUUAAUAAUACACAUGACCAAAGAAAAUAAUUUCCCAAGCCCAAUCCAAUAAGCCCAAAUAAAUAACAUUAGAUUCAAGUCAAAAUCAAUUACUAUGCAAACAAAAAUAAAAAAAUAAAGAUAAAAAAAUGAAAAUAAAAUAAAGUAAAAAGGAAAUUUACCCUUUUUUUUUAUAACUAUGGGUGGUAGGAUUGCUAGUCGGCAGUGACUGGCAGGUAAUGGCGGGUGGUGGCGGGCAGUGGUUGUCGGUAGUGGUGGGUGGUGGUUGGCCGGUAGUGGCCGUGGAGUGUGGGGAAGGGAAAAGGAAAGAAAAAGGAAGAGAAAAAAAAAUGAAGGAAGAUGGGGAGCGUGUGACAGUGGGGGUUUGUGGAAAAUGGCAGUGUAGAGAGAAGGACUAUGAGAAGAAGAAAAAAAAAAUGGAAGAGAAAAUGGGGACCAUCGUGUGUGAUAGUUGGGGGGAAGAAAAAAAAAAGAAAAAAGGAAGGGAGGAGAUGGGAGAGUUGACCGUGUUUGGUGUGUGGGUCGUGGAGCGGUUGUUGUGUUGGAAGGGAGCCUGAAGAAGAAAUGAUGGAGGAAAAAAAAGUGAAGAGAGGAACGUAGAGAAAGAUGAUAAAAAAAAAAAAAAAAAAAAAAAAACUUGGAGGGGGUAUGGGGAGUGGCUUAGACAUGUAGGAGAAGGAAAUGGGUAAGGGAAGUAGGUGGAGUGGGUAGAAUGAGGGGAAAGAGGAAGAGAGAAGAGAGAAGAGAGUGAAAAUAAAUAAAAUUAAAUUAAAAAUAAAAAUAUAAUAAUAAUAAUAAUAAUAAUAAUAAAUAAAUAAAUAAAUAAAUAAAAAUAAUAAUAAAAAUAAUAAUAAAAAUAAUUUAUAAAAUAAUAAAAACUAAGAAUUAAAGGGUGUAAGUGGGCUAAACAAUUAAGAUGUAAUCAAAAUUUAAAUCUAAGGAUAAAAUUGAGCUCAAUAUCAAUGUAAAAAUAAAAUUAGGACAAAUUUUGGGGUCUACAAUCGGUUUUCAUAUAUUAUUUCUUAUGGUGAUUAGAUCUAUUUACUAGGUUGUAACUUAAAAAAAAAAAAAAAAAACCUAUUAGUAAAUUCAAUGUUACUUGAUUUGAAGUUUAUUCUUUAAUAAAAAAAUUUAUAAAAAUAUAAGUAUGUAUAGAAAAAAAGUAGACUCAUUAAAACCCAAUUUUUAUCCAUAAAUUUUUAAUAUUAACCACUAUUUAAGUUUUAAGUUAUUUAAAAAAAUUACUAAACUCAUUAAUUAAUUUAAUGUAUUAAGUUUUGUUUAAUUUGGAUUUUAUUUGUCUAGUGAAAUAAAUAAAUAAAAAAUAUAGUUUCAUGUAGAAGAGAAACAAUAGAGUCAUUGUAGAUUAGAACUAGAAGUUAUAAAAAAUAUGUAAAAUAUAUAUAAUUAUAUAGCUGGAGUUUAUAUUAUAAAUUAUAAAGUUAAAAAAAAUAUAAAAAACUACCUUCAAUGUAAUUUCUAAUUUCUUUUAAUUAUAAUGUAUAAUCAAAAGUUAGACAAAACAAAAUUGUACACUCAUAAGUUAAAUAAUGAAUAUUUCAUAGCCUCAAAGGUGUAUACAAUUUUACACAUUUUUGUUAUGAUAAAAAUAAUCCAUAGCCAAAAACUAUGAAAGCGAUCAAUUCGUAAUUUUUAUUUUGUUAAUAUUACAUGAUGUUCAUGCAUUUUUUUAAACCAUAUUUAUAAUAAUCCUAUAGCGAUAAAAUAUAACAAAAUCUUAAAUCGUUAUAGUUUUAUUAUAGAAUAUUAACUGGAUAAAUAUUGUUAGAUAAUUUAAUUAAUUUAUUUUAAUAAAUUAAAAUAUUAUUCUAAUAAAAUUAUUUCAAAUAUUAUUCUAAUUUAAAAAUUACUAGACUGUUAAGUCUUGUUUAAUUUUGAGUUCAUUUAUAUAGUAAAAUAAAAUUGGAAAAUAUGAUUUCAUGUAGAAGAAAAAUAAUAGAGUUGUUAUAGACUAAUUUUCAUCCAUAAAUUUUUAAUAUUAAUUACAUCAUUAUUUGAGUUUUAAGUUAUUUCUAGAAAUUACUAAAUUUAUUAAUGAAUUCAACACAUUAAGUUUGGUAUAAUUUUAAGUUUAUUUGUCCAAUGAAACAAAAUUGGAAACAAUAAAGUCAUUCAAGUUCAAUUUUUGUCCAUAAAUUUAUGGUAUUAAUUGGAUCACUAUUUGCAUUGCAAUUUAUUUUUAAGAAUUACUUAGACUUGUUAAUAAAUUCAACGCAUUAAGUCAUACUUGAUUUGGUGAUUAUUUACUAAGUGAAAAAAAUUGUAAAAAUAUGAUUAUAUGCAAAGAAAAAACUAGCCAAGACAUUUAAAUGAAUUUUGGUGUAUGAUAUUCUAAUGUUAGUGAGUUUCAUGACUUUAUAGUACUAACUAAAUCAAUUUUUGACUUUUAAGUUAUUUUUAAAAAUUAGUAAAUUUUAUGUAUAAAGUAUAAUUUGAUUUAGAAUUUAUUUUAUCAAUGAAAAUUUUCUUAAAUUAAAUGAAAUUCAUUAAAACACAUGUAAUUUAAAAGAAUAUUAUAUUUGAAGAUUUUUAGUAUCGGUAUUAGAUCGUAGAAAGAGGUAAAGAAGAAUGAUAUCAUCUUCAAUCUUAUUUGCUUUUUAUAGUUUUUUUAAAUUCCUCUAUAUUUUUCUUUUGCUUUUAAAAAUUGAUGAAAACAAUUUCUACUUGUUUUCUAAAAUAUGUUUUUUAUUUCACUUUAUUUUUAAAAAUUACAAAUAGAAAACAACUAACAAACAAUUUUAUGAAUUUUUAAAAAUAGUUUUUUUUUUAAUUUUUAAAAACAAAAGUUAUUUUUUAAUGAAAUGGCCAAAUGGGCUAAAAACUUUUCAACAGCAAAUUUUGAGAAUUUGGGUCAAGUGCUAUGUGCUCUUGUACAAUCCUCCACUAUUUUUGGCCUUCAUGUCACCGUUGUCAACUUUUACUGUGAAUAAGUUCACGAGCUUAUCUUACUUUAUAUUCGAGAGCAAGGAACAAGAUCUUGAGAGAUGCUUGGUUUGUUUUUUUUUUUGUAUUAAAGAAAUAAAAGAGUAUUCACUUACUAUUCCAUUUUGUACUAAAAAAAUUUGAUAAGACAUUGAUAGGCAUGUAAAUAUUAUAACAUUUAAAUAAACUAAAAAUAUUUUUGUUAUAUUAUUUUAAUUUUAAUUUUUGAACUUUCAUAUUAACGUUCGUUUUAAUUUUUCAUAUGAUUUAAAAUUGAUCAUGGUUCUAACCUUUUACUAGGCUAAAAUCUUUAACUUUUUUAGAUACAUAAAAUAGAAAAUAAAAUAUAUUUUCAUAUAAAUUGUAUUAACAUUUCUUUAAUUAAUUUUUAUAUUUCUUAAAAUACAUAUAUCUUAAAAUACAUAUAUCUUUUUUAAAAAAUAAGUACAUCAUUUAGAAAAAUAGGUACAUCUAAUAUAAAAACAUGUACAUUUCAUUUCAUCGGGGAUUCUUAUCCUCAUUCAACCUAAUUCGGGUGUGGGAUUUCACUUAUGUAGGUCUCAGAAUGCAUUUGAGGUCUUCUUAUACCCUAUUCAACAUGAUAUAACUUUGUGUACAUGUUUUAAAAAAAUGUAUAAAAGUUUAGAAAAGUAUUUACAUCUAAUUUGAGUUGAAUCAUUCCCUUAUUCGACCUAUUUUGAAUCUAAAUUUUAACUUCUAUAUACCUCAUGAUGCAUUCCCAAACCCUAUUUGGCAUGGUAGAACCCUAGGUACAUAUGUUACAAAAAUAAGUAUACUCUUAAGAAAAAGUACAUCUUUUACAAUAAUAACUAUAUUCUUAAAUAUAUAUAUAUAUAUAUAUAUAUAUAUAUACAUUCGUAAGAAAAAUGCAUAUAUUUGAUUUGAGGUUAACCAUGAUCCAAUUCAACCUAAUUUGGAUAUAAGAUUUGACUUAUAUAUGCCUCAAAAUGUAUUUUAUGCCUUCCAAAACUUCAUGUAGCAUGGUAGAAGUAUAGGUUCUGAAAAGGUGAAUCUCAAUAGUGGAAUACACCUAAAGGGGGGUUGAAUAGGUGUUUUGACCAAUUGAACAAAAUCUCAACUCAAAUUAGUAAACCUUAAAACUUCUUGAAUAUUUUUCUUCUCUUCACAAAGUCUAAAAAACAAAUUAUAAAUCACAUGAAUAUAUGAAUGCAACAACACUCCCCAACAAUAUUCAAAUGAAAUUCACAUGCACAUGAUCUAAUACUCCUAAACCCAAAUCAACUUAAAACUAAAUUAUGAUAAAAACAAGAUCAAUAUACAUCAAAAUAUCAAUGAUUAACAAUCAGAAAUGACUUCAAAGAUAAUUCAUAGCCAUUUCUCUUUAUCAUUCAAUCAAAUACUAGACAAUCAAAAUUAUAAUAAAUUGUAGAAACUAAAAAAUGAUGCGAAGAAGAGAAAACGAGACAAUGAGACACCAUAAAUUUACAUGGAAAAUUUUUGAAGAGAUAAAAAACCAUAAGCCUACUACCAAUCAAAAACAUCCACUAUGAAGAAUAAAAACUAAAUACAAGGUUUUACCUAGCUCAAGCCAACUAAUCCUUCCCGGACCACUUGACUAGUACCUUCACUUUUAGUUUCUCACAUUCUUAUUUUAGAGCACAUUUGGAGUCUACACCAAGCUCGAUCUCGACCUCUUAUUGAUUUCACAUAAGAAAAAAAUGGGUUUUUGUGCAAAACCAAGAGAAUUAGAUAUGAAUGUUUCAAAAAUCAACCCAUGCUCAUUUUCAAAAAAUCCAUUUUAAAAAAAUUUCUUAGAAAACUUGGAUGGAUUUUCUUCGUAGGUAAACACCCUUAAAAUGGUGAGGAAAGAAAAAACUCUCUCACAACUAUUGUAGUCACCACUUAUAGAGAUGGAAGAGAUUUGAUUUUAAAUGAGAAAGAAACCCUUAAUCGAAGGGUUGAAAGUUGAUCUUAAAAAUAGGUUGGUUGGAUCAAUCUGCCUCUACACUUAGAUCAAUCCAAAAACAGGGGAACAAAAGCCUUGUGCUAAUAAUAUUUCUCCUUGUUUUCUUAACUCAUUUAAAGAUGAAAAAACAGGGUUGAUUCAUAUUCAAUCACCACACUCGACUAUAUACCUCAGCCUCUUAGCAAAGUUUUAAUCUUCAAAGGUCAAGUAGUCCGAAGAGGGAUUUGUAAACUGAGUUAGGGGACACUUAGGAAUUUUGUUUGAAAUUACCAACCUAGCUAAACACUCACAAUCUCCUCCUUUGGCAAUUCUGGGACAAAACUCUUUACAAUACGAAUGAGUACAAGUAAGUAAGUCCCACCCAACUCUCAUACAAGGCCACACACUCACUCAAAACCUCACCAAAGGUGCUACAAAUCCUAUAAAUAAAUCUCAAGAAAAAACUUUAGGAGCACUUGCACAUAUUACCAAGACACUUCCAUAAGUUUCGAAUGAAUUGAUACACAAAUAUCCACAUAUAUCCACAAAAUCACAUGUCUAAAGAUAGUUAAUAUGCAUUCAUGAGUUCAAAAACGUGUCAAAUAUCCAUCGAUAUACAAAAAGGGUGAUCAUGAUCAACAUAUCAAAUAUCCAAAGCAACAAAACACAAAGAAACCGUCAUGAUCAACUACAUGUCAUAUCAACAUCCAUGUAAAAUGUAAAAUGUUUCCUAAUUUUUGUCCCAGUAGGAGACAAAAGGUCAUAAUCUCCCAUUUUCUAUCUUAGAAAAAAGACAAAUGAAUGAGAAUUCAAUAGCAUAAUAUCUCACAUCCAAAUCAACAAACAUCCACUUUUCAACAAAAUGUCAAAUACCCAAAAAUCAAAUAUUCACAUAUUACCAAGUAUCCAUAUCAACAUUUCAGAAAAAAAAAAUUAUAGGAUACAAUAAUCUCCUCUUGACUCCCAUCACAAGAUAUAAGAAUCUCUCCCUGAAUCCUAUCACAUGGUUUCAAUUAAAAACUUUCAAAAAAUAUGCUUUAUCACCAUGAAAAUAGAUUUCAAGCAUGAAAAUUUAUGGAAACCACUCAAAAUGAACAACCAAAGCCUAGGAUUAGCAUUCCUAGAAACUAGGAACACUCCAAGGCAAAAAUGAAAUCUCAAACUAUUAAAACUAUUGUGAGAAGACUCCACACACAAAAAAUAAAUAAAUAAAAUCCAAAUGAGACUAAGGGCUGAUUGGAAUUUCCAGAAGUGUAGAUUGUGUUGUGUUGAUUGUGCUGUGAAAAACAUAGUCCUAAGGGUUGAUUGGAAUUUCCAACUGCUGGAACGGAAUCCCAACUACACAAGAUACAAUCUAGUGACGCACAUUGGAGGUCCUAGCCAACACAUACUAUGUAGAAGGCAAUUUCUGACAACACCGACGCACUAAGAAGAGACACACAGACCGACGACAUGAGUUGGACAACACAACAAUUCUAGGCUAUUCGACGAGGCUGUUUGGUGGGAUUGGCUAGACUUGAAACGCUCACCAGAUAGGGAAGUCUGACUAUAAAGGUUUCCAAUGGUAGAGACUUAUGACGGUAGUGGUCGGAAUGAUGAACCGACGAUGAUGGCUAAAGAGAAGCAUAGAGUAGAGAAGUUUCCUUCUUUAGAACAAAAGACCUAGGGCUUUUGAAAGAAAUGAAUUGGGAAAAACUGAUUUAGGGAUUUUGACUUUUUUACUUUUAGUUACGAAAAUACCUCUCAUCCAUUAAACCAUAUGAGCAUAACUAGUUGGGGGCAAAAAUGGAAAUUUUCACAAAUGCAUAAGUGGUAUCGAUUUUAGUGGAUUGAUCUAGCUUUCGAUUGUGCUCUCGAUGAUACACAGUCACAUAGGUUUGAACAUACCAAAUUUGAAAAAAAUGGUUAAGUGUGUGAGAGACAAGUACUAGGUGGUAUCGACCUUGGUGGAUCGAUCUAAGAUUCAUUCAAGGGCUCUCGAUCACUACAUUGUGCACACAAUGGAUCGAUCCACAAAUUCAAUAGAUCGAUCGACACCUAAUUGAAAAAUGACUUAGGCAAAAACUAUUGAAAAAUCACAAGAAAUACACCAAUAGGCUUUCCAAAAACUGAAAAUUGAUUGACCAAAGAUGAGAUACAAUAGGAUGGCAUACUUAUAUUUCAAUUAAUGAGUUAGAGUUGAUUCACAUUGAACAAAAAUGCUUCCAAGAACUUAACAAUGGACAAAAUUAAUAAACAUAGAGAUUGAAGUACUUUCCAAAUUUAUCAAAUGAAUAGGUAAAAAACAAAUGAUUAUCAACACUCUAACAAGGAAGCUUAAGCUAAAAAAAAAAACUCACUCAUGACACCAUAAAACGGUGAAAAUGUUAAAUAAUUUCCACUUAUAAACCUAUAUUCAUUUAUGAGCCAAAAAUCAUUUUCAAGAUACUCUUCCUUUCUAGAGAAAUUCAAGAUAAUGUUCCAAGAAGUCAAUUUGCAUCUCUCUUGGCUAGAUUUCUGUUUAACAUGACCUAAUCACAUCCCUUUAAUAAAAUUCAUACACUAUUUGCUUUUCAUAUUUAGCAUUGAAAGGAAUACAAAGCUAUAAGUUUUACCUUAAAGAUCAGUUUUUGACUUGAGGAUCUCUAAGGACGCCUUUACAACAUAACAACAUAAGAGAUGUCCCACUUUUGCAAGGGAGGCUUUUUAAUUCUUGAAACACUGCCAAAGAGCCAUAUCCAUUCCGGGAAACUUCAUAUUUUCUUUUUCUUUUCUUUUUCAUUUUUUUUAAAAAUUUAAUUUCAAAGAGAGGACAAACAAUCAAAGAUUGAUAUUCUCAACCUCUCAAGGAUAUUCCAGGUGUCUUUACUCACUCUUUAAUGCUCAUUAAAUGGGUAUAAGUUUACAUUUAGACUUUAAAGAGCAUUAUUCACCAUUUAUGCAAACACAAGGUCUAACAAUGAGCUUUUUCUCACUUAAUAGAAAUGAAGCUAAUCAUUUGUAGUUUAUCUAACCAAAUCAAAAUAGCAAGGAUUCAAUAUCAUGUUUAUCAAACAAGCCAUGGAGAUAAAGACAUCUUGAAGCUUUUAAGAUCAUGAUGAGUUAAUUUAACUUUUAAACAAAAUGAAUAAGCAUGUCACUCUCAUGAACUCAACAAUUGUUGAAAAUUUAUGAAAAAUGGAGAAAAGAUUGAACCAAAACAAAAAGAACAUCAAGUUGAUGAUAUUUGGGAACUUAGGAAGACAACUAGGACUCAAGAAUAUGCAAGAGGAGUCCUAGACAAGUUUUAGAGGCAAUUAAAUAGAGAGUAUAUAAACCUAUGGGGCUCCUAAGUGAUUCAAACCUAGAAAUGUCCAAAGGUUUAGUAACAUUGUUAGCAAUUUGACUUUCUAUAGGGAAAAACUCUAGUGAAACAACCUUGUCUUCUACCAAGUCUUGAAUGCAGUGAUGCUUAAUGUCCACAUGUUUUUAUCUAGAAUGAAGAACACGGUUCUUUAACCUAUCAAUAACAUUGGCAUCAUCAAAUUCCUCCCCAUCAAUCUUAACUUUUACAAUGGGAUGCUCUUUUUCAUUUUGCAACAAUCUAUGUUGUAGCAAGUGAUUAACACAUACAAUUUUAGAACUUCCACACACAAGAGAAGAGGAUGAAGGAGAUUUUUUACUAACAACAUAGCACUUAUCACAAAUUCUCAAGCCCAUCAUCACACAUACAUCAUUCAAGUUAAACACCUUGCAAAAAUUUUGUGAAAAUUUUACAUUGAACUCAUUCCCACACAUUUGGCUUAUUCUAACUAAGUUAGCCUUUAAACCUUCAUAUAAGACCUCUUCAAGAUUAGGAAUUUCGGGGGCACAAAUGGUACCUUUGUCUUUCACCCUAGCCACAUUACCAUAUCUAAAUGUCACAUUUCCUCCAUCAAAUUCAGUGAAUGAAGUGAACAAAGAUUUAUUUCCAGUCAUAUGAUGUGAGCAUCUACUAUCAAGAUUCCAUGAGUGUGACUCACUAGCUCUAAGUACGUUAUGGACAACAAAACACUUCAACUCAUUCAUUUACACCCAAAUUUGUUUAAUAUUUGAGACUUGUCUUUUCAUUCAAAGUGCUUCCUUUCAACUCACCAUUAUGAGGGAUCUUUGACCACUUCUUGGACACUCUCUUAUUCUCAUUCAAUAACCUAUUCUUCAAAGUAUAACAUUCAUUCAUUAGGUUGGUAAAUUUCUUUUGAAAAUUAUCAGACAAUCUUGCAUAACAUCUAUAAAAAAUGUGUCCCAUUUUGCCACAAUGAUUGCAAUGAAACUUGAUUUGAGAAUGAGUUUUCUUAGGAGAUUAUUUUUCACAAGGCUUAACAAAAAUUGUUUUACCACUACUUGGAGUAGUAUUUGCAUCAACAAAUCCUAAGCCUUGUUUAUCAAAAAAUUUACACCCUAAAUUGAUCAACUCAUUAAGUCUCUUAGAGCUAGGAUGUGACUCUUCCUUCUUAAGACUUAACCCAUCCUUGAACAUUUGAUUCACUUUUCAAUACAUAAUAUUUUUUCUUCACUUCCAAAUGUUCAUUUUCAAGAAAUCCAAUUUUGUCAAGCAAAACCUUAUUUUCUCCCUUCAAGACAUCAAUCUCAUUGAUUAGAAUAUUCUUAGAAGCCUUCCACUUGACUUGUUCUUGUUUAAGGCUCAAGCACUCCUUAUACAAAGUCUCAUAUGCCGUGUCAAAACUCAUGUCAUCAUCAUUGGAGUCACUUGACUCAUGACUCACUUAUCACUUAAGACCUCUUUCUUGAGUGGUUUCUCAUUGACACUUGCAACAAAGGCUAUGAAGUUAGUGCAUUUUUCACUUCCAUUGGAUUCUUUUUCACUUGAUUGACAAGAUUCUAUGUUGCUUCAAGUGACUUGCAUGACCUUCUUUCCUUUUUUUCUUUGAGGGACAUUUGGCGGCAUAAUGUCCAUUUCCUCUACAUUUAAAGCACUCAAUCUCCAACUCUUUUUUCACACAUUUCUCCAUAUCCUUCUUUUUUUUCUAAUAGAGUUCCUCCAUUUUUACCAUCAUUUGAUUCUUUCUUGGAUUUUAUGAAUUUCAUGUACUUCUUAAUUUUUUUAGUAAACUUAGUAAGCACACCAUUUGAUAUUUUCUCAUCAUCCUCACUUUCGGAACUUAGGGACUCUUCUUUAAUAGUUUUUAAAGCAAUUCCCUUAGCUUUCCUAGGUGAUACAAGCGUCAUCUCAAAGGUUUGGAGGGAACCUACAAGUUCAUCUAUCUUCAAGGAAUCCACAUCCUUAGACUCUUCAAUGGUGGUAACCUUAGCUCUAAAUCUCUCUCGAAGAGAUCUUAAAAUUUUUCUAACCACCUUAGUGUUAGAGACGGAUUCACCUAGAUUGAAGUUAGAAUUCACUAUAUCCAUCAAUUUUGCAUGAAAUUCUCCAAAAGUUUCAUGGUCAUCCAUCCUAAUGGUCUCAAACCUAGAUGUCAACAUUUGAAGCCUGGACAUUUUUACGACAUUAGUUCCUUCAUGAGUCACUUGGAGGAUAUCCUAAGCCUUCUUUAACCAAAGUGCAUGUGGCAAUCCUAUGAAAUUCAUUCGUACUAAUGGCAUUGAAGAUGGAGUACAUGGCUCUAGCUUUAUUCUCACUUGCUUCAUUUUCACUUCUAUCACAUUCCAAUUUUGGCUUGAUAACAUUUGUUAGUUUACCUUCUCUAUCUAACACCUUAGGUGGAGACUAACCAAAUUCAAUGACAUUCCAAACUUUUUCACUUUGCAUUUUGAGAAAAUAUUGCAUUCUCACUUUCCAAUGAGAAUAAUUUUCACCAGUUAAGAAUGGUGGUCUCCUAAUGGAAGAUCUCUCUUAAUGAGGUUCCAUGAUUGAGAUUUAAGGACCGAAAAUGAUUUUUUCUUUAAAAACCCUCUCUGAUACCAAUUGAAAAGGUGAAUCUCAAUAGUGGAAUACACCUAAAUGGGGGUUGAAUAGGUGUUUUGACCAAUUUAUCAAAAUCUCAACUCAAAUUNNNNNNNNNNNNNNNNNNNNNNNNNNNNNNNNNNNNNNNNNNNNNNNNNNNNNNNNNNNNNNNNNNNNNNNNNNNNNNNNNNNNNNNNNNNNNNNNNNNNAAAAAAUGCACACUCUCUCACAAAGAAUGUAAAUUUUUCAAAAAAAAAAAAAAAAAAAAAACUUUCUUUUAUGGGGGGGCGCGGUGCUAUACAUUCUUAUAUAGGUAUAUAUAUAAAAAUAUAGAGACCUCACAGAGAAUGUGAGGGGUUCCUGUUCCUUGUGGGUCACUUCUAAAUCCUACACACACCCCUAAGAAACACACACACACUUUUUUUAUGGUGAACCACGACAAUAUACAUCCUUAUUUGGAUCUCUCUAUAAACAUAUAGAAGUGUGGGAGUGUGUGAGGCUCUCCCUUAUUUGAGUGGGCGUUUCUAAAACCUAUAUACAAAUUUUUUUACAUAUAGAAAUAUGAGAGGUACACGUCUAUUAUCUUUUCAUACCAUAUCUAUAUCACUCACUCUCUCUCUCACGUUUGUUUUGUGUGUAUAUAUAUAUAUAUAUAUAUAUAUAUAUAUAUAUAUAUAUAUAUAUAUAUAUAUAUAUAUAUAUAUAUAUAUAUAUAUAUAUAUAUAUAUAAAGUAUAUCCUUUUUAGGUUGUGCCUUUGAAUUAUUCCACUUNNNNNNNNNNNNNNNNNNNNNNNNNNNNNNNNNNNNNNNNNNNNNNNNNNNNNNNNNNNNNNNNNNNNNNNNNNNNNNNNNNNNNNNNNNNNNNNNNNNNCAAAGAUGAUUCAUAGUCAUUUCUCUUCAUCAUUCAAUCAAAUAGUAGACAAUCAAAAUUAUAAUAAAUUCUUGAAACUGAAAACUGAUGCUAAGAAGAGAAAGAGAGACAAUGAGACACCAUAAAUUUACAUGAAAAAUCUCCGAAGAGAUAAAAAACCAUGGGCCUAUUACUGAUUGAAAACAUCCACUAUGAAAAAUAAAAUCUGAAUACAAGGUUUUACCUACCUCAAGCCAACCAAUCUUUCCCAAACCACUUGACUAGUACCUUUACUUUCAGCUUCUCACCUUCUUCUUUCGAGGCACACUUGGAGUUUGUACCAAGCUCAAUCUCGACCUCUUCUUGAAUUCAUACAAGAACAAAAUGGGUUUUUGCACAAAACUGAGAGAAUGAGAGAUGAAUGUUUCAGAAAUCAACCCAUGUUCGUUUUUAGAAAAUCCAUUUUUUUAAAAAAAUUAUUGGAAAACUUGGACGGAUUUUCUUCAUAGGUAAACACCCUCCAAAUGGUGAGGAAAGAAAAAACUCUCUCACGGCUACUACAGUCACCACUUCCAGAAAUGAGGGAGAUUUGAUUUUAAAUGAGAGUGAAACCUUAAUCCAAAGGUUGAAAAUCGAUCUAAAAAACAUGUUAGUUGGAUCAAUUUACCCCUAUACCUAGAUUGAUCCAAAAACAGGGGAACAAAAGCCUUGCACCAACAAUAUUUCUCUCAGUUUUCUUUACUCAUUUAAAGAUGAAAAAUAGGGUUGAUUCACAUUCAAUCACCACACACUCAACCACAUACCUUGACCUCUUAGCAAGUCUUAAUCUUCAAAGGUCAAGUAGUUCGAAGAGGGAUUGGUAAACCAAGUUAGGGAACACUUAGGAAUUUUUUUCGGAAUUUCCAACCUAGCUAAACACUCACAGGUUCAUUUUUUUAGAAACAUAUAACACCUUAAGAAAAAUAUGUACAUUUGAUUUCAACUUAACAUGACAGAGUCACACUCAUUUGGGUCUAAGAUUUGACUUAUGUAUGCUACAAAAUGUAAUUAAGAGCUUCCCAAACCUCAUUUGACAUGGUGGAACCCUACCUAAGGUACAUCUUUUACAAAAAUACAUACAUUCUUAACAAAUAUAUAUAUAUAUAUAUAUUUUGAAGAAAAAUACUUACAUUUUUUUCAAGCGAACUGUGUGUUGGCGUCGUAGAUCUAAGGAACGGAAACAAUACGAAUUUAUUUAUUUAUUUUUUUAAAUUGAUCUUUAGGGUUAAAGUGCUAACCUUUAGGUUUGGAUGUUUCAGACCUUAAAUUCCAAGUGUUGAAGAUGACAUUGAAGUUGUUGGAAGUCUCGUAAACCCAUGGUCUUUUGCUUGAUGACUCAACUUUAUUCUUGGCACAUUUUUGAUAGGAAGGAAAGAAAGGUGGAGGCUAGAGCUCUCUUUAUCUCUAAAUGGUGGAAGGAAAAAGUGAUGAAGACUCUAACCCCUAGGGGGUAUUUAUAGGGUUCCUAACUAAGCUUAAGUGACUUGAGCCCACAUGGGCUUGGGUAACUUAAUUUAGGCCAAAAUGGAUCCUAAUUGAUUAAUUAACCCAAUAGGGCCUACUAAUUAAUUAAUUAGCUCAAUCUAGAGACUUUGUUCACUUAUCCUUGUGCAAUCUUGUAUAAUUACCAAAACACCCUUAUGCACAAAAGUAAACCUAUAGUCAAUUCGACCCUCAUAACUAUGCCAAAAAGAUAUAUAAGCUCAGAGCGGGGACCACUAGGAUCCAUAAGAGUACUAACUCCCUCAGGAUCCAAUUAUGAAGUUGAUUCAACAUCUUAUUACAAAGAAUCAACCAAACUCCAAUAUUCUAUGUAAAUAACAACAAGACACUACGUGCUCGGGUCUAUGACCUAGUAUCCAUUGUGUUCAGUCUUCCCAUGAACUGGUGUUUUAGUCUAACAAGGUGAAAGCUAUCAACCUUUCAAGACUCUCUACCAUCCUUGUGUUACAAAUCCUCCUAUUGUAUAUUCAAUUGACAUGUCUUAGCUUUCAAAGAGCUUAUGUCAAGUUCUACUUAAGGAACUAUUAUGACCAUAGUUUCCAUGAACACAUCCCCUUAAGAUCACCCAAGGGGACACAUUGUCUCAAUCCCAUGAGAUAUCAUGGUGUCUAUUGAGAAUGCCUAUUGUUACCGACUUCCAUUAACAGUGACCCAAUCCAUAGGGAAUAUAUGAUCAACUUACGAUCUCACCCAUAGGUAAAAGUCAUUGCUAAUUUUAGUACAAUCUCAAUAUUCUCUCAAGGUUGAGAGAUAACACAAUGAAGUAUCUUGGUGAGGUCAUGACUACUUGAUAGUCUUAAGUCAUGACUCAUCAUAGGUCUUGUCCAACGUGUAAUCAUACACAGUAGUGUACUCACCAUGGGAAACCCAUCCCAAUAACGAAGACCAACCAUCCCUCCAAUUAGGAGGUGGUGCACUACAACCUCUAAUGGGUUGCCUAGACCCAUAAACCGGUUGUGAACAAGUCAAUUAUUUGCAAGGAACCCAUGACUUAAAGAUCUUCUAUGCAACUCCUAAUGCACCUAAGUCAUGUACAAUGCAAAAUAUGUUGACAAGACUUCUCAUAAAAUAUAAUACAUGGAAUAAAGAUAGAUAAAAGUGAAAUGGGAACAUCAUUAAAUAAAUAAGGAAUUUCAAAUUUAAUACACCAUGUUAUGCUUUUAAGAGCUCUAUCUUAAGACUAUAAUCCUAUUUGACCUUAUUUAGGUCUAGGUAUUCACUUAUGGAAGCCUGAGAAUGAAUUAAAGGUCUUUCCUUACCUUGUUAGGCUUUUCUAAACCAUAAGAACAUCCUUAAGAAAAAAUACAUAUAUUUUUAUGGAAAACAUGUACGUUCUUAAAAAAACAAAAUAUGUGCGUUUUUUUUAAAGGAGAUUGUGACCUUAUUUUGCCUUAUUUAGGUUUUAAUAUUAACUUAUGGAAGCCUUGUAAUAAUUUUGAGGCUUCCCAUUCCUCGUUGGUCAUUUUUAAAGUCUACGUACAUCUUUAAGAAAAAUAUGCACAUUCUUAAACAAAGUAUGUAAAUUCUUCAAAAAAAAAAAAAAAAAAAACCUUUUCUUUUAAGGUGGACCAUGGUUCUAUUCAUUCUUAUUUAGGUCUAAAUAUUAAAUUAUAGAAGCCUCAUAAUGAAUUUGAGGUCUUCCUGUUCCUUGUAGGUCAUUUCUAAAUCCUACAUACAUCCUUAAGAAACAUACAUGCAAUUUUUUUAAGGUGAACCAUGACAAUAUACAUCCUUAUUAGGAUCUCAAUAUUAACAUAUGGAAGUGUUGGAAUGUUUGAGGCUUUCCCUUAUUUGAUUGGGCAUUUCUAAAACCUAUGUACAAUUUUUUUAACAUAUGGAAAUAUGAUAGGUACAUGACUAGUAUCUUUUCAUACCAUAUCUAUAGCAUUCAUUCUUACUAUCAUGUUUGUUUUGUGAUUAUAUAUAUAUAUAUAUAUAUAUAUAUAUAUAUAUAUAUAUAUAUAUAUAUAUAUAUAUAUAUAUAUAUAUAUAUAUAUAUAUAUAUAUAUAUAUAUANNNNNNNNNNNNNNNNNNNNNNNNNNNNNNNNNNNNNNNNNNNNNNNNNNNNNNNNNNNNNNNNNNNNNNNNNNNNNNNNNNNNNNNNNNNNNNNNNNNNUCAAAAAAAAAAAAAAAAAAAACCCUUUCUUUUAAGGGGGGGCACGGGUCUAUUCACUCUUAUUUAGGUGUAAAUAUAAAAAUAUAGACGCCUCACAAAGAAUGUGAGGUCUCCCCGUUCCCUGUGGGUCACUUCUAAAUCCCACACACACCCCUAAGAGACACACACGCACUUUUUUUAAGGGGAGCCACGACACUAUACACCCCUAUUUGGGUCUCUCUAUUUACAUAUGGAGGUGUGGGAGUGUGUGAGGCUCUCCCCCAUUUGAGUGGGCGCUUCUAAAACCCAUGUACACUUUUUUUAACACAUGGAAAUAUGAGAGGGACACGUCUAGUGUCUUUUCUCACCCUAUCUAUAGCACUCUCUCUCUCUCUCACGUGUGUUUUGUGUGUAUAUAUAUAUAUAUAUAUAUAUAUAUAUAUAUAUAUAUAUAUAUAUAUAUAUAUAUAUAUAUAUAUAUAUAUAUAUAUAUAUAUAUAUAUAGAUAUAUCCUUUUUAGGUUGUGCCUUUGAAUUAUUCCACUUCUAAUGGUUUGAAUUGUUUUUUCUAUUCUAAUGACUAUAAUUACCAUGGUACCAAGAAUUAUGUUUACCACGACCAUGAUUGUGUCCUUAGCCUUGUUCACGUCCAAGUCCAACUCAAUGUCUAGGAGCUUGGACGGAUGUGACAGUUGCUUCUAGCAAUGACACAUACCUAAUAGUAUGAGGUUGAUGAUUCUUCGGUAGAAGUUCAUUAUUUUGUUUAGCCAUAAGAAGACAUUAAACUAAUUCAAAAUAUUUAGUGAAAUGAUGUUCUUGAUAUCGUUGCCAUAGGAGUACAUUCGAGGCAUGAAAAAUGGUGUUCAUUAUUCUUUAAUGAUUUUUUCUCCAUAUAAAUUGUGAACAACUUUUGAAUAAAGUCGAGUUGUGGUCAUUGACAGACUUGAAAUUUUGUAAUCUCAAGUGCAUCUAAUCAUGAUGUGCUUUUGGAAGGAUUACAAUCUCGUGGUGGCCAUAUCAUUAUGUUAUAUUAUUCCAAAGGAUCAAAGUAUCAUUCCAUUAGAUUAUUUCAAAGGAUGAAAAUUCUUUGAUUGUAAGGAAUUCACCUUUUAUUCCUUCAUCAAUGUGAUAAUGAAGGAAUAUUAAUGCUCUAGUACGAUCUUGUGAGGAUGCCUCAUUUUAUUUUUUAAUGGUCUUUUCAAGAUUCAUAUUGUUUAGGUGAAUUUUAGCAUCUAGAAUCCAUAUAAAUAGUUUGCCUGAAAUAGGGAGUGUAACAAACUCAAACUUGGUAAGAUUUGACAUUAUUUGAAAACUAUAUUUGAAAUAAUUUAAUUGGAAUAAUAUUUCAAUUUACCAAAAUGAAUUAUAAAUAAAUGAAUAAAAUUAUCUAACAAUAUUUUAUCAGGUUAAUAUUCAUUAAUAAAAACAUAACGAUUUAAGAUUUUGUUAUAUUUUAUCUCUAAAGGAUUAUUAUAACUAUGGUAAAAAAAAUGCAUGAACAUCAUGUAGUAUUAACAAAAUAAAAAUUACGAAUUGAUAGCUUACAUAGCUUUUGGCUAUGGAUUAUUUUUAUCAUAACAAAAAUGUGUAAAUUUGUAUAUAUCUUUAGGCUAUGAAAUAUUCAUUAUUUAACUUCUAACUAUACAAUUUUGUUUUGUGUAACAUUUGGUUAUAUCAUUAUAAUUAAAAGAAAUUAGAAAUUACGUGUAAGUCAUUCUUUAUAUUUUUAUAACUUUAUAAUUUCUCAUAUAACCUUUGGCUAUACAAUUGUACAUAUUUUACAUAUUUUUUUAUAACUUCUAGUUGUGAUUUUUUUUCAUAAUUUUUGUCUAUAAAAAAAAUAUUUUCAAGUUUCUUCAUCGAAAAAAGGAUAAAUUAAAUAGAAAAUAAUACAAAAGUAGAAGUUUAUCACAUACCUUUUAGAGGAGAAAAAAGAUAUUUUAUGAGAAUAAGUUUGUCCUUUUAGUGUUUGAAUCUUAUACAAAAACUUAUAAUAAGAGUUUUCUUUUGGAGAGACUAGAAUUAGAGAAGAGAUAGAGUUCUAAAAUAACUUUGAGGUAUCCAUUUCAUUGACCCAAGUUUCCUAUUUAUAAGAGUUUGAAAAAACUAGGAUUAAUUAUAAUAUUUAAUUCUUUAUGGGGAAAAAGUAAAAAAUAAAAAAGGCUUUUAAUCAUUAAUUAAGAGUACUUGCUUAAAUACAAAAUUUCACAAAAAUUUAAACUAAAUUCCUUUAAAAAAGAAUAGAUAACUUGUUUUAAAAAAUAGUUAAACUAUGUUAAUUUUAUAUAAUUUGAGUGAGAAAUAAAUUUAUUAUAAAUUGACAAAGUUGUCAUUCACAAAAAGCAUCAAAUAUAUUUGAUUUUUUUUUUCAUUUUCAUUUUUCAUUUUUUUAAGGAAAAAUCAGAUUUAAAUUUUUUUCAUAAAUUGAUAGCUAAAAGAUAAAUUUACAAAAUUUCAAAUCCCCACAUGUUUCCAUUAUUUUUACCCCAUAAAUUAUCCCAUCCUUAAUAAGAUUGAAUUUUGCAAAUUAUUAUUGAUUACUCAUUCAAAAAUAAAAAUAAAUUACACUAAAAAUCAUAAAAUUUAAAUUAGAAAAAUAUUUAAUAUAAAUUUUAAAAAUUCAGCUUUAUAAAAAAUAAAAAUAAUUAUCAAUUCUAAUAAGAUUUUUUUAAUCAAAAUUCUAAAGCAUAAUUCACAUUCAUCUAAAUAUUUAUUAGAAUUAAUAAUUUUUAAAAAUAUAAAUUAAAAUUUGAUACCCCUUCGGAGAUAAAAUUCCAAAAAUCAAUGAAUUAAUUUAGAAAAGAAUACAUAUUUCAAUCUCAAAUCUUCAAAUCUAAACAUAUACUAACUUAGAAAAGUUCUAAUAGUUUCUAACAAGUCUAAGUGGGUAUUUGGUAAAUCAAUUUAAUAACUUAAUUCAAGUUAUUAAAUAAAUUAAAUAUAGUUGGUAAAAUAAUUUAAUGGUAUGACUUAAAGUAAAAAACAACUUUAAGUAAUAAGUAAAAAUAAUUAAUUUAUUCUUAAAUUCAUGUUUUCAUUUUAUCUUUUUACCCUCAUUUAUCUUAGUUCCACGAUUUAUUUUGCUAUUAUACAACUUCCAUCAUUACUUGAUCUCAUUUACCCUCAUUAUAAUUUAUGGGGGUAAGUAUAUUAAUUUGAUGAUUUAGAAUAAAUUUUAAAUUAAUUUUAUUAAAAAAUCUUAAUAUUUAAAGUAAAAAUUAAGUAAUAAGUUUUAAGUCAAUAACUUCAAUAUAAUUUUACUUAAAAUCAACUUAAGUCAUUGAGUAAUAAUUAUUGAGUUUUACCAAACACCCCAUAAUUAUACUUAUUAUCAUACUACCAAUUUCUUAUCAAUUACAUAAUUAUUUAUUAUAAAAUUUUAAUAUGUUAAUGAAUUAUGAUAUUUAAAUAUUUAAAAAUAUGUUGAUUGCAAACUAAUUUAACAAGAAAUAAAAUAAUAUUAUUUUGUAAAUAUUUUUGUAAUGUAAAAGAUAAGUAAUUUAAUAUUUUUUAACAUUUACUAAUAAUUAAAAUAUAAAAAAUUUAAAUAUUUAACAAUACUUAAUUUAUUCAAAUUUAAAACAAAUUUAGAUCUUAGAUAAAAAUACAAUCACCACUGAAAUUUUAAAUAUUUAAAAUACACAUAAAGUUUAAAUAUUUAUUUAAUUUCAGGAAUCUAAGAACUAAGGAAGGGACCAAUAGUGACUUGUCGAUCUAAAAGUAUGCAAGUUCUAUUUUCUUUUCCCUACAAUAUCAUUUUUUUCCUUGCAACAUCAUUUUUGUGGUGGAAAUUAUGCGGAGGACCAGUGUACUUAAUUGACAGGGCUGGCGAAAGCGAUGACGUGGAAUGAUCAAAGCAAUGAGAUGUCGUGGAAGCAACCAACUAUCGGGACGCUUCUAUAUUUUACCAUGCCAUAACAAAAGUUUCCAUAAUUCGCAAGUUCUGGAGAGAUACGAAACCGAGAUAGAAUAUAAUUUAGAAAGGAAAAUGAAAAUGAAAGCUGAGAUAAGGAAUGAGCAUCACCACCUCCUAGAAGUAUCCAAGGGUUUAACCCACUCUCUGAAAUUUGCUAUAAAUACUCAGCAAUUUCCCGUGUUGUUCAUCAAUACUUAAAAGAGUUUGAAUUUAUCAAUCACAUUAGUAGCAAUGGCAGACGAGAUUAUCGUGUUGGAUUUCCGGCCUAGCAUGUUUGGUAUGAGGGUCAGAGUUGCCCUGGCAGAGAAGGGUCUCAAGUAUGAAUAUAGAGAGGAGGACCUGUGGAACAAGAGCCCUUUGCUUCUUGAGAUGAACCCAGUUCAUAAGAAAAUCCCAGUUCUGAUCCACAAUGGAAAGCCCAUUUGUGAGUCUCUGAUAAUAGUUCAGUGUAUUGAUGAGGUUUGGUACGAUAAAUCUCUGCUUUUGCCCAGUGACCCAUACUAGAGAGCUCAGGCCAGGUUCUGGGCGGACUACAUAGACAAGAAGGUAUGCCUUUGCUGUUGAUUUAAAGCAUUCUUUUCCAUUGAUUCAUGGCGAUUGACUCAGAUUUUGAUUAUGGUGAGGGAUUUGUCCAAAAUGCUGGGUUUCUUCACACGUUCCCUUCUGAUAUUGAGUUUUGUGGGCUUUGGGGUUCCAAACUAGAACUUUUACUGAUUCUCCUUGCUGUUUGUUCAACAAGACUAUACUCUGCAUUUCUGAUAUGGGUUUAAAUUUCUUGUUUAUGUUGAAUACGAAUUCUGUUCGUUCCAUCAGGAAAAACAGAUCUCAAGAAUACCUUUUUUCCCCAAGCAAGGCGAAUACAUAAACCAGAUAUUUAAAGAAAGGUGUUUGGUUUUUUGUUAUCUUGCUGUUCAACAUCUUGCACAACAGUUGUUUUAAUAUAUGUUCUGUUUCUUUGAUCUCUUUCUUCUCAUUUUCUGAAACCCAAUUUGAGGGGAAAAACUUCAGCAAAUGAUACAUUCUUUCAGCUGAUUCUGAUCUUUUUUCUUCCACCGGCACUUCAUUUUAUUCUUAGCAAAUGAUAUUUCUAUGCGGAAGAGUCCUUAAUAAACUUGUCCAACUUUACAGAAUUUGAAACUUGAUGAAAUUCUCCAAAAAAAAUAAUCCUUCUCUCUUUGACUCCAUUAUUUUCCACAGCUCUAUGAACUUGGAAGGAAGAUAUGGUCAACCAAAGGAGAAGAGCAGGAAACAGCCAAGAAGGAAUUCAUAGAGUGCCUUAAGCUUUUGGAAGGAGAGCUUGGAGAGAAGCCUUACUUCGGUGGUGAAAAAAUUGGGUUUGUAGAUGUGGCUCUGGUGACCUUCUCUUGCUGGUUUUAUGCAUACGAGACCUUUGGCAACUUCAGCAUAGAGGCGGAGUGCCCCAAGUUGAUCGCUUGGACCAAGAGGUGCAUGGAAAGGGAGAGCGUGUCGUCUUCUCUUGCAGACCCCCACAAGGUCCAUGGCUUUGUCGUGGUGUUGAGAAAGAAGUUUGGUAUAGAGUAGAAGGGGCACAUGGGUCCUCUCUCGAAGACCCCGCAAGGUCCAUGACUUUGUCACGUGGAUGAGAAAGAAGUUUGGUAUUGAAUAAAAGGGAAAUAUCACGGUCUAUGCUCUAUUGAGUAGUGUUGUAUUGGUAAUGUAAGAGGAGUGUUUGCUUAAGUUUGCUAAGUGAUAUGGGUUUGCUGAGCUAUGUUGUUGGAAAUAAAUGUUUUGAAUUUGUUUUGGACUAGAGACGUGUUCCUGUAUUAAAGAAAUAAAAGUCUUUGACUACAUUUCCAUCGUGUCCACAUGAACAACUAUUAAGACAAAUUGGUUAAGACAUGCCCUAGAUAGAAAUAGAUAGAAGUGAGUCAUGAAAUGCACAUAUCUAACCUGCUCUUAUUACCAUAUUUUUUUUUUUUUAAAAAAAACUUUGAUAUGAGAAGUCAAAGAGCAUGUCGUUGUUGAUUUUUUUUUCUUUUUCACAAGAAUAUAUAUAUAUCUUCCAUAAAAUUAUCUUCAUGAAAAUUUUCUAUUUUCAAUUUUUUUUCUCUAUUCCAUUUUCUCAUAUUUAUUGAUUUUAAUUAUUUAUAGAUGUUUUAAAUAUAAAAUAAUAAUAUAAAAUAAAUAAUUAAUAAGAAAAAUUUUAAUAUAACAAUAAAUAAAUAAAAUGUUGAAAGUAAUAUUAUGGUAGGAAGGAUGUAUCACUCUUUUUUGGUUUAAACUAAGAUAUGUUACCAUCAUUUAUGUGCUAGAUGUCUUAUUAAUGGUGAAAUAACGUGAAUUCAAAGGGUGUUAAUGUAACAUUGAUCAACACAACCCUUGAAAAAAUGAAUACCACUCUUUUAUAAAUAAAAAACACCACUAAAUUGUAUUAAAAGUAUCAUUGUAGUGUGAAUGUUGUACUAUUCUUCUUUGGUUUAAGGUAUGUUUCCAUUUGUUAUGUGCUCAACGUAUUAGGUAAUGAUGAAAUAACGUGAAAUGAGUGAAUGUUAUUAUGCAACAACACCGAUCAACACAACCCUUAGAAAAAGAGGGUACCACUCAUUUAUGAAAAAUCUACUAUGUUAAAAGUACUACUAUGGUGGGAAGAAUGUAUCACUUGUCUUUAAGUUCUACCAUGGUAGGAAAAAUGUAUCACUCUUCUUUGGUUUACGGCGAGGUUUGUUACUAUUCAUUACAUGCUCAACGUCAUAUGUGAUGAGGAAAUAAUGUGAAUUGAGAUGGUGUUAUUUCACUAUAACACUGAUCAACACAAAUCCUUGGAAAAAAGGGUACUACUCUGUAGACAUAAAAAAAAUUAGUGGAUUAAAUUACCACUAAUUUGGUCUUCAAAAUGAAUAAAAAAAAAAAUAUAUAUCCUCUUAUGGAUAAGUUUCCUUAAUCUCCAACUAUAAAAAGGAUAAUAAUAAUAAUAAUAAGAAAAUUAUUAUUAUUAUUAUUAUUAUUAUUAUCUUGUUGAUAAAACCUCUUGGGAGAAGAAAAUUUGCUAAAAUCAAGGAACUAAAUCCCUUGAAUUAAGCAACUAAACUCCGAGAAUUUGAAAUUCAAAUUCCAUAUCUUCACCUAUAAAUAGAGGUGUCUUCUUUCAAGAAAGGAGAUGAAGAAAUUGAGAAAUAAAAAAAAAAUUCAGAAAGGAAAAUCCUAAGGAGAAAAUCCAAAGGCAAUUUUGUACAGGAAAAAAAGGUUUCAUAACAAAAGAAAAAGUUUCAUCAAAUUUCUCUGCAAGUUUGGUAAAUGGUAGAACUGCUAAACGCAUUCUUUGCCAUUUAACGAGUUCAUUCGGGAAUAAGCCACUUGUGACCCUCGAUUGAUCUUUGAAAUCAAGAAAACGUCAUCGUCGUCUUCCAAAGUGUGAUUAAGGCAAAAGAAUUAGGGGGGAAAAUUAUUUUGGAAAGAAUAUUAUUUUGAGAUUUUACCCACAAUAUUUUCAAUUUUAAUAAAUGUUUUGUUCGCAUUAUUUUCCUAUUUAUUUUGUUAAUUUGGUAGGACCAUUUAUGAAAUUUGUGGGUACAAAUUUCUAGCACGCCCAGCGAGACUUCUUUGCCUCUCGUCUCUUUUUAGAAGAUUGAUCUCUACUUCAUUGAUGACACCCAAAAGAACUCAAGUUGUGCAUGUAAACAAGGGCAAUGACAAGAUCAUCAUUGCACAAUCAACACAUGACGCCGCUAUGGGCCCCAUGACUCAUAGCAAAGCAAAAUCAACAUCUUCACUCUCAACAAAACAAAUAAGUGAGUUUGCUUGUUUGCUAAAAUCGGUAAGAACGUGUGAUGAGCACCAGCCACUCAUCACAUUGGUCUCUCUAGGGGCAAAGAGCCAUAGUCCUCGUAGUAGGGGAAAACUCACUUCAACACUACAGGACUUAGGAUAAAUCUCCUAGCUCUGUUAUCGAUUCUAACUCUAGCACCGGCUCAUACUCCGAGUCGCCAGCUGGAAUGUCAAAGGAGGAAAACUACUCCAAUCGUUUCGACUCUUUUACUUCUCCCUUCUCGAUGACUAUGCUGGUAAUGGCAACUGGCACUACAUUUGUAGAGGAACAAUUAGUAGAGAUGGCUCAUGGCAUCGCCAAACUCACCAAAAUGGUUGAGGAGAAGGAUAUGCAAAUAGCCUCCCUCAUAAAUAAGGUUGAGGCACAAGUACAAAAUAUGGGUGAGUCAAGUCAAGGACUCAACCACUUUCUGAAUGUUGCAUCUCUUCUCGAUGAUGCACCACAUGCGUAUAGGACAAUCCAAGUUGAGAGACAAAUGGCGGAAUCUGCCUCAAUGGCAUCAUUAUCUAUCCAACAACUUCAGUACAUGAUAACUAACACCAUUAGAGUGCAGUACAGUGGACCCUUACAGAGUACGCUCAUGUACUCAAAACGUUACACUAAGAGGAUUGAUAACCUACGUAUGCCUGUGGGUUAUCAACCUCCAAAAUUUCAAUCAUUUGCAAAAUUUCAAUCAUUUGAUUGGAAGGGAAAUCCAAAACAAUAUAUUGCCCAUUUCAUUGAAACUUGUAACAAUGCAGGUACAGAUGGUGACUUAUUAGUUAAACAAUUCGUCCGUUUUAUUCGAAGGAAUGCUUUCGAUUGGUACAUAGACCUUACACUUAAGUGUAUCGAUAAUUGAGACCAAAUGGAAUGUGAAUUCCUCAAUAGUUUCUAUAACACCCGACGAACUGUAAGCAUGAUGGAACUUACUAACACUAAGCAAUGGAAAGACAAGCCGAUUAUAAACUAUAUCAAUUAUUGACAUUCCUUAAGCCUUGACUACAAAGAUAGAUUAUCUGAGGUAUUGACCAUGGAAAUGUGCAUACAAGGAAUGCAUUGGGGUCUCCUAUACAUUCUCUAAGGGAUACAACCUCAUACAUUUGAAGAAUUAGCUACCAAAGCACAUGACAUAGAGCUCAACAUAGACAACCAUGGUUCUAAGAAGGACCUUACCAUUGAUCGAUAAAGAGAAAGACAUGAUGGGAAAAUGAGUGACAAGACCUCAAAGAAACCUAUUCAGGAGUCAAUGACAAUAAAUAUAACUCUUGUCAAAAUCUCAGCAAGAGAUAAAAAAAAGGAAGUAAAAGAGGUCAGACUAACCCAGGAAAAUAAGAUGUGUCAAUUCAUCUUGAAGGAAUUAGAGGAGAAGAAGUAUCCUUUUCCUGACUUUGAUGUGCCUAACAUGUUGGAAGACUUGCUCCAAAAAAAGGUUAUUAAGUUACUUGAGUGUAAGCAUCCAAAAAGAAUGGGUCGUGUUAAUGAUCCAAUCUACUAUCAUUACCAUCGAAUUGUUAGUCAUCCUAUGGAGAAAUGUUUCAUUUUAAAAGAUCUCAUAAUGAAACUUGCAAAGCAAAGAAGAAUUCAUUUAGAUCUGGAUGAAGUAGUAGAGUCAAAUCAUGCUAUAGUCACAUUUGAGUCAUUUGAUCCUGUUCCAUUACAUGUUCCACUUAAGAAACUAGGGACAUGUGGCAAUACUAUUCAAUGUGAGUCACCAAAACCAAAGCAAACAUAAGUGUCAUGUUAGGAUAGCCUUCUUCGCCUUUGCUCUGAUAAUAAAUCAAUGUCAUAUGACGAAGAAGGUUGGAUAUUGGUGACACGAAGAAGACUUUGCAAGAAGCAAGGGUCGCAUUCAUACCCUAACCUUCUUAGGAGGGAAUGACAUGAGUGGAAUACUCACCAACAUUUAAAGAAGAAAGAAAAAAAGAAUCUUAAAAGAAAACAAGCGAUUGUACAAAUAGACGACUUUUUGGUCCAGAAACUCAUCACCCCUAUCACCCUAGAGAAAUACUUCCCUCUAGGGUUCUUUGAUAAAAGGGUGGCAGUAUCAACUCAUAUGGUCUCUUGCUAAGAGACUUCAAAAGAAGAGGGGUUAAGUGAAGAUGAGGAAAACAUUCUUGGUGUUGAGUCAAGAAAAACUAAGGAAGAAGAGGGGGUUGUAGCAAGCCUACAACACCUACUCUCACUAUUUAGUAGCCACGAAAUGCUACAACUACCUAAUGAGAUACAAAAUGUGUUGAUUCAAGUACUUAAGGAUCCAACACUCUAUGCCACCAAAAUAAAGGGGGCAAAAAGACUUGAGGAUGAAAGCCACAAUUGUGCCAAAUGUUGUGCAGCCAUCAUUUUUACUAACGAAGACCUUCAGUUAGGGUCAAAACCACAUAAUCGACCCCUGUUUGUUACUAGGUACAUACGGGAACAAAAUAUCACUUGCAUUUUAAUUGAUGAAGGGUUUGGAAUAAAUAUCAUGCCUAAAGCAACAAUGAAAUGACUCAGGAUUGCUACAAAAGAACUAACUCAGAGUCGCCUAAUGAUCUAAGGCUUUAAUCAAGGGGGACAACGAGCUAUUGGUAUGAUUCACCUAGAGCUUGUUACAGGUGAAUUGAGUUCGAACACAUUGUUUCAUGUAAUCAUUGCAAAACAUUUUACAACUUAUUACUCGAGCGACCAUGACUUCAUGAGAAUGGGGUAAUUCUUUCGACACUAUACUAGUGUUUCAAAUUCUAUAGAGGAGGGGUAAAGGUAGUAUAGACUGAUACUAAGCCAUUUACAGAAGUCGAGUCUUAUUUUGUUGAUGCUAAAUUUUACAUAGAAAAUGAUGUUAUGCAGGAAGUCCUUCUUGCGAUUAUUCUCUCCACUGGGAAUGCUAAACUUAAGGAAAAAGUUGAGCUAUGUAAGUUGACAUCAGCAGGGAAAUUUCAUAACAAAUGAUGACUCAAAUAAAAAAAAAAGAGAAAUUUUCAAAAAAAUUGACAUUGGACUUGACAAUUCUCACUACUUUCCUAGUUUUUAGGUACAUCCCAAUAUCUCGACGAAGUGAGGGUCAACCAUUUUUCAUAGAAGACAAAAACAAAGUACAACCCUGAGGAUUGGAAAAUGGGGACCUUUAAGUCUUGAAAGAAGAUACGACCAUUCCUCUUCCAAACUUACAACUUAUCUCUAGGGAUGAAACACAAAAAUCCAACAAAACCUCAAGAGAUCAAACAAAGCAAGAAUUCUUUCCUGGUAAAAGAAUAAAUGAGGAGUUCAACCCUAAGACUUACAAGUUAUUAGCCAAGGCAAGGUAUUACUUCACUUCGUCAUCACGAUUAGGAGAACUUAGCCUCGAGACUACAGGUGAAAAGAUGCAUGACUUUAACGAAACUCAAAAAAAGUUGAAACAACAAGGGUAUGCAGUCAAACCUUCUAGUGCAGGUUUAGGGUUUGUACCUUUUGAGCCUAUCAAAAUUUUAGUUAAGACUAAGAAGACUAAGGCAAGUACACAACAUAUCAUUGUAGAAGACAUGGAGGAGAGUAGUGGGUCUAACUCUCCUUCUCGAAUUUCAAUAUUUGAUCGGAUUGAAGCUCUAAUUACAUGAGCUUCAGUGUUCACUAGGUUGGGCGAUUUUAACCAAGUAUAAUGUAAUUUAGCACAUAUUCCACAAAGGUCAAUACAACGAAGGAUUAAUACUCUACCCAAAAGUCACGACGACAAAAUCCCAAUAAGAAGUAGUGUAGUGAACUAAAUAAGAAUGCAAAAAUAAGAAGUUUAAUCCCAUCAAGGAUGAAACACCAUUCAACUUGGGAAAUUUGUACUAAUGGCUAGUUAAAAUUAAAAUGACAUACCAUCGUGAUCACCAAGCAGUCGGACGAGGGAUGCCCUAAAGAUGUUAAAUAAAGUUUGACACACAGUAACUACCAUAUUACAGUAGAAGUUGACUCUAAUUCAGAGUUUUUAGAAGAUGAACUAUGAGAAGCUCCUCAAGUAUUUGAGGACGGGGGGCAGGCCACUGUAGAUGAGUUAAAAGAGCUCAAUUUAGGUACAAAUGAGGACCCAAGGCCAAUUUAUGUAAGUAUGCUUUUAAGUCCUUCUGAAGAGAAAAGUUAUUUUGAAUUGUUACUCAAUUAUAAAGAUGUCUUUGCAUGGUCGUACAAAGAAAUGUCAGGUCUUGAUCCAAAAGUUGUAGUACAUUAACUCACGGUGAAACAUGGUGUCCGAUUGAUUAAGCAAGCCCAAAGACGAUUUUGACCAGAACUUGUUUCGCAAAUAGAAACGAAAAUUUUCAAAUUGAUUGAAGUUGGUUUUAUUAAGGAGGUAAAGUACCCGACAUGGAUUGCGAACAUUGUUCCAGUGAAGAAAAAGAAUGGGUAGAUCCGUGUCUGUGUAAAUUUUAGAGAUUUAAACAAUGCUUGCCCAAAAGAUGACUUCCCAUUACUAAUUAUUAAGCUUAUGGUUGAUGCAACUACAGGUCAUGGAACUUUAUCCUUCAUGGAUGGAUCAUUGGGGUAUAACCAAAUACAAAUGGUGCCAGGGGAUGAAGAACUUACUGCAUUUUGUACUCUAAAGGGUAUUUACUGUUACAAAGUGAUGCCUUUAAGACUAAAUAAUGCAGAUGCAACGUAUCAACAUGCCAUGCAGAAAAUAUUUGAUGACAUGCUUCAUAAGAAUGUCGAGUGCUAUGUUGAUGAACUGGUGGUCAAGUCUAAGAAGAGAGAAGACCACCUGCAAGAUCUUCGUAUGGUGUUUGACAGGUUAAGAAGGUACCAACUUAUGAACCUACUCAAAUGUGCUUUUGGUGUUACUUCUAGUAAGUUUCUAUUUUAUUGUUCGACACCGUGGCAUUGAAGUGGAUCAAUCUAAGAUCGCAACCAUUCGAGCUAUGCCAGAGCUGAGGAAUCUUUAAGAACUUAGAAGUCUUCAAGGACGUCUUACUUUUAUUCGACGAUUUAUUUCAAAUCUUGUAGGACGAUGUCAAUCCUUCAACCAACUUAUGAAGAAAGAUGUCCCAUUUGUUUGGGACAAAGCUUGUCAUAAUCCCUUUGAGAGAAUAAAAAAGUAUUUGGCUAAUCCACCAAUCUUAGGUGCUCUUAUGGCAGGGAAGCCAUUGAUACUCUACAUUGCCGCACAAAAAUGCUCUCUUGGAGCAUUGUUUGCACAACAAAACGAGGAGAACAAAGAAAAUACAUUGUAUUACUUAAGUCAAACUCUAAUGGGAUCAGAACUAAAUUACUCCCUAAUAGAGAAAACUUGUCUUGCUUUAAUCUUCUCGACAAAAAAGCUAAUACAUUACAUGCAGGCAUACACAGUACACUUAAUAGCACACGUUGAUCCCAUUAAGUAUGUGCUAUCAAAGCCAGUUAUUUCAAGACGAUUAGCAAGAUGGGGGUUGUUACUCACUGAGUAUGAAAUAAUCUACAUUCCUUAAAAGGUAAUCAAAGGACAACGCAGACUUCUUGGCAGAUCAUCCUAUCCUUGCAACAUGAAAAAUUUUAGAUGACUUCCCCGAUGAGGAGAUCUUUUAUGUUGAUGUUUUUCCUUCGUGAAUGAUGUUCAGGUCAGCACGUUAUGAUGGAACAGGUGCAGAUGUUGUAUUUGUCUCACAACAAAGAUAGAUACUACCAUAUUCAUUUGUUCUUAGUGAGAGAUGCUCUAACAACGUUGCUAAAUACCAAGCCUUAAUUAUUGAACUACAAAUAGCGAUUGAAAUGAAAAUCACAAGCUUAGAGAUAUGUGGGGAUUCUAAGUUGGUAAUCAAUCAACUUCUAGCCUUGUAUAAGGUUAAAAGUGAUGACUUAGUUCCUUACUUCCAAUAUGCUACCCAACUGAUGGAAAAGUUUGAGCGAACCUCUUUAGUUCAUAUUCCAUGAAAGAAAACUAAAUGGCAGAUGCUCUAGCUAAUCUAGUUGCAAGUUUGACACUGCUUAAGGACGAGACUAUACACAUCACUCUUUGCCAUAAGUGGGUACUGCCGCCAUUGCCACUAUUACAACAAGAAGAAGUAAACGCUACAUCGGUAUUUACUAUUGACAACGAAGAUUGGCGACAACCAUUAAUUGACUACUUAGAGCAUGUGAAGUUACUUGAUGAACUAAGGCAUUGAACAUAAAUACGACAUUGAGCUCCAUACUUCAUUUACUACAAAGAAACACUUUAUCGAUGCUCAUUCCAUGGAGUACUUCUUCGAUGCCUAGAAGGAGAAGAGACAAAUCAAGCAAUUGAAGAAGCUCAUUCUGAGAUCUAUAGGGCUCACCAAUCAGGGCCAAAACUUCAUUUUCGAAUCAAAAGGAUGGGAUACUAUUGGCCAACUAUGGUUAAGGAUUGUAUGGAAUAUGAAAAGAAGUGUCAAUCAUGCCAAUUCCACUCAAAUUUUAUACACAACCCCUUGAGCCACUCCAUCCUACAAUUGCGUCAUUGUAGACCCUCAAUUUUGUCCCUUUAGCACAUGUCUUUAAGUUCGUUUUCAGUGCUUCAAAAUAGUUCCUUGGUGGCCCAUGGCUACUCAUACCACUUACCUUUUUCUGAGUCACCUCGGAGAUUUUGGUGGAGGAAUUAUUUGAUCCUUUAUUGUGACCCUUGGCAGCCCUAACUUAGACUUAGACUUUUCUUGUUUUUUUUUUUUUUUUUUUAGGAUAGCUUUUAGAUACAUUUGGCCCAUUUGGACAUUUUUAGCGUGACUUGUAUGACUUGCAUGGUUACAUGGCUUUUGGGCUCGACUUUUUGUUUAUUGGUUUAUUUUUAUUUUAUUUCAUUUUAUUUAUUUUUACCGUUUCCUAAUUUAUUUACUUGCUUAUUUAUUCAUUCAAUGAUUUAACUUCAAGAUUUUCAUGUUUUUGCAAGGAAACUUACCAUUGGAGUUUAAGGAAGGUGGGACUCUCCUUGGAAGGUUUUGGAGGGGAAUUUGAAAUUGAGAAGAUUGCUUUUGAUUGGAAGAUUUAAAAAAAGGAAGAAAAGAAGAAAGGAAAUAGGAGAAUUUUCCUUUUUGGAAAGAAAUUUAGGUCUUGAGGGGUGAUAUAUAUAGGUGAGAAAAGGAAAAGAGGGGGAAGGAUUUUUUUUGGGGGUAGAGCACGCGUUGGAGGAUUGGGAGGAGAUUUGAGGAGGUUCUUUUUGGAGCAGCAGGCAUUGGAGGAAAAUUUGUCGGGGAAAAGAACAGAGGAAACGAAAAGAGCAAUUGCAACCAAGGCUGUCCAGGUAUGCACCUCGUUGCUUUUGGAAUUCUGACCUAUGUUUGAUUUUUUUCCACGUGAAUAUUUAAUGGUAUUGUUGAUUUUGUGUGGACGAAAGGGGCCACAAUUUGUUUUGUUGAGAUUGGUUGCUUGCUUGUUUGCCUUGUUUUGGUUUUGAUUGUCAUUGAUGUCUUCGGAAGCAUAUAACUCCAUGCCUGAAUGUGAUCAGAUUCUGUUCUUCAUUUAAAUCAUAUUCUGCAUUUGUCUCUCUGUUUUUAGCCCAUGGAUUAAUAUCUGAAGUGGGGGCUAUCCAUGUUUACUGAUCAACACCUUCUGCCAUUUCCUUCUCCAAGUUUUACUUCAAUUUUUUUUAUCUUUUAUCUGUAUUCUUUUCCUCGCAUGGUGUUCGAACCCUUGCUCUUGUAUUUGGGUAUACGUCGAGGAAUGAUGUAAGUGUCAAUAUGAGGGAUGAACUGUGCAACAAUCCCACUCAAAAAUAAUUGAUUCCGAGGUAUUGUAAUGGAUUGUGGAGACUGGAGGUAACGUCUUAUUGGCAUCAGAUUUGACCUUUCUAAUCCUAUGGGAUUCAAUGGCUCGUACAGAAUCGCAACUCCGGUGUUAUUUGCAAGCAUAGCUAAAUGGGUUAAAGCCAAGCUAAUAUUUUCUCUUGCUUCCGAAUGAUCGCGUUAUCAUUGGCCAACAUCACUUCUACCCUUUCCAAUUUUCCAAGCGCUUCUGACCGUAAGAAUAAUGGUCUCAGAGAAAGCAAUUUGACUUGUAAAACAGAGGGUUUCAGAGAGUGUCAGGAAGGUGAUUGAUUUGGGUAGCACUGAAAAAGGAUGGUUUGAACUAGGGUUUUGAAUCACGCCUUGAGUUAUUAGAGCAGUACGAAGAAUUGCGGGAUACCAGUGAUGGAUUGAUGGGUUCGGUGCCGAUUCUGGGUCGUAUUACAGAUUUGGGGCAGAGACGAUUGGUGAUGGCAAUGGGAUUAAUGCAAAUCAGGGAGAUGCUAUUUUUGAGGAAACGUAGUUCACGGGUUUUAGGAAUGUAGUUUCAGAAUUUUCAGAGAUUCUUGAUGUAUUGUGUUAGAAUAUUCUGAAACAGUUUCAGUAUACCGAAGGAUCCAAUACGGGCUUAGCAAUUACUAUAAGGAACAGAAAGAAGGAAAUUGAUGCGACUUCUGCGAACAAGUAAGUUCCAGAUACUUCGGUUGGAAGAACCUUCUCAAUAAGGUGAUCAAUCAGAGGAGGUAUCUUGCACAGUAGACCUUUCUGAUUCUUUAUGUUAUCAACUUGAUCUUGUCUCUUUUGUCGCAUAUGUCAAUUCUGCUCAUUUAUGGAAUUCAAAAUCCUCAUUGUUGUUGCCUGAAAAAGAAAUUACGGCAAUUGGAGAAGACAAUCAGUCUGACCCUUUUUGUUGAAAAUUUUGUUUUGGAAAGAUUUUCUAUUUAAACCUCCCUGCGGGUACUAUUCGAUGAAGUCUUUGGUAAUAAAUUUCAGGAUGCUAUUGAAUUGAUAAGUAUGUAGCCAGUUGCUUCUAAUUUAGCAGCCUGGAAGAGAAUGCGAGUUGUUGAAUUCAUGCACAUGCGAUAUGCUCUGGAAUCUGUGGUGCUUGCAGUUGGAGCUAUGGAAAGAAGUACAUCUUAUCAUCUACUAUUGGUGAGAGAUAUAUUGUUCUUGCAAUGAAGCACCCUGCUGUCUUCUUAGAUAGCAGGUACAUUGACAAUGGGGAUAAGGAUAAGAAGACUUAUACGUCUUCUUAGAAUAUGGAGGAUUCACUCAAUACAAAAGUCACUCUUUUCGUCUCUGGAAUUGAGAAACCACAGUUUAGAGGAUGGAAUUAAAGUUUUUAUGCCCCAAGUUGCAGUAGCAGUUCUGGUAAUACUCAAACUCAGAGCAUCACGGGGUAUGACAGGAUGGCUGGAAUGGUGAUUGGAAGGCUCCUGGCGUCCAGAGAUUCCCUAAGUAGCAGUGGAAGUUUACUACUGGUGUAGCCAUGAUUGAAGUUACAGCUCCAUGUGUAUAUGCUAUCAAAAGAAGAAGGAUACGAGACUCUGAUUUUCCAUACCACUGGAAUGGGUGGAAGGGCUAUGGAGGAUCUGAUCAGAAGGGGAUUUAUACGAUGUGUUCUGGACAUAACAACAACAGAGGUUGCUGAUUAUGUAGUUGGAGGUGUUAUGGCUUGUGACAAUUCCCACCUUGACGUCAUGAAGAUAAGAAAUUUGUCGGCUUUGUAGCAAACGAACUAAACGAAACAGCAUCAAAGGUAAUGUUGACCCGAAUGAUUAGGCUCAUAUUCAGAAAGACAGAAUUUGAUCCAGACUCGAUUUCCUCUGGUUCUGCUACAAAUAAAGAAGUUGAAUUUCUGGACUGCACAAGGACCUUUUAGUUCUGAUUUUUCUUUAGGUGCCAAUCUUACCACAAUGGAAGAUGUCCAGAAUAGUUUUAAUGCAACGCAACUUAGGCUUUGUGGAAGGUUAAGCAAUGUUGAUGGCUAUAUAAUGCCGAUCAUCUUCCCAAGUGUUAUUCUCUGUGGCUGAGUUGUUUUCUGAAGCUGAAACAUAAAGACCCUCUCAAUAAGGCCGCCUCUAUGAAUCUUGCUCAGCAUGCACUGAUCAGCAAUUUCUGGUGAGAUCUCAGCCAGUUCCAGCUGAUAAGCAGGUGAACCAGGCAGGAAGGACCAAUUGGCAAACACUCUUGGGCUUUCCUGGUGGGCAUGAAACCCAGAAUUGCAAUGGGGUAGUUCAGAAUCUGAAUCUAGUUCGACUUGGAGGUCUGAGUCAGACAUUAUAUAAUUAGGAUGGCAAAGAAGACUCCUUACCUACAGCGGCCCAAAUUUAUUAAGUCGUCCUUUGACACUAAAGAGAUCACCGGUUUGCCCUUGAUAAAUUAAUGUCAUCAUGAGCAGAUUUUGUUCCUAUUCUUUAGCUGAGAAUCAAAUGCAUCACACCAUCGAACAGUUGAAAUCUUUGAGUAGGAGCAGAGAAUGAUGCAGAACAGAGAAAACAAUGACCCAGGUCCAACAGGUCUCAUGAGGUUUGAUGGUGAGAUCCGUUCAGCAAUGUUGGGAAGCAACUGGAAAUAUGGGCCUCAUGCUGCUGCAACUCACUUAGACUACAUGGUUGAGUUUACAGUCACUGUGCCAAUUUUGAGUCUUGCUGGAACAAUGGAUAACUUACCAGCUGGUGAACCAUGGCUGCAGAAACUAAAAGCGGAUUGAGCAGGAUGCAACUACUCUCAUUCCAGGAAACAAAGAACUGAAACCACACGAGUAGGACCCUUUGAACAAAAAUGCUGGUAUCAAUACACAUCCUACGUGCCCAUCUAUUAUUCAAUCCAAUUCUGAAGUCCCAGUCAUGUCACCUAGAAAAAGCAAAGGAGAAAUUCAAAGGGAACCCUUGGGCUUGAAAGGAAAGGUUCUUAGUCUUGGAAAGGUUCAGAAAAGCCGGAAGGUGUAGAAAGAAUUCAAGCAGCCACAGAAGGCUUCCUCCAAGCUGAUAGUACCACCUAGCACAGGUUUCGGUACCUUAACCUAUGGAUAUAGUUUGCUCUUGAGAGCGUUCCAUACAUUCGAAACGGCAUCAAUAAGUCACUACUUUUGGAUCAGCACUUGGAACUGGAUCUUAGUACUGUCAUGCUUGGCUGUUGCUUUUGGUUUUAGAAACAUGAACUGCUUAGGUAACGCAUCUGGCUUGGCAGUUAUAAUUAUAAUGUCAGUCACCACCUGCCUAAUGUCUCUGGUUGCUGUACUGUGCCGACACCAGAAUGUCUCCUCUAUAAUUGGCUCCAUGUUCUUCAUUGGCGUAAUUGAAGCUUUCUAUUUCUCAGCAUGGAUCUCUAAGCCACUCCUGAGCAUGCGUGUAAGAAUGGAUAGCAGGGCAGAUUUUCAGGUUCCUGGUCAGAGUGGAAUAAUGGGACAGCCAAAUGAAGACGAAUUCCCCAUGAACUUCCAAAAAUAGACUUAAUGAUAAGAAGAGAGGUGAAAAAGAAUUCAGUGGCUAUUCGAGAUGACUUUUAUGGAUGAAUUCGGUAGAGAAUUGAAAAGAAUUCAAGUGGUUGCAUAUGUGGGUGAGAUUCAAUAGCGUUAACGGAUACUCUUGAUGGCUGAAAUUUAAAAGAAAUGAUAGACUACAUAAGUGAGGUGAUUGAAUUUUAUAAAUAUGAUUAUGGGUUUUGAAUUACAUCGAGAUCAGCACUUGUUGAGAUUAUCAUAUUUAUGCUGGUAACAUUGCAAUCAUAUACGUUUUCAUCCCAAGAGUUUGAUCAUGCGUCAAAAUAUCUAGAAGCAGAGCAAAUUGAAACCUUUUCAAAAUCAGCAGUGGACAGAUUCUGUCCUAAAACACUUGAAGUUGGAGCAUACUGAGGCAGUUUAGUCUUCUGAAAUCCAUACCUAGUUUCCUGAUGAUUCAAGUUCUUUAUUUGACUUUUCCUUUAUAGAGAAAGCUCCUAGUGGCAUUGACCAGCCAGGAAUUCACCAUAUGCUUCAUCAACAAUAAUGUGCAAUUCAGGAAAAACGAGGUUGGAUGGUCAGAAGAAGACUUUGAAACUAGUUCAGGAUCUCAAUCUAGUGAAUCUGAUUUCUCCAGUUUCAGUCCAGAUGAGCUUCUGCAGUUAAUUGGUGAUGCAUCAGUUAUGGGAAAGGUCCUUCAUCAACUAGCACUUCACCUUUAUAAGAAUCCAUCAUGAUUCUCAGCACUUGCUGUUGUCUAUUUUCUGACAUGUAUUAAGCAAAGAUUGGUCUGAAGAGAGAUAAUACAUCCUCUAUCUAGUACACAGAUUCAGACGCUGAAUUCCGUGAUUAUGUUAGUGAGGUCACGAGGGAAGUGUGUAGGCAUCACUAUGCAAAGUGCCUUGAAGUUGUAUCAAUUCGUUUGCUGGAUAAUCGCCCACAAAUUAGCAAAAAUCAUCUUUCAAAAUAUAUGAAGUAUCCUACGUUUAUAGGAGAGCAAUUGAUCAUUCAACACCAAAUUGUUAUCUUCAGGGAAAUGUUGAUAUGAUUGGAGGUGCAAUAGCAUUGACUUGAGAUAGUCAACAGUAUGUGAUCACAGAGUUAGGAUAUUACAACAAGAAGAGUCCAAUGGGCUUAAAUCUUUUUGACAGAAAUUCUCAUCUAUCUUGGACUUUAAGCUAGCGUCUGAUGAAAAACAUCAGAAUCUUCACCCUAUUCUAUGAUAGAUGCAUGCAUUGCAGUAUGCUCGAGAUCAUUGUAGGCCUUUAUCCGAGAAGAAACAGAAUAGAGUGAACCAGGUGUUGAAUAAAGCCCGUGAUGAUGCUGAAAGUAGUGCCUAGAAGAACUCGUUAGAAAGUAACAAAGGCAAUGUCCUCUUUCCUCUCCUCUGAUGUGCCUUCUCCUGUUUGGAGUAUACCAAUAAUUCGGAAACUGCACUCUUUAUCUGUGACUUUACUUGAUGGAAACAAAGGGCAAGAUGGGAAGCCUCACAAGGAAGAGAAGCCUCAAAGUCUAUAUGAGAAUUUAGAAGAUUCUUUUGCCACAAAGGCAGCAGAAGAAAUAUGCUUGCAACAGAAAGAACUUAGGGUAUUUGAAAUUUCUGGAUUGGUGCUGCUCAAUGAGAAUAUACAGAAAAUCAAUCCAAAUGAACCACUAAAAGAAGAAUGCACUACUCUAGGUGAAGUAUCAUGGUUAGAGAAUCACAGAAACGCGUCUGCAAUAAAACGCUCAGAUUCUCCAAUAGAAAGUGACAGAACCAUGAAGCUGCCAGUAGAGGUGCCUGAGGGAGCUGAGGAACCUGCAGAAGAGUAUGAAAACAACAAAGAACUGAUCAUAGAGAAAGAGAGAGACAUCAAGGAAUUUCCAGCCGUGUCCAUUGAAGUUGAAUAGGUUAAAUAGGAACGGCAUUCUGAGACAAUACUCGCUGAAAAUCCUAGAAUGACAGAUUCUGAAGUGCAGACUAAAAAUGUGAACCUAUAGGAUUGUGGAAGACUUCAGCAAAGACUCUAAAAGAUUUCCCAUCACAAAAGCAAUGGAAGCAGAGAUGCUACAGAAACAGAGUGGUAAAAGGAAAGUGGAUGUCUCUGGUUCGGUAUCUGAAAUAUCAAAAGAAAUUAAUAAGGAGGUCAUAGAAGAUGCCAGCACUUGCUCUAACAAUAUUGAUGCUGCAUCCGAAGAGGGGAAAACAGAAGAGUCAAGCUUGUAGGAAACUCAACUGAAUGACAAAUACAAAAAGAUCAUUAAGACUAGCUCAGAAGAUAAGACACUAUAAGCAAAUACCACAAAUGAAACUAGUCCACAGGCUGAAGAGGUUGACAGCAUGAAGCUUGAAGAAACUUUUGAAUUGAUGUCUCAACUUCCAGUUAAGGCAUGUGAGAACACAAACAAGGAGAGUGAAACAGUGGAAAGGUCGAUUGAUAAUGUGCUGAAGAAACCGAUUAAAUCUUCUGGUAUAGUAUCAGAAUCCCAAGAACAAUGUGCUGAAGAAACUGAUUAGACCCUUAAGCUCUUCUCUAGCAGGGUCUUUGAUAUCAAAUGCCUGUCAGAACCCCCAUUCAGUAAACUGCUUCAAUUUGAGCUCAGGAAUCCAAGGAAGACACGGAUAAGGGAAAGUUGAUUACGCCAGAAUCUGUAUUUCUCAAGAGCAACUCAAGUUUACUGGAACUCUUCACCCUUCAUUGGAAUUCAAUAAAACUUUGAACAACAGAGAGCCACAGAAAAGUACUAAAGGAGGGCAGAAUGUAUUUUGGGAUUCAACAUCAGCAGGAUAGUCUCAAAUCUUAUUCCCAGGCUCCACUCCAUCAUGGCAACCUUGCUAUACACACCCUCUCCUCUAUUUACUUUUGUGAUUGGGAACUUACUAUUUUAAGUUGAAUUUUUGAACCAUUGUUCAACUAAACAUUCCCAGCUUUGAAAAAUCCAUCUUAGGAGCAUCUAGGUAUAAAAUCCCAAUUUUAACAUGCUAUUUGCUGCCAUUUUCCUCCGGGCAUGCACUUUCACUAUUUUAUCCGAUUUUUAACUAUUUUCAUGAUUUUCUCGAUUUUCUCAAGCAUGAACAAACUUCAUGAUUCCAAACAAUGGAAUUAAUAGAAUAAAUUCAUGCAAAAGUAAUCAGGGCAUUGGGGGGAGGCCCGACAUUCAUAAUAUUCUCUUCAAUAGUGUCUUGUUUGAUAUUUGAUUGAUUGUGCUUCCUCUUUGUGGUAUAUAUGAGAUUAUUUUGAAUUAGUUGUUGAGUUAAUUUUGUUUCCCAUAGAGGAUUAUUAACUCGCUAAUCAGGUACGCUCUUUCUACCACCACACUUUCCAAAAUUUCAUGAAUAUGAGACAUAACCAUAUUUGAUGCCAUAAUUGAUUGCUUUGAUGCUUGUUGGAUCGUCUUUGAUGAAAAUACAUAUUAUGUGUCAUAUUUCCAAACUAAUCUCUCAUGUUUUGUGAUAGUGUUUGAGAAGCCGUUCAGGUACGCACUUCGACUCUCUCUUAUGGUUGGUUUUCUUAUUAGGCAUGCAAUAUUUGAAAUCACCUAGCCUACUCAGGUAUCCAUAAUUAACUGAUUAAUGGCCACGCUUCCCUUAACUUAGUCAGUAGAGACCUCUUUAGGGCUUAGAGGGGUGCUACCUCCUAGAGGUACCUUCCCAAUAAGUAACCUGAUCCCCGAACCAAGACUUGGGUUUUCAAAGACACGCUUUUCCAAAAAUUAUGGAGUCAUUUUUUUAGGGUUUUAUUUCUUGUUUUAUUUUCCCUUCAAAAAUAAAAAUAAAAUAAGUGGCGACUCCAACUUUUUCAAAAAUCAAUUUUUCACAAUAAAAAGCGAGUCUCGUCGAUCGAGUGGGGACGCACGUGAAAAAUGCGGGUCCACAGUCAUGGCCAUUUGAUGCAUGGGGACUUGACGUGGUCAGACCCAUUACUCUUAAAUCCUUUGUUGGACAUGCUUACAUAUUGCAGCAACAUAUUAUUUUUCUAAAUGGGCAAAAGUUGUUCCACUUAAAGAAGUGAAUAAAGAAAAUGUAGUGAACUUCAUUCGAAGUAAUAUUAUCUAUCGGUAUAGGGUACCAUGAUAUAUAAUCACUGACAAUGGGAAACCCUUCUAUAGCAAAUUGAUGAUCAAUCUUUGUGAGAGGUUUAGUUUCAAACAACACAAUUCAUCAAUGUACAAUGCACCGACCAAUGGUCUCACAGAAGCAUUCAACAAGACUCUUUGCAACUUAUUGAAGAAAAUUGUUGAUAAUUCAAAGAGGGAUUGACAUGAAUGAGUAGGAGAAGCACUUUAGGCAUAUCAAACAACAUAUCGAACGCCUACACAAGCAACCCUUUAUUCCCUUGUUUAUGGUGUAGAAGUUGUAUUGCCCCUUGAGCGUCAGAUCCUUUCAUUAAGGAUUUCUAUACAUGAAGGACUAACUAAUGAAGAUAAUGCCAAGUUACAUCUUCAAGAGUUAGAAGCACUAGACGAAAAGUGACUCGAAGCCCAACAACACUUAGAGUAUUAUCAAGCACACCUUUCAAAAGCUUUAAAAAAAAAAGGUUUGUCUUCGGUCUUUUCAAGUCGGUGAUCUAGUUCUUGCCAUUCGUAGACCCAUUAUCACCACACAUAAGACUAGGAGUAAAUUUACAUCAAAAUGGGAUGGACCUUAUGUGGUGCAAGAAGUCUACACCAAUGGUGCUUAUAAGAUCGUCACUGAAGACGGAUUAAGAAUUGGCCCUAUCAAUGGAAAAUUCUUAAAGCGUUAUUAUGCUUGAGUCACACUACACCCUUAGCUUGCAUGAGCAUAAAUUAUGUCUGGAGCACCAAAAAAAAAAUAAAAAAAUCCGCUAAGUCGAAAACCUAAAAGGACGCCUUAGGUAAAAAUUAGGACAUAUGCUCACAAGAUUAAAAUUUUCUUUUAGCCUUGGCAAAAGUUAGAGCAUGAAAAAAAAAGGUGCUGCAUUUGACUUGAUCCUCUCUCUUUGAAAGGUAUGUAAGCAACUUGGGGAAACCACCUAAGUUCACUCACUACCAAAAAAAAAAAAAAAGGUCUCAUUUUUAUUAAUAAAUAAAUCUGACUAACAAAUGCUAGACUUUAUUACAUCUUAAUAAAAAAAAAUGAAUGAAAGCAAAAAAAAAAAGGGAGCCAAAACUAAGUAAAAAGGUACAAUGAUCACAUCCACACCAAGCAUGCAAGCUCGUCACGUUGAGUCCUUAAGGCUUCUUGAAGUGUCUCUAAAGUUUUGACAUCAACAUCAGUAAGCACAAGGGUUUGGGCGAUAAUGACAUGUUAUUUCCUCAAACGAGAAACAUCAUUAUGUUUAUUGGCUAUAAUCUCAUCAAUCUCCAAGAUUAAGUUAUGAAUGUGCUCUUUUUGUUUACCUAGUUGCUUAAAUUCCUUCUUAAGUGCUUCCUAUUUAGCAUCGAGAGUAGCUAAGUCUACCUUUAAUGAUUGACGAUGGUUUUCCUAUAUACACUUAGAGUUUAAAGCAUCCACAAUCUGAGAUGCAAUAAUAGCUAAACGUUCGCUUUGUACUUCUAGAGAUAUAUUUAUAGAAUGGGUGCGUCACAUUGCAUUGAGGUGAUCUACACUUUCCAUGUACUUCUCAAUCUGAGACUUUAAUGGUGAAGGGUUCACUCCAAUCUUUGUGAUAACAUUGAAAAGCUCAUCAAUUUUUCCUCUUAAUAAUGGGAGACAUUUAUUUGGAAAUUUUAAUAAUCAUCACCUUAGUGCCUUCUCCUAUCAUAAGUGCUUCUUGGCGUUAGGCAUUAAGGAUGAUUUGUUUGACGUCGAAUGUGUGAAUGGAAGUAGAAGGAGCAACCACGGUAGGACAUGUAGAUUGUUGUUCAGUAAUUAAACCUAUAAAUGCUAAAAUUGUUAAUUCAUCAUAUGUUGUAUCUCUAAUUGUGGUCUUUUGACCUCGAGAUUCAAUCAGAACAUCACUUAAGAUGUUAGUAAUACCUUUAUCACCCAAAUAAGAAUGAGACAAAGGUAAUGGGAUGAUAGAGUGAUUAUCUUGUUGUAUGGUCAAGGUAAAGGGUGCUGACUCCCUAAUAGCAAUAGUACUUUCGAACUGAUCCUUAGGAGAGGACUCAUCCCCUUCAUUGACAAAUUGGUUGUCACCCGCCACCUAAGGCAAAUAAUUAUUUUUGUUAGUAUCAAUGCAAAAAAAAAAAAAAAAAAACCUUUUCACCAUCAAGUUCCAUCGCUUGAGUAGAAGUUAGGACGUCAGCAAAGAAGACAUUUACAUCAAGAUGAUAAGAGUUAGUCUCAUCAUAGUACAUAGGGUUGGGUCUAAUUUUUUUCCAUUUGAAGUAACAUUCACUUGUAUCUUCAAAGUUUUUGUUUGAUACAUAAAGACCCUGUGCAUUGUUAUGUUGCUUAAAAGUCUUGUGACAGUGAGUAUUACCACCGUUGAAAAUAGUUUCCUCAUGCUCUGAGUGUGUGGAGGUAUUAGUUUGAUGUCCACCCAUUGAGCGCUUAGAAGAAGCUCUUGAAUCAUCAGGUAAAUCAUCAAAAUCCUUCUCAACAUUGUCUCUAAUAUUCCCCUUAGUAGAAACACUUAAGUCAACCUUGCGCGUUCUACUCUCUAAAGAUCUAGAGGGUAUUUGCCAAGAAGAAUUAGGAGGGGGCUCCAUACAAGUAGUAGUAAGAAUUUCUUUAUCAGGAUUACGUACUCUGAUCCACCAAUCCGCAUAAGCCAAUCUGGUAUAGUAACUUUGGAGUAGGUACCAAGCCUAGUACAUGACUGCCAAUGUUGAUACACCGCCUUUAAAGUUCUAGUGUGAAAAAUCUCUAGCGAACUCUCCGGAAGGUCUUGAAGAUAUACAAACUGCCUAGAAAACCGAUGAGGAUAAUACAGUUGGAUUACCCAAUGAUUACCUUGUCGCAAAGAUAAAUAGUUAGAGUGAAGACUUAUGAGAUAAGAAGCUUUGGUAACACUAAUAGAUUCAUUAUCAGUCCAGUGCACAUGCCUCUUGUGGCGCAAUGCCAAGUGGUCUAGCUUUACGCCUUUGCAAGACAUUAUCAAAGCCUAAGCUUGCAAAUCAUCAAAACACUUAACAAAAAACUCGCCAGUGUAAUAAGUCAUCCGUGGGGGAUGGCUCCAAGAAGGAGAAAUGAAAUGGGUAUCGAAAUAUUCAUUUAACCAUCCGUAUAAGUAAUGAAUAGGGAAAAUAGAUGCAUUAGUCCCAGGCUUUGAAGAAUAAGUGAUUUUAUUUAAGCUGUUGUAAAUACUUCCUAACACCAAAACAACAAGGCUAAAUGUCUCACCUUGAGCCAUUUUACUAGCUACCUUGAAGACUUUAGGAUGAAUCAAAUUGACACCUCCCAAGGAAGAACGAACUUGUAUAACCAACAUGCUAAGAAAGCGCCUAAGUAUCCUUCACAUCUGCCUCAGCUAUGCCAAGGUUGUAAAAAAUUUCCAUCUCUGACUGAAUACGAGAUUUAAUAGGAUCAAUUUCCCCAGAGGGGUUAUGAGUCUCCUUAGGCCUUUACGCCUUAUUCCUUGUACUUUUAUUUGGAAGUUUUGCAUACUUCAUGGAGCCUUUAUACCAAAAUGACACCCAAGAGGCUAACUUGACUGAAGACUUCCCUUUCGUGUUAGAGCAAAUUCGAUGAUAUGCAAGGAAUAAGUUUUGACAACUUGGUGGGAGUGAGGGCUUUGUCACAUCAUUAGAUAACUCUUCCAUGCUCGGUACCAUCUCAUCAUAAAAAGAUCCAAUGAUGGGUAGUCCAACAAUAUGAUACAAGUCCCAAAGAGAGAUGGAAACCUCUCUAAUGGAAGUAUGCAAGGUGUUAGUGGUAGGACACCAACGUUCACAAAAGGCCCUAAUCACAGAGGCAUGACAAUCAUAGCUGAAUAAGGACGCAAAAAUAGCUUCAUAAAGCUUACAUCCUUUAAGAAAUGGUCCAUGCCGGUCCAAUACCUCCUCUACCCAUUCCCAAUAUCCUUCGAUAAAGAAAUAUUCCCUUAGUACUUUGAAUGAACUUCCCCAUUUAGCUUCUCCGUCAUGAACACAAGAACCAAACUAUCCAAAUUCAUCAUGAACUUUAGUAGUAGUUGGGUGAGAGGAAUUCAACAACAGAACAUCAGAAACAAGUUUCACCUUAUUGAGUUUUGAAUUGCCGAUAUUUGUAAGCUUGCAAGAUGCAACUCGGGACAAGGAAGAAAUGUGUAAUGGGUCCUUUGUCACUGGUACUGACAAAGAUUGAAGGUCAGUAAGUGACUUAUGCACUGACAAGGUAGUCCCCUCCUCAAAAUCUUCACUAUCAUCCUCAAGAAUAGUUACAAUCUUCUAUUUGAAACAUUUGAAGAACGCCAUCCUACAUAAAAAGGAAAAAGAAGGUAGAGAGAGAGAUAAAUAAAACAUGGGUAUAAGUUUUUAGAUACCACUAUGCAUUUAAGUCAGAUCAAUUCACAUGAGUGAAGACCUUAGCACUUAAGUCAUAUAAAGUGUUGAAAGUACAAUACCGCAUAGCAUCAGGGCCAUAACUUGUUUGCAUAGAUACCGAGUAUUAUUCUAGUUUUAAUUAAAUGUUAAAACUUGAACACAACUAUGCAUUCAAGUCAAGACAAUUUGCAUAGGUGAAGACUUUAGCACAUAAGUGUUGAAAAUACAACACCGCAUAACAUUAGGGCCAUAACUUGUCUACAUAGAUAACAAGUAUUAUUAUGGUUUUAAUUAAAUAUUAAAACUUGAACACCACUAUGCAUUCAAGUCAAUCCAAUUUGCAUGGGUGAAGACUUUAGCACAUAAGUGCUAAAAAUACGACACCGCUUCGCGUCAAGGCUACGAAUUGAUUACAUGAGGGUCAAACUUUAAAUAUUCAUAUGUUUUUUUAUUUUUUAUUUUUAUUUAUUUUUUAUUUUUUAUUUUAUGGAUAUUUAAGUUUAUUAAAAAUUUCCCUCAAGUACUAAGGUAAUUUAAAAAUAAAUAAAUAAAUAAAAUUAAAUUACCUGAAAUCAAAUUCGUCUCUACGAAUAAUGGAGGCUAACAUGUGUUCGAAAAAGGUGAAUCUUUUUCUUCCUUGACAAAAAAAAAAUGAAUAAAAAGAUCACGUGUCAACAUAUAUAUAUAUAUAUCCAUCCAUUUUUUCAGGAGAUCACGUGAAUGGAUUUUAUAUAUAUAUACAUAUAUUAAAUCCUCAUCCUUACAUCAAUAUAUAGAUAUAUAGCCUAGUGAUGACGUCUCCCAAGGCAACCAACAUUGAGGCUCUGUCCCCAUUGACUUCGACAUACACCCACCAAGCUCCAAAAUAUAUAUAUGCAUUUAAAAAAAAAAUACUUACAGGUUUGAAGAGGUGAAGACUUCUUACGGUAAUUCAAGUCAAGUUUCUUAAAAUUGGGUUGAAAAUCACCCAAAAAUUCAAAAAAAAUAAAAGAAUAUGAAAGGAUUCAAGUCGGGUUUCUCAAGUUGGGUCAAAGAACACUCAAAGAUCAAAAAAGCUCUUUGAAAAAGUUCAAGUCAAAUUUCUUAGCUAUUGUCCCUUUUAUAUAUAAAAAAAACGUAUAUGGGGAUGACAAAUUGGAAGAUGAUUGAAAGUGUAAAGUAAGAAGGAAAACAAAUUGGAAGAGGAUUCAAAGUGUAAAGCAAAAAAGGAAAACAAAGUGGAGUUUGGAAAAAAGUGGGAAAGAAAUAUUUUUUUUGGAAAAAAAAAAAACUUCAAGACUCACCCCAUCCACAUGACAAUGCAUAUAUGUGAUGCGUCUUGAAGUGGGGGUAUUUGUAGACAUAAAAAAAAUUAGUGGAUUAAAUUACCACUAAUUUUGUUUUCAAAAUGAAUAAAAAAAAUCCUCUUAUGGAUAAGUUUCUCUAAUCUCCAACUAUAGAAAGGAUAAUAAUAACAAUAAAAAAACUAUUAUUAUUAUUAUUAUUAUUAUUAUUAUUAUUAUUAUUAUCUUGUUGGUAAAACCUUCCAGGAUUUUUUUUUUCUAAAAUCAAGGAACUAAAUCCUUUAAAUUAAGCAACUAAACUCUGAGAAUUUGAAAUUCAAAUUUUAUAUCUUCACCUAUAAAUAGAGGUGUCUUUUUUCAAGAAAGGAGGGGAAGAAAUCGAGAAAAAAAAAUCCAGAAAGGAAAAUCUUAAGGAGGAAAUCCAAAGGAAACUUUGUAUGGGAAAAGGGGCUUCACAACAAAAGAAAAAGCUUCAUCAAAUUUCUCUGCAAGUUCGGUACAUGGUAGAACUGCUAAACACGCUCACCGCUAUUUAACGAGUUCAUUAAGGAAUAAGCCACUUGUGGCCCUCAAUUGAUCUUCGAAAUUAAGAAAAUGUCAUCGUUGUUUUCCAAAGUGUGAUCAAGAUGAAAGAAUCAGAGGGAUAAUAUUUUUUUGGAAAUAAUAUUAUUUUUGAGAUUGUACCCACAAUAUUUUUAAUUUUAAUAAAUAUUUUGUUUGCAUUAUUUUCCUAUUUGUUUUGCUAAUUUUGUAGGACCAUUUACGAAAUUUAUGUGUACAUACUCUUUUAUGAACAAGGUAGUGUAGAAAAAGUGUAACACUUUUUUUUUUAACUCAGGUAACUCAAGUAAUAUAUCAUUUCUACCAUAGUGAAUCCAUUCUUCUUCUUUAGCGUAUAAAAAGUGACUCCGUUCUUCUUUAGCACAUUAACUUGAAUACGCAACUCAAGUAAUAUAUCAUUUCUACCAUAGUACUUUUAGCAUUUUAGUGGUAUUUUUUUUCUCAUAAAAAUGUGUACCCUUUGAAUAAGCAACCUUUGAGGUGCACAACUUAAUGUUUUAAGAGGGUGCACUAUUUUUUCCUAGCGCAUUUGAAAUGUGUACAACUUCACUAUGCAAAAAAACAUUAUUUUUUAAUAAAAUUAAGAUCAAAUUAAUAUAAAUGAUUAAAUACAAUUUUUAUGAAAAAAAUAUAUUUUAUUUUUUAUUUAUAUAAAUAAAAAUAAAAAAUUUAAUAAAACAAAAUAUUAGAGCCACAACCAAUUUUCUAUCUUAUAUAAUUAAAAAUAUUAAACAUUUUAACCAAGAAGAAAAUUAAAAUUGUGAUCAAGUUACAUCCAUAAGCAAAAAGUUAAAAUAGUGAUUAUCGACUCUAACUUUCACAUAAAAAUUUAACAAUUUUUUAAAAAUAUAAACAAUAAAAUAAUAUGACAAUGUAAUAGGAUUAUAAAAUAAAUAGAUAUUUUAUUUAGGAGGAAUAUAGAAAAUCUUAUGUCCUAAGCUUCUAAAUUUGUUCAUAAUGAAUUUAUUUUUAUAUUAAAUUUGUUUUCAUUAAUUAUUUCUUAUAUAUUUUUAUUUUGUGUCUAGAAUAUCCAUAAAUAAUUGAAAUCGGUAAAUGUAAAAGAAGAAAUAAUGAAAAAAUAAAAUUAAAAAGAUUUCAUGAAGUCAACACAUUAGAAAAUAAGAACAGAAAGGUAGAGAUAUUACGAAGGAGAGGAAAAAGAAAAAAGAAAAAUCAUAUGACAUGGUUGUCAUAUUAAAGUAAAAAGAAAAAAAAAUAAAAUUUUGUAGUAAUUAACUGUGAAAGGAGAUCGAGGGUUACAGGGUAAUUUUAAAAUUUUGAUGAUUUCACUAUUGAAAUACAUGUUUCUAGAAUUAAUUUUUCCAAGAUGUAUGUACUUUAAAAUUUAAAAUUUAAAACUUUAAAUUUUUUAUAUUUUUUAGUUGUUGCAUGAAUAUUACAUCAUUCUCCAUGAAUAGAAUGUGAUAGGGCAUGGUUUUUAAAUCACUUUUAUAAUAAUUUUUUUAUAAUUAACAAGUUUGGCAAAAGAUAUUCUUAAAUGAUUUAAUUUAUAUUCAAUGCUAGUAGUCAUUUUAAUUGGAUAAACUUUUCAAAAGCAAAUUUGAAGAAUUUGGGUCAAAUGUAAUGUGCAUUUUUGUAGGGCCCUCCCAAUGGACCUCGUAAUGCCAAAACUUCUGGCCUUCAUGUUUUGUCAACUUGUUCACACAAUAAGCUCACGAGCUUUACCUUGCUUUAUCUUGUGAGACUUUGAUAUAUGCUUUGUUUGUAUUAAAGAGGUAAAAAAGUUCUUAACCACCAUUCCAUUUUGCACUAAAAAAAAAUUGAUAUAGACAUGCCAAUUGACUUUGUGUGUCAAAUAUUGUCAUGAUGCAUAUGAGAAAAUAAUGUGUCAUUUGACUCCUUUGAGUCAAAUCUUGCCUUUAAGUACAGAGAAAUAUUUGAGAAAUCGCAAGCAUUUUUUCUUUGUUGUUCAUUAAUAUAUGGAAUAGGUUGACCUUUGAAUUAGUCAAGGACAUGGUAGGUCUUUUGGUCUUAUUUUUACUCAAAUUUAUUUGACUCAAAACUGAAGUAGCAUUAAAAAUGAUACUUCAUGUGGUUGUAAAUUUACAUUUCCUAAGGGUUUUCUUCCCUAUUUGAACCAAAAAUUGAUUUUUAGGGUUAGAGGAACACCUCCCCUACAACAGUCAGACAAACUCCAUUGAGUUCCUCUUCCAUUCAAAGAGUGGGUGUGUUUGUUUCCCAAGAAAAUCUAACCCAUUUUAAGUUCAAAAUAAAUUUUUAUCAAAUUUUUCUUUAGAGCUUGGGUUGAUUCAUUUGGUUCUUCCAAAGAUGAGAACUUUUAACUCAAUGACCCAAUCAAAUUACAUGCAUAAUAACAUGAAAAUCUAGAAACUUAAGUAUUACCGUUUCUAAAUAUGACAACUUUUAAUUCAACAACCCAAUCAAAUAAUCAUGCAUAAUAACGAGAAAAAUCUAAAAACCUAAGAACUACCGUUUCCGAAGAUAUGGACUUUUAAUCUAAUAAACCCAUCAAAUAACAUGCAUAGUAACAAGAGAAUCUAAAACCCCUAAGAACUAACAUUGCCAAUUUAACCCAAUAACCCAAUCAACUAACAUGCAUAAUAACUAGAGAAUAUAAAAAAACCCUAAGAACUAAUCAUUGAAACAUGAAAAUUUUGAUAGUAUGGGAAUAACCUAUAAACCUUAAAAUUAUCAAACUUUGAAAAGUAAGAUUUUUAAUAAAAUAGCAUUCUAACACCAUGAAUGAUAACUAGAAAAUUUAAAACCGAACCAAAAUUUUCAAGAUAAGACUUCUAAGAAAAUAGCAUUUUGAUAACAUGAAUAGUAACUAGAAAAAUUAAAACCUAACCAAAAUGUUCAAGAUGAGACUUUCAAUGAAAUAGAAUUCUAAUAUCAUAAAAUAUGUUCCAAAAAAUUUAAAACCUAACCAAAUUUUUGUAUAACCAACUUUUCAAGAUGGGAAUUUUUAAUAAAGUAACAUUCUAAUAACAUAAGAAGUGUACUUGAAUAUGUCUAAGUAUGUUGUCCUAAAGGAGCACUUAAAAAGAAGCUAUUCUAAAAAGAGAAAAGGAAAAUCCUAGAUCUAACUUGGGGUUUCCAAGGGUCACAAUGAGGGGCUAGAUAAAUCCCUCAACUAGAGUCUUUGAGAUGGCUAAAAAAGGUAAGUUGUGUGAGUUGAAAAUGGGCCACCAGGGAGACUACUGCAAAGUAUGAAAAUAGCACUUAAUAGGGCAUGUGCUAACGUAACAAAUGGAAAGUCUACACUUGCAUGCUAGAUUUAUUCUAAGUUGUGCUCACAUCUAUUUUGCAAGGUUGUUUUAUUCAUCUCAUGGACCCUAAGGAUGAAUGAAUGAAAUGCUUUUAUUAAUUCAAUUGAAUGAAUGAAUAUGAAUGGAUAUGAUCUUUGCCAUUUGAUUCUCUAGUUUGGGUUGUGCACCCCAUGAGGGGUACAAGAUUUUUAUUUUAUUGUAAAAAUAUUUUCUUUUCAAUAGAUGGGUUGUAAGCUCCAUUAUAGGAGCAUAUAAUUUUAUUUUUUAUUUUUUUGAUUGUAAAUUUUUUUUUUUAUCCAUUUAUGGUGACCCAAAAGGAAAGGAAAAAUUCUUAAAUUUUCAUUUUUGAGAUCCUAUGGUGACUUAAGAAAAAAGAAAGAUUCUUGAAAGUUCUUGAUUUGAGAUCCUAAUUUGACUCAAAAUUGGGACAAAUCAUAUAUGGUUUUGAAGCUUAGGAAGUUAGGAAUCCAAUGCUUCAAACAAUUUUCUAUUCGGAGUUGAAAUGAGGAAGAUAUAGUCAAUUGAAGUAAGGUUGUACAAAGAGCAUACUAUUUCAGAAUUAAGUUCGGGCCAAAUUGUUUUUGGUUAUUUGGGCUUCUUUUUUAGCUUUUUUUUUUUUUUUUUUUUUUUUUGUGGAAAUUCGACAUUUUAGGGUUUUGUCAAUUUUUACUAACUAAUCUUUGGUUGUAAGAAUAUUUUGAUAAUUUGAAUUUUGUCCAAUUUUUAAUUACCAAAUAUGCAAUAGGAUCCCUAAAGUUCAUGAGAAAUAUUUAUUUAAUUAUUUCCUUGUUUUUAUUUUAUGUUAUCUUUAUUACUUGCUUAUGUGACCUAAAAUAGGAUAAUUUGGUAUUCUUAAUUAGAUAUAAAUUUUCAUGGGCUUUUUCAAAAUAGGAAAACUUAUUUAAAUUGGAAUGUGUAUUGUUAGGAAAUUUAUUUUAAGAAAAGAUAAGUUAGAAAAGAAUUAAGAGUUUCCAUUCCUUUUAAAAAUUAAUUCUUAAUGAUUUUAAUUUUAUUUAAAAUUUUCUUAGAUCUUUGAGAUCUCUAAGAAUAAAAUCUUUCUUUUAAUGAAAAAACUCUUGUUUUUCCAAAUCUUUAUAAAAUAAUAUUUUUCCUAUUUUGCACAAGGUUUUGAUUUAAAGAAAAUAAGUUGAUUUUGAAAAUUCAUAAUAGAUAAUUUAUAAUUAAGAAGGUUACCAAAAUAAGUAUUCAAACCUAAAGAAAAAUGUUUUGGUAUUCUCUAUAAAUUUUCAUGAAAAGAUUUUUCCAAGAUUAUAUAUUUGAAUUGGUUGUUGCUAAUGAGAAUCUUAUUCAUUUGGAACUAUCAUUUUGAUUUUGGUAUAGAUGCUUCUCCAAGCUACUACACCAUACCUAAGAUGGUCCUUCAGGCUCUCUCCUCCUGAGAUAAGGAGGAAACCCCUAUUUGGAUAUGGAUAGUUCAAAAAUAAAGACUAAGAGAGCAAUUUUGUUUAGCAAACGAGUCUUAGUUUAAAAGAUAAAUAACGGAUUUGAAAAACCUCAUGAUAAGAAGGGUUUUCAAUCUUGUAUGUAGAGGUGUCUAAUGGGUCGUGUUGGGCUGACAUGACCUAAUAUUGAUCGGGCCAUUAGGGGCCAAUGUGUCGGGUUGGGUCGACCCAUGCAAGCCAAAUAGGUGACUCGACACGGCCCAUAAGUCCAUGGGCUAAUCGUGUCAUGCUGGGUCGGGUCGUGCUGUGCCGGUGGGCCAUGGCCCAUGGGCCACUCACUUUGUUAAAAAUUUUAAUUUAAUUUUUUAAGUCAUUUUUUCUUAAGUUUUUUCCUUAUUAAAUAAAUUUUAUUUUUGUUACUUUAAACACCUCUAAUAAUUAUAUUUUUAUUUUAUUUUUUAUAUACUUCUAAUAAUUAUACUUUUUAUUUUUUACAUUUAUAUUUAUUGAGUUUGUAAUUGUAAAAUUUAUAGAAAUAUUAGUUUUUUGUUUUUAAAAAUAGUAAAAAAAAAUUACAUUUGAAUUUGUUUAUUUUAUUUUUAUCAAAAUAACAAUAAAUUUAAAAUAAUGGAAUAUAAAAGGAAAUGAAAUAUAAAAAAAUAAUUCUUUUAUUCAAUAUUUCAACAAAUUACAUGAAAAAAUAAUGAGAAAAAAAAAACAAAAGUGAGAAUUGCAUCACUAUAGUUUGAGUACAUCCCAACUAGGUUGGCACCCACCCAACUAUCAAUCAUAUGCAUUACUUAACCUUUAAAAAUUAACUACAUUUAAUAGAUUUAAAAGAAACGAACAACAUAUAAUUCUUCAAUUAUCAUAUUCACUUUUGUCUUCUUAUUCAAUCUUCAUUCUUAUUUUUUCAUCUUCAAUCAUCAUCAAUCUCUUGAACAUCAUUGUUUGCAUUGAGAUGCAAUUUCUUGAAGGCUUCUUUAAGUUCAUCCUCUAAAGUUUGACAUGAAAAAAGUAAAAAUAGUUAUUGAUUUACUUUUUUUACCCCUCAAACUAGUUGUAAUAUAAUUGUUAAGAGGGGUAUUAUAGACAUUUGACAUGUAAUAAAAAGUAAACACUAAAAGGUGAAAUUUAAAAGGGCCAAGUGGGUCGACACGGUGGGCCGACGGGUUGUUUCUUUAGGCCUAGCAUGGCCUGCUCCUUUGGGUCGUGUUGUCUUAGCUUGCUAUAGUGUUAGGCCAUACUGGCCUUGCCUGACCUUUUGGCGUGCCGAGCCACGGGCCAAAAUGGGCAGCCCGACCCAAUGACCCAGAUUUCAUUAUACAUUUGAAUGGUUUGAAUUGGAAGUUUGAUUUAGGACAAAAUCAAUAACCAUUAAAAAAAGAAAGAAUAUUGUAACACCGUUCAUACCUAUUGACUUUCGUUUUUAAUACUAUUGAAAAUUUUCACGAAUGAGAAGGCAACAAAGCAAGAAUUCUUAAGAUUCUAACUAUGCUACAGUCAUGAAAGAAGAAAAAGGGGGGAGAAGUAAUGUUUUUAUACUACAACCCACAAUCAUGAAAUAAGAAAAAAGAAAAUUCCAAAAAAUAUAGACCAAACAACAAGAACUUGCUUAGGCAUCUUCUAUACGUGAUCCUUUCUUGUCACUUGUUUUUUUUCCAUACUGGAAUGUAAAAUCCUACCAUGAGUGUUAAAAUAAGAUUGCCAUACUUAUUAACCAAUUAGUGAGUAAUUCCUACAAGUGAUAGUUUCUUAUAAUACACAUAUUUCUUGUUUACUUGAGCGCUAGUAGUAAUGAUCAUAAUUUUAAUAUAUUGAGAAUGUAAAAUUUUCUAGCAACAAAUAUAUUUAGCCCAUUGUAUUACAAAAAAGUACUAAAUGAAGAAAAAAAAUAGAGAUGGAAAGAAAUCUAAAUUCUCUUUAGUUCAAAGGUAUAAAAUAAAAUCAAAUAUAAUAAAAAAAUUCAAAAUUUUUCAAUCUUUAUGUAGAAUAGAAAAAAGAAGAAGAAAAAGGAUACUCUUGGUGAAACAUGUAAGAAAUGUUAAUUGAAUUUAAAUUUAUUUUUCAUUUUAUUAUUUUUUUAAAAACUUUUUAUUGUUUUAAAUUAAGAAAUAUACUAAAGACAUAGGUUUUAGUGAUUGCCAUAUGUUGGUAAUAAGCAGGGAAUGUCACUAAAAAAUACAAUAUAUUUUAAUUAAAUGUUACCAAGUAUUGUAUAAUGAAUGAGAGAUGAAUGUUCAAAGAACUCAACCCCUUUUUCUUUUUAGAAAAUCCAUUAGAAAAUUUUUCUUGAAGACUUGAAUAAGAUUUCCUUGGAAAGCAAACAACCUCCAAAAGAGGAAGGGAAUGAAGAGCUCACUCACCGAUUGUUGCUCUCUACAAGCUCUCUCCUCCUGAGAUAAGGAAGAAACCCCUAUUUGGAUAUGGAUAGUUCAAAGAUAAGGACUAAUUAGAAAACAAUUUUUUUAACACACGAGUCUUAGUUUAAAAAAUAAAUAACGGAUUUGAAAAAUCUCAUGAUAAGAAGGGUUUUCAAUCUUGUAUAUUUAUAUUGUCAUUCAAUGACUUAAAUUUCAUUAUACAUUUGAAUGGUCUGAAUUGAAAGUUUGAUGUAGGACAAAAUCAAUACCCAUUAAAAAAGGAAAGAAUAUCGUAACACCAUUCAUACCUAUUGACUCUCCUUUUUAAUACUAUUGAAAAUUUUCACAAAUGAGAAAGCAACAAAGCAAGGAUUCCUAAGAUUCUAACUAUGCUACAAUCAUGAAAGAAGAACAAAGAAAAUUCCAAAAAUAUAGACCAAACAACAAGAACUUGCUUGGGCAUCUUCAGUAAGUGAUCAUUUCUUGUCACUUGUUUUUUUCCAUAUUGGAAUGUAAAAUCCUACCAUGAGUGUUAAGAUAAGAUUGCCAUAAAAGAAAUUAUCAAAUAUGACAAUAUUUUUUCUAAUUUUCAAAGAAUUAUCAAAUAUGACACUAAAUUUUCAAAAUAACACUAAAUUUCUUUCUAUUUUGGAUUUAAAAGUGAGUAGUAAAACUAAAAUUAUCAAAUAUGACAAUAUUUUUUCUAUUUUUCAAAGAAUUUCGAAAGCAUUAUAUUUAAUUAAAAACACUUGGCUGAUAAAUAAAUAAACUGAAAACAUGGGAAUUCUGGAGAGCUACGAAACGGAGAUAAGAAUAUAAUUAAGGAAAAUGAAAGUGAAAGCCAAGGAAUGAGCAUCAUCACCUCCUAGAAGUAUCUAACCCACCUCGCUGAAGUUUGCUAUAAAUACCUAACAAUUUCCCUUGAGUUCAUCAAUGCUUGAGUUUGAAUCUUAUCAAUCACAGUAGUAGCAAUGGCAGACGAGAUUAUCUUGUUGGAUUUCUGGCCUAGCCCGUUUGGUAUGAGGGUCAGAGUUGCCCUGGCAGAGAAGGGUCUCAAGUAUGAAUAUAGAGAGGAGGACCCGAGGAACAAGAACCCUCUGCUUCUUGAGAUGAACCCCGUUCAUAAGAAAAUCCCAGUUCUGAUCCACAAUGGAAAGCCCAUUUGUGAGUCUAUGAUAAUAGUUCAGUAUAUUGAUGAGGUUUGGAACAAAAAAUCUCCGUUGUUGCCUAGUGACCCAUACCAGAGAGCUCAGGCCAGGUUCUGGGCGGACUACAUAGACAAGAAGGUAUGCCUUUUCUGUUGAUUUAAAGCAUUCUUUUCCAUUGAUUCAUGGCGAUUGACUCACAUUUUGAUUAUGGUGAGGGAUUUAUCCAAAAUGCUAGUUCUUCACAUAUUCUCUUCUGAUAUUGAGUUUUGUUGGCUUUGGUGUCCCAAACUAGAACUUUACUGAUUCUCUUGCUGUUUCUUCAACAAGACUCCCCUCUGCAUUUCUGAUAUGGGUUUUUAUUUCUUUGUUCUGUUGAAUCCGACGUCUGUUCGUUCCAUCCAAAAAAGCAGAUCUCAAGAAUACCUUUUCCCCCAAGAAAGGGAAUACAUAAACCAGAAUUUUAAAGAACAGAUUUUGGUUUUUCGUUAUCCUGCUGUUCAACAUUUUGCACAACAGUUGUUUUAAUAUAUGUUCUGUCUUUUUGAUCUCUUUCUUCUCAUUUCUUUAACACAAAUUGAGGGGAAAAACUUUAGCAAAUGAUACAUUCUUUCAACUGAUUCUGAUAUUUUUCCUAGGAUACGAGAUUUCUAUGCCGAAGGGUCGUUAAUAAACUUGCCCAACUAUACAGAAAGUUUGAAACUUGAUGAAAUGCUUCCAAAAGAAAAAAAAAAAACCCUUUUCUCUCUUUGACUCCAUUACUUUCCACAGCUCUAUGAACUUGGAAGGAGGAUAUGGUCAACCAAAGGAGAAGAGCAGGAAACAGCCAAGAAUGAAUUCAUAGAGUACCUUAAGAUUUUGGAAGGAGAGCUUGGAGAGAAGCCUUACUUCGGUGGUGAGAAAUUUGGGUUUGUGGAUGUGGCUCUGGUGACUUUCUCAACCUUGUUUUAUGCGUAUGAGAGCUUUGGUAACUUCAGCAUAGAGGUGGAGUGCCCCAAGUUGAUCGCUUGGACCAAGAGGUGCAUGGAAAAGGAGAGUGUGUCGUCUUCUCUGAAAGACCCACAGAAGGUCCAUGGCUUUGUCAUGGAGAUGAGGAAGAAGCUUGGUAUAGAGUAAAAGGGGAACAUCAUGUGUGGGGGUCUUUCCAUCGAAGACCCACACAAGGUCCAUGACUUUGUCUUGUGGAUGAGAAAGAAGUUCCGUGUAGAAUAAAAGGGCUUUUGAAUCGUGUUGUAUUGGUAAUAUGAGAGGAGUGUUUGCUUUAAGUAUGCUUUGAAGGGGCUGGAAAGAAAUGUUUACAAUUUGUUUUCUUUUGUUUUGGACUAGAGACGUGUUCUUGUAUUGAAGAAAUAAAAGAGUUUUUAACUACAUUCCAUUGUAUCAUGUCACAUAAACAAGCAUUAAAAUAAGUUGGAUAAGACAUGCCACAAAGUUGAUCAGAUGCGUAGUCUAUAAAGA